rnacentral:lncRNA from 1 species
GGUGUGCUCCUCGUCUGCAUGGCCAUGGUCCUCGGCGUCGCCGUGAUCUCCUCCGUACUCGUCGUCUGCAUGGCCAUCGUGAUAGGUGUGCUCCGCGUCUGCAUGGCCAUGGUCGUCGGCGACUCGGCGUCGCCGUGUUCUCCGGCGCACUGCUCGUCGGCGUGGCCGUAUUCGCUCGCGUGCUCCUCUUCGUUGUUGACCACGACUUCUAUGGCUGGUACACCGCGUCCGCAGCACUGGGCCUGUUUGGUUAGAUGCCUGAACAAGAUGCCUGAGAAAUUUUGCUGCCUGGUCAGGCACAUACGAGCACUAACAACAGCCGGACUCAGGCCACCACUUUUGUUGGCCUGACACAGGCAUAUGCUGCCUGGCCUGGCACUAACCAAACAUGUUGCAUGUACAGGUCCGGCUACCAUCAGGCCAGGUCAGGCACUCCUCAGGAUGCAAUCCAAACAGACCCGUCCCGGCCGGGUGCGUCCACGCCCGCGGCGAACAGGCAUGAAGCCACGGCCGGCAAGCACGAGCCUCGCGCUGCCGCUGCCGGCGCGUUCCGGCGUGGUCGAGCUUGAGCCAGAUGAGAAGCUUCUGCUGCUGUUGAGCCCGAGCCAUGCGCCAUGAAUUCCGUUGCCGCGUCCAGAACAAGGCUCGCCGAGGUGCUGCUGCGCUUGAUGAUCUCCACCACGUCUAGCAUGCUCCGGCGUACCCGAGCGUGAGCCCGGCGAGAAGCUUCUGCUGCCAACGAGCCCGAGGCGUGGGCUGCCUCUGCAGCGCCCGCCGACGCCACGGAUUCCUUUGCCGCGGCCCGCACGAUGCUCACGGGCGUGCUGCUCCGCUUGAUGAUCGCCACCGCCAUGGAUUCCUUUGCCGCGACCAACAUGCUCGAGCCGUUCGUCGCGAGUGGUGGGCUGUCACGGCCGGCGACGCCGGCGAGCUCGAGCGGGGGGGGGGGGGGGGGAGGGGGUGCCGCCGCGGCGGGCGACGCCCAGGACUCCAUUCCCGCGGCCGGCGAGCUCGAGGAGACGGGGCCCGGUGCGGCCAGCGACGUCGUCCUCUCCUUCUCAUUCUUCAUCAGUCAUAACUCAAAUCCUCAACUUCACCUCAUACUCUUCUGCCCCAUCCUAGUUGAUCGGUUAGUUAAGAUCCAAGUCAGUCAUGAACAAAAGCAGAGAAAAUAGAGUGGUCCUCGUGCUAGCGCAUGGAAGAAGGAAAGAUGGAGCAAGGAUGAGUAGAAUUAGAUUUUCACUUGAUGAAAGAGAUGCUAUUCAUAGGACACGACCAGUUUCAAAUUUCUCAAUAUUUGUUGACGGCUAAUCGGCUUAGCUGUUCCCUCCAAAAUUUCCCGUGAGCAAACAAUGUGCCACGCGCACUAAUCCGUGUGCUACCGAGCUAACCAAUGAGAAAGCAGUCCUCUGUUUUCUGUUCGCACACCGUUCUUGCAUGGCGCAUGCAAAGAGAAGGAGGUGGGAACUGAGGGGACGUGGGCAAGCUACAAACCGGUGGGACCAAUACAAACAGCAUAGUGCCUGAGGCUCAGCCUUGAGCCCGAAGGCCACCACGGCACGGCCUUUAAGUUUUCUAUUAAAAAAAAUCAAGCAACACAUCUCAUCCUUUCUUCUCUUUCUGGCCUAGCGCGCCGGCCCAACUAUCGCCUUUCUGGCCCAGCCCUUGCUGGCCUGCCCUUCCCUCCUCCCGAAGGCCUACGCUGUUCCCGAUCUGCAUCGAGGACUCCACCCCGACCCUGAUCUGAGUCCAGCGCCAUCCCCCAAGGCCCAAUCCCCAUCGAUUGAGGAGGUCGGGGCCAGCUCCAACUACCAUGGCCGCCGAUUCCCAUGCUCCUCUCGGCGCCGCCACUUCCGUCCCCUACCGCCAUGGCCGCGGUAGCACGUGGAGCUCGAAGGAGGAGGAUGACGGCGAGACGGAGCUCGACGGAGGAGCCGGGUAGCUUUUUGGAAAAGCUGGUCCAGAAAACCGAAAAGAACUGGACACGAGAGUCGGGCCGUGCCGGGGCCUGGGCCGGCCCUUCGGCCACCUAUAAAUUUUCAACCCGCACCAUUCUUUCUGACCGAACCCUAGUUGUCCUGACGCGGCCGCCGCCAGCGCCUUCAUAUCGAUCUACUGUCCCAAUGCGCUGCUUCUCCUCUCCGUUGCGACCUCUCCUAUCUCUCAUGGCCCGUGCUCCGCCUCCACCAGCGCUUGCGCCACGAGGAUUCCCACCCGCCAGCGCCCAUGUUCGUCGUGUUUUCAGGUGUGUUUUCUUGUUCCGAUGCUAAAUUUUACGUCUAAUAUUCUUAGUAGUAAAUCCCGAUAUGAUUCCCAAAACAGAGGGAAAAAAAUGUUCAAAGAAAAUUGAAAUCGAUUUCAGACCCAUUACGAUUUCUAUCCUGAAUGAUGGUAUGUCUUAUUUGCGUCGGAUGCUGAGAAUAGCUUUUCAAUGCUCUUUGUGGACAGAAUUCCUCAUGGAUCUCGUAACAUGGCGAGCACCAAAGAAGUAAAAGAUGACCUGUCUCUGCUCAUCUCUUCUGCCAAUGAUCACUCUGCCGUCACCCAAGGCACGAAGAACAUACAAAGGUGGGGCGUAACCAAGCAUGUAAUCAUGCUCAGUGAUGACGAACAAAUGAACUAUUACCCCAUCAAACGUGUAUAUCCUCUCAAUAUAUUAUCAAAUAGCAGCCACCGUGAUGGUUCUAUAUACAGGAGUAUAUGGAAUAAACAAUUUGAUGCCUCAGACCGAAGUGAGAGUAAGUGAUCAGCAUCUGUUUUCUACUUUUUAUUUGUUUUUAGUCAAUUUGACGUAUUCCCUGUUCAAAUCCUGAGGUUAAUUUUGCUUUAUUUCAUUUACUGUUACUACUUCAAUGCUGCUGCCUUGCCAUCGAUAAAAUGAUAACCUGUCAAAUGUUACUCAGGGGUUGCUGUGGGUUAUUUGCAAAAGUAGAGAGGCAGCUAAUGGUUGCCUUGAUGAAAUUGCAGCUUGAGCCAUUGGCCUUAAUCAUAGUUUAGGUUGUGAUUCAUUGGGCAUUAUUAUAUCUCAGCCAGUUACAAAAAAAAACGGUUUAAUUCACACCAGGAUGAUAUUAUGAUUUUGUUCUUUAUAAGUUUUACAUUGCUAUUUGGUCAGGUGAUAGAUGGUGUCAUUCUCUAGGAAUAUGUUCAUAACUUUUCGUUUUUUUGGCAAGUAUUUUGGUAUCCAAAAUGGUAAAAAUGUUUAGGUGCUCCCAACCUAUGGAAACAGUCAUGAAAAAGGAUUUUAGAAAGUGAAAGAAAAGAAAUAUUCCAUCAAUGGGUGCAAUGACCUGUAUUAGUAAUUCUUGGGGCAGGGGCAGACCCAGCCGUCUGAUUGGGUGGGGUCCGCCCCACCCAAUAAAUUUGAAAAUCCUUUUAUCAUAAGUAAAAAAUCUAAAAAAAUUAGAGAAAAUAAUAAAUUGUAGUGUAUUUGCCCACCCAAUGUUGAAAAUACACUAUUUUUCACCCAAUUUUGAAAACUUGAGUCCGCCACUGCUCGGGGGUAAAGUGAACCAGGAAGUAUACAAUUGGUUAUGAAAUAGUUUGGGAGCACGAAUGGACUUUUUCCUUUCUGAGAUAGUAUUAAUACUACUUUACCUUUGUUUGUCUUUCCUAAAACAGAAACCAAUUUGAGAUUGCAAAUUCCUAGUUAAAAGAACAUGGGUAGUAGUGUACGCUUAGAUAAAAGUGAAAUAUUCCAAUAGGGCCAUGGUGUCCUCAAGCAGCAUGUUUACUUUUCGUAGAACAAAUAUAGUUUAAUGUAUUAAUUUGAAAUAACAGUAUAACUUUCUAAUCUUAUAUGAAGCUCGGUUGGAGGCAAAGAUGCAUUCAGAACCCACAAGUCGUUGCUUGUUGCGCGAUGGAGUUUGUAUAUUCCAUGCACCUAGUAACAUGCUGCAGGUUUUCUCAUUAAAGUUGGCAAAUAUUCCUGUGGAUAGUGGCUCUGUGGAGUUGUAUGGAUACAUAGCAGUACGGGAUGGUUUGGAUCGAUUGCUUAAUUAUGUCGUCAACUUUAGCAGAGAUGAUCCCAUCAUCGUGGAGCAGGUGCACAUCCAUACUUAACUGCACUUGUUUCACGGUCAAACUUAUUACAUGCAUAGGGUGGAUGAGAUUCAGUUAUACAUACUCUAUAUGGCAGCCUACAACCACUUAAAUCUUUUUACAUCAUUAUUAUGAUUUUUCCUAGUGAUUGAUUUGUCCAAAAGUACCAAAAUAAUACUUCCAUUUUGUGUAGAACCAUUGCUAUGCUAAGUUUGUACUGUAAAGUGUGAUUCACUAGGAAACCAGUUGUAAACUAUGAAAUUAAGUUAUACUCCCUCCAUUCCUAAAUUCAUAUUGUUUAGUUCAAAUUUGUCUAAAACAACGACAAAAUCCUCCAUUCCUAAAUUCAUAUCGUUGUUUAGUUCAAAUUUGUAGUAAAACAACGACAAGAAUUUAGGAUCUUGUCAUUGUUUAGUACAAAUUUGAACUAAACAACGAUAUGAAUUUAGAAACAGAGGGAGUAUAUUCUUAACAAAGUAGGUCAAGGCGAGAGUAUUUAGCUUUAUAUGUUUCUUUAUUUAUUUAUUAGAAGCUAUUAAAUAACUAAUUCUGCAGGGUGCUCUCAUCAACAUGAAUGGCCCUAAGCGAGCGAUACAUAUGUAUGACAGUGUUUUCAUUGAGUAUGACAUGAAGAUCAAGACAGGUCAACAAGAAAAAGAUGAUCUACAGUUGAUUGAUGGUCUAUCAUCCAUAGACGACACGGGUACAUGGAAUCGUCGCACGAUAACAAGACGCAUUAAUGGAGAUUCUGGCGCUGUCGACUUAACUUUUUUGCGUCUUGAAAGCGCUGUUCAAGGAACUGUAGAAGUUUCCAUAUCAGAAGUGAAAUGCAGUUUCAAAUUGUCUCUUGGUUGUAUCCUCAAUAGAUUGAAUGAAGAAAUUUGUCUCUUCGAUGGCAACAUUGGUGGUGAAUCAAGUGUUUUACGGAGCUCUGUGGUUGCUGUCAACAUUGAUUCUGGGAUGGAUUUGAAGUUCAAGUUUGGUUCGGAGUCCUCCAUUUCUGUUGAAGUAUGUUCCUUCGAGGCGAGCAAUCAUGGGGUGUCUACUCAGCAGAUAAAGACUGAUUUUGCAUUGAUCUCAGUUACGGUGACUUGGUCGGCUUUGCUGGAAUGAGGCAAACGUUUUUAAAUAGUUGUGUGGCCAUUGCGUUAAUCUUACCUAUUCUUUAAUUUACUGACUGCGCACCGUCAGACUCAUUUUGAUGCAAAGAUCAAGAGCAGCUCCAGAUGGUCCCUAGCAAUCGUCGAUUAUGUCAUUCUAGAUUAUAGAUUAUCACCGACAAAAACAAAAACCUUCUCUUCACAGCAUAUGAGCAGCCAUCAAGCUAAAGUAAUCGCAAUCCUUACAAGAUGGUAUCGGCCGGCAUUCUUUGGAAAUAUAUGCAUCUGAUGAAGGAUGUCAAUUUGAACCCAUACGCAGGCAAACUCAUUCUUAGUGGCGAAAAUAACAUCACAUCACUGUUCCUUUCACAGAUCAGUGACAGGUUCACCUAUACGCACUUGACAGACAGUAGCCAGUUUUCAGCAUCAUUACAAUGGCAAAAAUCUGGCAGGCGAAAUGUCAACGUGGAGAUCUUGAUCAUCUAAAUAUUUUGAGCGAGAUCUUUAGAUUUAUUAUCUACUAGUUGUGACAAGAAAUACUACACAAUAUAGCAUUAUUAGGAUCUAAACAGUAAACCUAAGAAUUCAGACUCAAAGGUGAAAAACAUGCAGAUUCUACAGAUGCAGAACAAGCUCCACUUGAUACAGCUGCCCAUCAAACCUCAAACCCAAGGAUUCUGCAGGAUGGAUAAGUGCAUCAACCAUUCCACCAAAAACAUACACACGGCAAUCAGAAGUAUCUACACAUGCCCCAUGGAAGGACCGGCAGUUUGGGGAUUGGCCGUCAAUCCUUAGUUUUUUCCACAUCCUCUUUGCCAUUUUCCUGGAACCUGACUCGAACUGAAGUAGAGCUGGCACAUCUAAGAUCCAGAAAUCAUCCAUGCGCCGCCUUUGUGAGUCCUCCCCACCAUAUACAAGGAUCUUGCUUCCCAGGAGAUGUGUUGCUGAAUGUCCAACCCGUGGAAAAGGUAAUUCACCUAGAACACUAGACAAAUCAUACUUUAGCUCCUUCCAUCGUGGGAAAUGAUGACCAAUAUCAAACAGCCAGACAUCAUUAAGCACGUCAUAUUCUGAUCCUCUACCACCAAAAAGAACCAUGCGUGUCUCACCAAUCCAAGUUAAAGUAUGGCCAGAACGAGGUGACGGCAAAGGUCCAGUGUCCCCCAUUUGGCGCCAACUGCCAGAUUGAAGGCCACCAGAGAUAUCAAGAAGCCAUGUAUCACCAAGCCGGCUUCCAUUCAGCCCUAUCCCACCGUGAAUCACAAUGAAUUUAUCAUCCACGCAGCAGGCUGCAUGAGCUCCACGAGGAGAUGGUGCAAGUGGGCCUACCUCCAGCAGUCUCCAUGAGAUCCUCAUCCUGCAAGGUUCUUCACAAAUGAUUUGGCCUAUCCAUGUGUCAUUCAAACGCAGCCCACGAUCAUUGAUCCCACCAAACAGCACUAGUGCAUCACCAACAAGAAUGCAUGAAUGACCAAAACGGCCGCUUGGAGUGCCAGAGGCCAAUUGCUGCCAAUUAAGUAUAUUGGACAAUCUAUUUCCAGCUCCAUUUCCAACAUAUGUUGCCCAAAUAUCAUCAAGAUGGCGACCUAACUAGAGAAACAGAGAACAUCAGAAAGCAUACAAGAUAGGGAUAUGAACAAACUAAAGCAUAGCACAUUUGUACAAAGAGUGGUAAUGUAAUGCAACCAUUCUUUUAUGUACAAAGAGACAGAAAAGGUGCAAACUUCAAAUAUAAUUCCACAAAGAAAAUGGAUCAUAGCUAAAAAUAGAAACCUUUGUCAGAAGCAUCACUAAUAUGACUAGUUUGUUUAGUGAUCAGAGGUGUGUAGAUGUAAUCUCAUCCCAGGGGGAGCUCGCACCAUCAACAAAAUGAGCAACGGAAAAAGAAAAAAAGAGAAAAGGCUCACACCCUGUUCCAUUUCCAGCAACAGAAAUGUUGCUCGAUUAAACUUUGACAUUUCUAGUGUAUCAGGUAUAAUCAUCUGCCUAUGUGAUAGCACCUGUUACUUUUGCCCAUGCUUUCUUGUCUGUAUCCAAUUCAAUGCAAGCAGACAAUUCCACAAUAAUAGGUACAACAUAACCAAUGAAACUUCAAAUUGCUAAUGAUUAAAGAUUUAAAGGUACUCCCUCCGAUCCAUAUUAAUUGUCUCACAUUUGCCCAAAUAUGGAUGUAUCUUUCCCUAAAACCUUAAAAAGCGUCUAGAUACAUGUAAUAUUUCGACAACUAAUAUGAAUCGGAGGGAGUACCAUUUACCAACCAUUUUUACUAAGUUAAACAUGUAUUGACAGAAUGGUAGCUUGAAACAAAAUCGCAGAAUAAAAUUCGGCUGUUUCAUCAAUUAACAUCUUUAGUGAAAACUUCUAUUAGAAUACUUGAAGUCUUGAACAGAAACGUCCACAUUAUUUAACAGGAGAAAAGACCUCUUUCAAAGUGUUAUUUGUGAUAUGACAGUUUUUGCAUACUUGCUAGGCUAGACCUAGUUUUGCUCAAUAUCACAAGCACUACACUUGCGAGUUGCGAUCGAUGAAUUGCAAAAGAUAUUGAGCACAGAAGGUUAUCCUCUCGAAUCAAAACUAUAUUCUAUAAUAAUACCUGUGUUUUGCUACAGAUCAACAAAUUAGAUUGCCUCAAGUCAUAAAACCACUGUUGCCACACUCUUGGGCAGAUUUGAAUUGCCAAAUUUGGGCUCAGCGGAUAUCCGCUUGGCAUACAAGUUUUUGCCAAAUUUCAAGAUGGUCCAACAUGUAAGGGGAGGGGGAAGGUGAACAGACUGCCAACACUAAUUUACAUAUUCAUAAGGGUAGUAAAUAUACUACUUACAUUUCCCAGACCUACCACACCAAGGUACGGAGAUCAUAUCCAACGGCCCAACCUACUAAACAAGGCGAUUAACCAACAUAGGCAAAGAUAAUGUGGUGUUUAGAUUUAAUUAAAAAGAGGUCAUUAGGUUUAGUUGUUCUGUUUCUUUUGAUGUGUUUCUGGAGCUCUCUGUUUUGCUCUUGGCAUCUAAAUAAACAGUGGCUAGCAUGAAGAAGAAAACAGCAAGCAGCGAAAAUUAAAUUUAAUCAGUAAAACAAGCGAAAUAAUAAAAUUAGCUGGACUGGCCUCAUGCAGUCAAUGAAUCAUAUCAAGCUUUUAAAAUUCAUUUAAGCCCCCAAUAUUUAUUUUUCGCCUCGGUGCAGCAUGUCUGUGACUAUUGCUUUGGUACACCACCUGUUAAAACCUUAAGAAUUUUAGAAAGGGCAAAAAUUAAAUUUUGUAGUCAUAUCCUGUAUAGGGUACUUUUGACAUCUAUUCUCAUGCUAAGACAGAAGUCGUCGUUACAACUCCUACUACUCUGUAACUGACUAACUGAUGCAUGUAGGUAGAACUUGCCAUGAUCUCUCUAAUAGUCUUUACAAUUAGUGAAACUGAACUAGACUGCAUGAUGCCGUUUUUCACGGGUUUAUAUGCUAUGUUGCAGGGAUACGGACCAAACCUGCCAUACCCGUGCAGGAUACAUGCAAAAACGGGGAUACUCUAAAAAACAGCUGGCAUACUUCAAACACCCAAUCUUCUGCUGUUGGGUCUGUGAAAGGGAUAGGCGGUAACUUUGUUGAUGAUAUGGAGGAGAACUAGUAUACCAAUCCUAAAUUUUCCUUGUGGGUUCAUGUUACACGAUAUGCCACAGCUGCUACUCCAUCCGGUCGUGGAGACAAUGCAAGAUGUAAAUCCAAUUAAAUAUAUUCGCCGUAUUCCCGUAACAGCAUUUUUGCAAAAUGCCGUUUUCUCGUAUCCCCGUACUGUGUAACAUAGUUUAUAUAUAACCUUUUUGAACACCCUUAGUGCCAAGUAGAAGAACUUUGACCAAGAAACGACCAUGCCAACGUGCCAAGCGAUCUGCACAUAUCAAAGUCCACCCAUACAGACCUAGAUGGACUGCCACCAGCAAGAGCAAUAGACCCUAUAUCUCAGUUUAGGGAGAAAAUGCCUUGAAAGAAGGAACAGGGUGGUAAUAUUCACAAAGGAGCUAAUUUUGGUGUUGAUUUUGUCUUCUUUUGCAACUUGCAUCUCUCAGGGAUUUACAACCGCCAAUGGAACUUGGCUGACUAGAACCAAUUUGCCCCUACAUUCUAGUAAUUCCUAUACGUUUUAGAUUUGUUCAAGGCUUCAAGCUAUAUAAGCUAGAAUUUAGUGGACUUCAUAUUAUUUCUGUACUACUCAGAGCUAUAUAAGCACGGCAGUAGGUCAAAUAGUCUUGAUCAGAGCUACAUUUAUAAAAGGCUUAAAUCUAAGUUGACGAAUCAGAGCCAUUGGAUUAGUAUCUAGAUCUCAUUUUGCCCUUCUUUUUUUCAUCAUCCGUUUCAAAUCCUAAAGCACAAAUCAUAUCCAACGGUUGAAGAAUUAACUUAUCUCUAACUAAAAAUCAGUCAACUUAGAUAUAGCAAAACGUUAUAAGUAAUACUCUCCAAGUCCUCAAGAAGUUCCUCCAGCAUAAUAAUUUACUGAACUAAGCUGCAGUGUGGCUCUUUUAAAACAAUUGUUACAAGUUUUGUCACUAAUCUCUUUUUGCAGGAAGUUUUGUCAUUAUUAAUCCAACGAAGUAAAAAAAAAAUCAUAGAUCGUACUACCAUGGGGAUCAUCUUCCAAUUUGUUGUCUUAAUCUGACACAAUCAAAGCAACCAUAUGAUCUCAUCCUAAAUUAACGACUUCUGACAGUACUAAGAAUGAUAGCUAGACCACAAUAAGGAUCUCUAAAUAAUUUGUAGAGUCCGAGCAAGUUUUGAUUCCGGUACCACCCCCAAUGAUCAAACUCCUCUUUUUGAUACAAGUUACAGAAAAAACACAAGCAAUUCCAAACAAGAAAGAAACUGCUGAAGUUACGCGAGUACAAUUACCUCCCUCGCAGCCACCCCCGAAGACGACGAGCCAGCCGGCGACGAGGUUGAGCGAGUGCGACGCGCGAGGCCGUGGCGAGACGCCUUUCACCCGGAGCCUUCGCGCGGACAGGGCACCGAGCCGGGCGACAUCGGCGUAGACGCGGCGCCACGGCCGGUCGCGGCGCCGCUCGGCGAGCGCGGCGGCGGCGCGUCCCCCACAGUCGCGGCGGAAGAGCGCCUCCCAGAGCACGUCGGAGGAGGCCCAGGCGCGGAAGGCGCGGCAGGUGGCGGCGAAGGAGAGCACGGCCUCCGCGGGGAGGCGCCGCAGGAUGGAGAGCACCUGGUCGUAGCCCAGGUGCUCGACGGGCGCCGCCGCCUCCAUCACCUCACCGCCCCCCUAUCUCUUCUUGGCACUUCCCCUCCGUGAACCCCCAUGGUUCUUGAAAUCGAAUCCUAGGGCGCCAUGGUCGACAAACCUCAGCUCGCAGCGCCUGCUUGGUGCUCAGAUCCUAUGGUUAGUGGCUAAUUGGGGCGAGGUUGGUGUUCGGGGGACAUGGAGGACUUGGGCUGGAGCAAGCAAAAGAGGGGAAGGGGGGAGUGUGGCCGCCUUGCUUGCUUGUGGUGGUGAGGUGAUCAACUGACAUGCGGAAGAAAGGGAUUGGAGGGCCAAAUUCUUGUGUUUGACUUGUUUCUUUAGAAAUUGUAAGUAUUUAUUUGAUUUUGAUAACCUUUUUUACUUCCAGAAUUUUCAAAUUAAAGAAAUUUCAUGAGAAUUCUGUGAAGUUUCAUGAACUCAGACCAUGGAUCACCCUGGAAGAUGAUCAACCCACUGCUUGCUAGAGCGUGUGAUUACACCACCAACUUGCUGACCCUUUCCACCGAUCACAUGCAUCUUCUCUAGUUGAGCAAGGUAAAUAAAAUUGAUAAGGACAGCGAUUGGUGUUAAUUCGGAAGAGCAUAAUUUGUCGUGUUUUGUAGGUAAAGCCAAGUGGAGAUGCAUGGGCCACAAAUACUUGUUUCUAGAGCUGGAGUGGGGCAGGGCUUUGAUGUCUCCGUAUGCCUCUCUGAUAACGAAGCUUUCAUCUCCAUCCGAGGAAGGCCUCUUCCUCUUUGCUCUUAUCACUCCAAUUCAAUCCAAGCUCAUCAUCUAUCCUAUCCUAUAUGUAAUUUCUUUCAUUGACUUCAUGUAAACAACAAUAGAUGCCAUGCGGAUAUAUAAUUAUCUUAUACCUCCUUUUCUUUACAGUUUUCUCUCACCAAAAAUAUGCAAAAAUGGAGUAUGUAUUUUUUUUUAAGUACUCACUCCGAUCCUAAAUUGUUGUCGAAAUAUUACAUGUAUCUAGACCUUUUUUAAGAAUAGAUACAUUCAUAUUUGGACAAAUUUGAGUCAAGAAACUUUGAGCAUGCCCACUUGAAGCAAACAAUGUUGCUGAUAAUCUAGCUCAUGAUGCUCUCCUCCCUGAGCGAGUCUGGAUCGAUGAUCCUCCUGAUUCUAUAGUCCCCUUGUUAUUGUUACUUCAGGAUGUAACUAUUCCAUCCAAUUCAUAUUAGUUGUCUCAGAUUUGUCCAAAUAUGAAUGUACCUGUGAGUCAAGAAUUUAGGAUCAGAGCGAGUAAUUACCGGAAUCCGUCUUUAGCCUCGGUCCUUCUGCCGACAAAUAGUUAAUUAAGCACAAUCGUCUGUCAUCCAGAGAAGCCUUGUUUGUCGACAUGCAUGAAAGUAUAAUCAUUAUCAACACCAGCUGCCAGAUCGAUUGCAGAUGCAACAAAACAUGGUGAUGAGCUCAACAAGGCUUGGGUUACUGUAUGAGAUGUUACGGCGAAUGGUUAGCUUCGCCAAAAUGAUCUCUCUCACUCUAGCCACCAUGUGAGGAUCGUGACUGAUAAAUGUUACCAUCCUUCAGUACACAUCCCCAACUAUCAAGAGAAAAGGCAAUUUUGUCCAUGCUGCUAAGUGCUUACUCCGUUCAAUAAUUUUUGUCAAAUUUUUACAAUACCCAGUGCUCCAAAGAAAGACACUGGAGUACCAAUCAAAUCUGGCCUUUCAUUUAGCAGGGUAAUUUAGACUUUUUCUAUUGUCAACUAAAUGUGUUAUUUUUUUUAUCAGCAAUCUAAUAUAAUUUGAUAAAUCUUCAUUCAUGCUUAUGGCCGCCGGCUCCUCCCCAUCCCCUAGACGCGCCACCGCCAGCAGGAGCUAUGUUCAGAAAGGGAGACAUCGAUCGAUUAAACAUUGCUACCGUUCCUACAACUUCAUAUCUGACAGCUUUUAUACCUAAGAAAAAUUACCAAUGUAAUUUUGGUAGAAUUAAUUCCAAGAACACAUGAAGCUGGCGUCAUAUCCAUGAGAUUGCAGAUUUUUCUUAUCACAAACGAACGCACGUAUGAAUCAAUUCGAUCUGAAGGUGGAGUGAUUCGUUGAUGUGGUAAAGUAUACUCGAUCUAUACAUCUGCGCUGCGGCGCAACCGCGCAGCUCGUCCGAUGUCUCCUGCCCACAGUUCCGGCCGUCGUCGUGAGUCCAGCGCGGUCCUUCCACAAGGGUCACGGCCGCUCCUCCACUGCACCGGUCAUCUCUUCAAAAAUAGGGGUUUGAUUGCCAUGUAGAGAUCUAAAGAAAUCAUUUUUAGAGAGAAAAGAAAUCAGUUAUGGCUCACGAAUAGCCUUCAGUAGAUUGAAUUUUUUAUAUUAUAAUUUUACCCCUUCAACCAUGGUACUCCCAUAUUGUUUAACGGUGGUACUCCUCAAUGCCUAUUUUGGAGUACUUAUUAAUCUCAUCCAUUGGAUCGGAAGGAAUAAACAGUUAUAUUUAAUCCGGUGUACCGUAAAAGAACUCAAAUAUUAAUGUAUCUAGACACUUCUUAGAAAUAGAUACAUCCAUUUUUAAACAAAUUUGAAACAAGAAUUAUGAAACGGAAGAAGUAAGAACGUUUAAAAAAAACUAACGCACAAGACGCGAACCGUUACGUGAAGAUAUCGAGAGAGGCGAUCGAUCUGGAGUAAGACACAAGGGUGGAAGGAAGAUCUUCGCUCACUCACACAGCUCACAUCCAGCCAUCCCAUGUUUCGUUUGGACGGCGCCCGAGGCAAAAUGUUGUCAAUGGCUUUUCCCAUUGUUCACCACGCAAAAUGCAUGUGGAGUGAACACGACUACAUGAGUACUGUGACUCUUGUUUUGGCAUGCAUGCAAAUUGCAAGCAAGGAACACGCGUGAUUAAGUAAUUAACUGGUCAACAUAUCUUUGGUGUGACUAAUUUAUCAUCCUUGUUCUGUGGUCAGGUGAGACCCAGUAGAUACUUGCUCCAUUCAAGAAUUGAUGUGAAGUUAGAUAACGCUAAUGACUAAAUCCAUGCUCAGGGCCGGUUAAUGUUGAAGCUAGGAGUAUCUAGACCAAUGUACCUAUGCAUGAUCAUGAAGAUAGAGAAUGCACAUAUAUAUGGAUAUACAAGGCCUGAAAGAUUGUCGUAACUUGGUACCACAUGCAAACUAGAUGCCAAAUACCAAAGUUAAUUUUACCUGUUUCCAUACAUGAAAAUAAGAUAAAGUUUCUACAUCCGUGGUCUUCAUUAAUUACGGGAGCAUUUUACAGGCGGUCAGAUUGACAAUGAGGGAGAGAUUUGAAAUGUCAAGUCAAGAAUCACCGCACUAAAACGAAUCCUAGACCGGAAAAGCAAAGCGAGCGGAUUGCAGAGAUCUACCGUAUUUGAACCAAAACAUACAUAGAACCUUUUGUUGGUCUCGGACUAGAGGAAGUGAGGAACACUCAACAUUGUGAUAUACACUCACUUUACUGACUAAAUCGUGUUUGAACUAUAUUUCAUAUGAUAUACACACUCAUUCUAGCCGCCGCUGCAGUCAAAACUCAAAACAGAUAUAAAACUGUGGGUCUCUCUACACAAUCUCUGCGCAUCAGCGUCGCGACGAUCAUUCGAUCGCAUUGACCUAACAAGCAUCGGUUUCCAACAUUGUGCUUUGUCUCGCUCCAAUAUCCCACGGAAUCUAUUACUAUCUAUUAAAUUGGAAUUAGUGGCGAUUGUCACGGACGGGUAAGUCAAUUUUGUUAAAAUUACAACAAAUAUGUCACUUCCCGUUAUUUUCUCUCCUUCCCGUCUUAUUCACGAUUCCUCCUCCUCCUCCACCUUACGACCGACGCCACCGCGUCCGCGUGAGCCCAUGCCCGAGCCUCCCCCUCCACCCCCAGCCCGAUUUCUCCUCCUCCGUUUUACAACCGAUGCCAACCGACGCCACGGCACUCCGAGCAAAGUCGUCACGUCGCCGCCCACUUCACCUGUUCUCCUAGCACCUCCACAGCCGCCAGCCGCCGGACUCGUGGGAGACGGCCGAUCUUGACGGCGCCAUGAGUUGCUUGCUCCAUUCUGCCCGCCGCGUCAACUCCUCACUUGAUCUCGCAACCCGGUGUAGCCGCAUGACCGCAUCCCCCAGCGCCCUAAGCGUCCCGACCUUCCCAGCCUUCGCCAACCACUUGCGCACCCCCUUUAGCUGAUUCCAACCACUGGGUUCCGUAGCAACGCACGGGCACACCUGCUAGUAACUGUAAUCUCAGACCUUUGCAUUCUCAUUGUCAAAGGUGCAUGGCUUCUACAUAUGGAGACUGGAGUAUUUAUCUAGGCGUCCAUGUGCAUUGCCAAGCUAACGGAAUGGGAGAUGUGUGAAUUUGAUCUCUUCAGUAGCGCUCACCCAAUUUGUGUUUUGCAUUCAUGUUAAACACGUGACUUAUUGUGUAGAUCCCUCCGCCUGAGGGCUGUGACGGGAUCCGGCCUCCUGUGGGGCGUUGCAGCGCGGGAUUCCCUCAUUGUCUUAUGAUUAAUUUUAAUCAAUAGAUCUAACAGGAGAAUCAAAAGACAUUGACGAUGCUCACAGCAGCCACGUCCCGAUGGAACUUUCUAUUUGUUCAUCAAUCCUUUUGGAAUUAAACAUUCUCAAGUUAGAUUAUUGCCAAAUUAUAUAUUUUCUGGAGAGUACUAGAAUGAUGGUGAUUAAUUCAUCUCUCAUAGUAGCGUCGAACGUCAAUAUUGAUAUUUGAGCCCCGCAAAAUAAAGAGAUUGAUAUUUGAGAAGACUUCUCAUUCUAGGCACCCCCUCUCCUCUUCUUACGAAAAACACAAAGACAUACAGAUUGUAACCCUUCAUAAAAAAAGUAUGAUGAACAUUAAAUAAUAUUUCAUCUCUUCUUUCCGCUCGUCUCCGAAGAACACUCGAAGUUUUUGAUUUUGCUGGAGAUUGCACCGUUGGAUCGCCACAAAAUUUGACGAGCUUGUAAUAGACACAAUUCCACACAACCCCACCGAAGGGAUCAGCAACAAAUUUAUUGAGGCAACGGGAACCAUGCGAACAAGUCGGACGUUCGUGCUCUCCCGCACGCCCGCGAGAAUCCAGACAACACUCGUGUUUGAAAUUUUCUGAAGAUUCCACUGUUGGAUCGUGACGAAAUUUCAUACUGCUCAGUGCGCCUCAUAUAUCCACCCCUUGUACAUGUCUCGAGAUGUGCAGCUCCGUGUGGGGUGAGAGAGGCUCAGAACACCUGAGGAGGGGGGCGGCAGAGGGGGAGCCAUCAUACAUGGAGCUACCAUAUACAGGGAGCCGCCAUACAUGGAGCUGUCAUAUGGGCGAACCGUGCCGCCAUGCCCCCGGAAUCACCAUACAUGGAGCUGUCAUAUGGGUGAACUGUGCCGCCAUGCUGCCGGAAGCCACGAUAUACAGGGAGCCACCAUACAUGGAGCUGUCACAUGGGCGAACUGUGCCGCCAUGCUGCUGGAAGCGACCAUACAAGGAGCUAUCAUAUGGGCGAACUGUGCCGCCAUGUUGCCGGAAGCCGCUCGAUGUGGCCAAGAGAAACGGCGAUAGUGAAUGAGAUGGAAGAGAAAUUUUUGUGUGCGUUUGAUUUGAGCGCAAAUCUCGACGCAUAACAUGUGGGUGGGGAUAGAAGGUGCAGUACGCUGGGUGUAGAAUUACUCUCCUGAGUGAAUUUAUUUUAUUUCAGAAAUUCCGUUUCUUCUAUGCUUAGGUGAUUUUGUUUGGCCUGGAUUGAUUUCAGACCUUGAUCUCAAGUUUAUUAAUGCUGCCAGUAUCACUGCUCUUUUGGCCUACCGCCUACAUAACUAAUUAAUCGAUGAACAGAUCGUGUAUUUGUUGUUAUCCAAGCCACCGCGUGGAAUCUGACGACGCCCGGCCAACAUGGCUCUAAUUAAUCGACUAACACUCUCCGUUUCUAAACAUAAAACGUUUUAACUCACCAAACAUAAAACACCGUUGAUUAAAUUGAUUGAUUUGUUACGAUGUGGUCGGGCCGGGUUCGUAGUUUGGAUACAUCACAACUACAAAAUUCCUUCGACACCUCAGGGCGGUGAGCAUCAAAACGAACCGCUCAUCUACAUCGGGAGGAUUCCAGACAACGAGAAGGAGUCCCUGCCGACAGAUACAGAUUGCUACGCAGCCGCUUCAGCUAUCUCCAUUUGGAUGACAAGACAAGGCGAUUUUGUUGCCAUGGUCGCAAUUUGUUCCUCUCCAAUAUCCCAUUCCAUAAAAUGGUGGUGAUCCUUCUUGAAUCUGGCACGUCGAUCUACGACCCACCAGCUAUGUACUCCCUUCAAUUCAUAGUAGUUGUCUCAAAUUUAUCAAAAUAUGAAUAUAUUUAUGCCUAAAAAUAUACAUAAUAUUUCGACAAUAGAUGUAGCAUUACAAGAUGGGACGUAAAAAAUCUGGCUAUCUGGCUAGAUCGGGAGAGACGUACGACGGUACGACGGAUGAUACGAGAAGGUGCAUGCGGGUAUUUAUAUGCCUUCUCACUCUUGUUGAAGCAGAGUUCUGUCUACCGGCGUGGCACACACAAAACCAGUAUGAUCAACGAAAGAUAAAUUGUCGAACACAUGUUACUUGAUCAUUUCCGUACCUUUAACCAAAUGAAAAACACAUGUGCUGUUCAUUCUGCGUGCGUUGAGAAUGCAAAACACAUGACUCUGUCAUGUUUCUUCUUCUUCUUUUAUGUUUUGGUGGUCAGCUCUGAUUGGACUCACUGUUUCCGUCUCAGCUAGCUUCUCCACGGAAAGAUGCAUCAUGAUGAUGAUACUAGCAUCUGCAUCUUGACAAACGAAAACAAGGGGGAAAUCUAUUUGUUCACUCCGCACCUGAUUCGUUAACUUUGAGAGCGGAGAACUAAUAACGGGCAGAGCUAACUGGCGGACCAGGUCCUGGGUCCCCGCUGGCGCAACUCCCGUCCAGUUCCUGUUUCCUCUUUUCCCGUUUUUAGUCUAUCCCGAGCUGGAUCGAUCUCGUCUCGCGCUCCGCCUAGUCGCGUGCUCGCGAUCGGCCUCGUCGCGCUGGGCCUCCUCUCAGAGCCCAAUGACAACAUGCAGGCUUCAGGCUUUUCCUCUUUUCCUAUUUUGGUUUUUUUCUACUACGGGAAAAGUGCUGUAGUUGGCUUUAUUUCUUUUUCCAUCUUUUCCUUUUCUGGGAAAGUGUUUUUCAGGGAAUUAAAACGGGUGGGGAAUAGCACUUUCAAUCAAAAAAAGUACACACUUUCAAAUCAUAUCGGUGAGAUUUCAAAAUUCCUAUAAGAAGCUUUUUAUGUCCAUUUUUAUGUCUUUUCUGACAGAUAUUCAAACUUUAAAAUCCUAACAUAGAAUGUCUAAAUUUUAGUAGAUCUGGCUGUUAUGAUCUAGAUAUUCAAACUUUUAUAAUCAUUACACAAAACUUCUAAAUUUUAGUUCUAUGAGAAGUUUGCGGAAAGCGAGCUUGUGUCAAAGAAUCUCAAAUCGCAUAACGAAAAAGUCAAUUACAAUCCUUCUCUCGAAACAAUUAAAACCUUAUCUGAUGUCAACAGGAAUCACUUACAAGAAGAAGAAAGAAAAGCUUUUUAGAGCUAGUAUGAACAAUUUACUAGAAGUACGGAACACAAAAUCUAAAAAGCUCGUAUAAAAAUCUAAAAGCUCAUACGAGAGAAAAAUUAAAACUACCAGAUUCUUCAGCCAUCCUCUUGCACAAAAAUUUGAACAAUCAGACCUUCAAAAUUUGGAAAGCUUAUACGAGAAAUUUAUUGGAAGUCUAAAACAAAAAACAAAAAUAUUGUAUGAAAAACUAAAGAUCUCAUUAUAAGAAAUUUAAGAUUGUAUCACCGUGGUUCAUUAAAAAGCUAAUCUAGAAAAUCACAUAUUGAAAAAGGUUGAUUACAAUACUUCUCUCAUAACAAUUAAAACCUUAUCUGAUGCCACAGGAACCACCUAGAAGAAAACAAAAAGCUUUUUAAAGCUAGUAUGAACAAUUUACUUAAAGUAUAGAACACAAAAUCUAAAAAGCUCAUAUAAAAAUCUAAAAGUUGAUACAAGAGAAAAGUUAAAACUACCGGAUUCUUCAGCCCAUCCUCUUGCGCAUAAAUUUGAAAAGCCGAACCUUCAAAAUUUGGAAAGCUUGCACAAGAAAUUUAUUGAAAGUCUGGAAACAAAAACCAAAAAGAUCAUAUGAAUAAACUUAAAUCUCAUUAUAAGAAAUGUAAGAUUGUAUCACCAUGGGUUCAUUAAAAAGCUCAUCUAGAAAAAAAGAUUAGAAAGCUAAAAAGCUCAAUGGUUUUUGGAAAAAAAAUUAAAAGCUCAUGAUGGGAUCGUCAAAAGCUCUGGAUGAGAUCAUCAAAAGCUCAGGAUGAGAUCGUCAAAAGCUCAUUAUGAAAAAUAAUUUAAUAGCAUGUCUCAAGGAUUUUUGAAAAUUAAAAGCACAUGAUGCGUUCGUUAAAAAGCUCAUCAUAGAAUCCUUAAAAGCUCAUCAUUAGAAUGCUAAAAGCUCACUAUAAGAUCGUUAAAACCUAAUGUAGAAUGUUAAAAAGCUCAUCAUAAGGAUCGUUAAAAGCUAAUGUAGAAUACACGAGGAAAAAUGACCUUAGAAAAAAAAUAAAAUCACAUCUCAACGAAGUUUGAACAAAAAGUGAGCUUAUAAAAAUAAUUGCAAGCACGUCUCAAGGAUUUAAAAAAUUAAAAGCACAUGAUGCGUUUGUUAAAAGCUCAUUAUGUGAAUGCUAAAAUCUCAUCAUUAGAAAGUUAAAAAGCUCAAUGGUUUUUUGAGAAAAAAGCUCCUAAUGAGAUCGUUAAAAGCUCCCGAUGAGAUCGUCGAAAGCUCAUCAGGAACUUCGAAAAAUAAUUGAAAGCACGUUUCAAGGAUUUUUGAAAAUUAAAAGCACAUGACAUGUUCGUUAAAAAGCUCAUCAUUAGAAUGUUAAAAGUUCAUCGUUAGAUCAUUAAAAGCUCAAGGAUUUAAAAAAAAUCAUAUUACAUGAUGGGAUCACUAAAAAAGCGCGUCACGGCAUCAUUAAAAAAAUGCAUAGUUAGAACGUUAAAAAACUCAACAUAAUACCGAGGAAAAAUGACCUUAGAACAAAAAAUUGGAAGCACAUCUCAAAGAUGUUUGAAAAUCGAAAAGUACAUAAUGAGAUUGUUAAAAGCUCAUUGAGAAUGGACUAGAAAAAAUGAUCUUAGAAAAAUAAUUGAAAGCACGUCUCAAGGAAUUUUCAAAAAAUUAAAAAGCACCGGAUGCAUUCAUUAAAAGCUCAUCAUUAGAAUGCUAAAAGCUCAUCAUUGGAUCUUUAACAAGCUUAAGAAUUAGAAAGCUAAAAUCUCAACAUAAGACACAACUGCAUGCCGACAUGUGGUGUUGCCAGCUUUCCUAAAUUUUCAAUUGAUAGCAUGAGCUUGUCUAGUGUUGCUAUACACCAAUCAAAUGAAGCAAUAUUAUCUGCAUCUUCAAGGGCAUUCUAGUAUUCAGGACUAGCUGCUCCAUGACUUGAAGGACAAUGGAACGUAGCAAGUACAAACAUUAGGAACAGUGUUUUUGAACAAAUCACCAUCUAGGUCCAGUACAAUCAUCUUGUCUGGCUCUGACCUUCCUGUAUGUUUUUGAAACUUGACAUACAAACAAAUGCUACAUAUACUACUAUUGCUGUCCGGCAAAGAAAUACAAUCGCGAUUCACCUAGAACCAUAGGCCCAACACCCCAAAUUACACCAUUGUCCCAAACUAUCCCCAGUAGAAUUAAUCAGACCAUCAGACAGGAGAAACAUACAAAUCCUCUUGUUCACAUUAACAAGUAAAUAACUACUCCACCAGAGUACUUGUAGACACAUGGAGAUAAUAGUAACUUGCAGAUCUUGGAUGUUCCACUUGGGGGAUAGUUUCUGGAACAGUUAAUUUUACGAAUUCUUGUGGCUUCAGAUCUUGUUUAAGGAACAUAUUAGUUUGAUUAUUCAUAUGCUACUUUUACAGCAAUUCUGUAAAAACAAACAUAAUUGAAGAACUAAAGGUGUAGUGAUUAACCAAAUGUGCAGCAAUCAAACCUGGACAAUCUGCCACGACGAAAAUUAAAGGAUGCAUGUUGUCUGCAAGUUGUUUGCACACUAAGCUCAAAGCUAUGCAGAAAACAGGGCUCCUGUUGACACACAAAAUCAUCAGUUCCUUAUAUUUCUCGUGCUAAUUCCUCAAAAUCUCCAAUCCUAAUAACUGGAGUGCUAAUAUACUCAUAGGGAAACAAAUUAAAGAUCAAUUUGAGCCACCUCUUGUGGACACCAUGGCUGGAACCCUCAUACUAGAACUCUACCAGAAAGGCACUAGAUUCACAUGAUGGGAAAUGAACAACAGGGGGCCCGGAGAAGCAACAUACCAAAUGGGGAAAUGGGAGGUGUCGUGGGAACUGCAGAGGUGGAGGUUCGCCGGGAGGAGCGAGGCGCGAGGCCACGGCGGCGGUGGGCGGGUCAAAGAAUAGAAGACAGUGCUGGGGGAUGGAUCCAAAGGUAGAGCAGGAGGCGGGGAGGCGGCUUGCGGCGGGAGGAGGCCACACUGAACACCUUGUGCGGUAGCGUCGAUGGCGGAGGUGACGAGGAGGAAGAACCACCUGCCUUCACCGCACUGGGGAGUGGACGGAGGUCCAGGGCGGCGCGCAGAAGACCAUGGAGGAGGCCUCGGUGGGGUUUGGGUUGUGGCGCAAAGGGGUGGGGGCAGGAGGAGGUAGAAGAGCGGGAGGACGAGCAGCAGCGCAGAGAGGCGCGGACGGGAUCCUAGGCAACAACGUCACCAUGGACUGCCGGCAAGGAGGUAGGAGGUGGAGCAAAUAGGAAGGAUGGAGGAAAGGGAAAUGGGGAAAGGAAAGGGAAACCGGAAAGCAAAAGGUGAGCAGCGCGGUCGGGCGUAGGCCUGGAAAAAAAGAAGUUCGACAAUGUCAUUGAACUCUCGUUCACUCGGGUCGUUAAGAGUUCGGUUCGUUAACUAAAGAAUCAAACAGUAUUUUUUUUAGAUCGUUAAGUUUAACGAUCUUAUCGAGGUCGCUCGGCUAGCGCUCGUUAAGCUCGUUAGCGAGCUUAUUUUGCUGUUGAAAUUGUGUUGUUAUUUCUCUUUUGCUGUGUUAUUUCCGAUCUUUAUAGCGUUGUUCGGCUUUUCAUAUAUUUUGUUUGCUGCCAAAAUUUAUCCCAAACACAUAAUUAAGGUCAAAAAAUUUAGGUCAACAUGCCAUCUAUUUAUCUUAACGAGUUUUUAAUGAGCUUAACGAGUGCUCGUGAGCUCUUAACGAACCGAGCCGAACAAUGGUCACAGAUCGUUAACGAUAACGAUCCUAACGAACCGAGCUCUUAGCGAACCGAGCUCUUAAUGAACCGAGCAUGCUCGUUCGGGCGGGCGGCUUUCGUCCGUGCCGCGCGGACGAGCGCUGGAGAGGAGUUUCGACUAAUAACAACUUAUCACUUACAUUUUGAAUCUAUUUUACUUCACAACGUAGUACAGAUAUGAUAUUGCACGCCUGCACCUACCAAUUAUCGGGACAGGGAUGUAAGCGAGACCCCAUUUCGAGACCAUCGGAAGAAACUUACUAGCUUAAUUAUUUUUUUAAAAUUUGAUUUAAAAUUUAGGACUAACAUAUAAAACGAAGCGGCCCGAACCACAAACACCACCGUCUCAAGUUGCACUUGUUGCUUAGUUACCCAGGUGCAUUGUUCUCUUCUACUAUCUCUAUUACAUUAUUAAGUGUCGAAAUACUACAUAUCUAAAAAUAUUUUAAUAUCAUCUGUAUUUAGAAAAUUUAGUAUAGGAGGGAGGGAGCAUCUUUCUUCAAACCGAAUAAGCCUAGGGUCUUUCCAGCCGGAUAGAGUCGUGUGUCAGAAUGGCACGACGCCAUAUCCGUCUGUAUUUCGUGCACGUGACGGACAGAACCCGAGAAAACCGGCCGUACACCGCAGCGUAGGCACGUUCGGGCGUGGGCAGCAGCAGAUCUAUCUUAGCUAGCACGUCUGGGGGACCUCCUCGUCUUUCCCUUGCUUUUUUAUAGGCUCUGAACCCCGCCAGAGCGUGUAUACGCGUACUGCGACUGCGAGGAUCACGACCAUACAGGCACGGGCAGCAUCAGCGGCACGUCAGUCCGGUCGGAUGGCGCCAACUGGACUGGAGAGACCCUGCACGCGGUGCCCACCUGUCAGGCGGUCCGUCCGUCCGCCUGCCCACGCUGGUCCACAACCAAACGUCGUACCAACUUUGUCGCCGCAACGCAUGAUGGCUUCAUUGACUUGUUGGCAUGCACGACGCGCACCACACAACCCCUCGCGUACGUACGUACAGCAUUCAAACACAAGAGUUUUUUUUUUAAGGUCAUCGUUGCCCUAGCUUUGCUAGCCAGAUCGAUCUGUAUAUCAUCUUUCCGGGUGCACGUGACAUUCGUUUUGCUUUGGUAGUUUGAACUUUUAAAUUUGAAUUGUAGUAGUGCAAGAUGAAACCGCAUAUAUGUUCAGCUUGCCAUGCAUUAAGAGGUGGUUCAAGUUCAAACUGUAUACUCGAAAUUGUAGUCUCACUUAAAAGGUUGAGUGAAACUAUAAACAAAUACUUCCUCCGAUCCAUAUUAAUUGUUUCAACCUUGCCCGGAUGUAUCUGUGUCUAAAAAGCGUCUAGAUACAUGUAAUAUUUCGACAACUAAUAUGGAUCGGCCGGAGUGAGUACUUUUGAAUAUGAAAUCAACUAUAUCAAUUUAAUUUCACAAAAGUUAUAUUAAUAGACUAUUUGUUGGUCAAAGGUUCAAUCAAAAGGUACAAAAUGCGCUUUAUAUUUGGAACAGAGCGAGUAUUGUCGAAAUCCAGGCAAGAAAAAAAAAGACGUUGGAUGUCUCUCAACAGAAAACUACACCUAGAAUACACCGAACCCUAUACUAAAGACCGAACAAAUGAAAAUAACACAAUUCCUAGCCUUCAAAAGGAUUGUUGCAAACGCACUAAUGAUGACGAGUCCAAUUAUAGAAUCACCACCUUCAACAAAGGCAUGACGUAGACACACGUAAACUUUGCCGAAUAUGUUUCCGCCGGAGUGCACAUAUGCUUGUCGUUGAAGCUGCCUCUACCAUCAAUACCAUCGGCUUCCACCGGAGAAGAGACUAGUUAAAAGAUGGGAUGCGCCAUACUACCUCGCCUCUAGCCACACUAACGCACCAACCUUCGGUCCAACAAAGAAUAGGCAAGACAGUAUGCCUCCAUAAGAGACACUGUGCAUAGCACCUGCUGGCAACAUACAUGACUUGACGCCACUGGAAAAAGAUCGACGCGUGCCUGAUCAACCCAAUCUGGAGGUCCGGGGGCGUCCCGUACCACCGCCGGUGCGCAGAAAUGUGCCAUAUGCUAAUCAAGUACUAUCCCGUUUCAUAAUUCUUGUCUCAAAUUUGUCCCAAAAUGGAUGUAUCUAUUUUUAAAAAGCGUCUAAAUACAUGUAAUAUUUCGAGAGGAAUUAUGGAAUGGAGGAAGUAUGUGCAAACUCACAAUGCACCCACUGUGUGUUUGCUUUGCAAGCUCCAUCAGAUAAGGAUAGGCGUCCCUUUCUCCCUGUCUUUUCACCUAGAUUCACACGUACGAUCCACCUCAUCACAUAAACUUUUAUAAUUCAUCCAUAAUGAUCUUAAUCGAUAUAUUAAGCCGUGUCUGGUUUGAUCCGUCAAGCAAAAGGAGGUGGCCCGUUUUGCUCAGUAUUUUGAUGACUACUAUAUAUGGCAAAUUGGCAGCGACAGCUAAGAUAGAUGUCACGUCAAGCAAUUUCUUAAACCCAAAUUGUUCCCUAAAGGAGAGUUUCUUAAACCAAAAAUCAGAAUCCAACUAUCUACCAGCUAAGAUCGACGGACCGAUUGAUCGGUUGCUUCAGAAGAAAAAACAAGGACGUUCCAACCAUAUAUAUAUAGUUCAAACGAAAUCAACGUACGUCCAGCUAAAACAAGGAGGAUCUUUUUACUAUUUUCACUCACUUGAUCGGCUAAACAAGAGGAAGAGGAGCCACCCUGAAUUCUGGAUACACUUGUCACUAUAUUACACUAGGACAAAGUCAAGGAUCAUUUUUCCUAAAAAAAAAAAAGGUCAAGGAUCAUCACAGUGGACGUAAACAACUAAAGAGCAUCCCCCAAGUGGUGGUACUACUACAUGAAACUUCCCCUAAUUGGAAAGAACUAAUCAGCAACACAUGAAAGAACAUGUCCAUUUGUGGAUAAACCAUACUACAGUGCACCUAGACACCACGUAUAUAUUAUAUGCAAACUACUGUACGUAGUGGGUGCAUACGUGCGAGCUGAGCUAGGCAGCUGGUAGCGACCAGCCAAAUCAAACUAAUAAACACAUGAGAGAAGAGAACUGCCCGUGUGGGGAAAGACGACGACGGGCCGGUGUGGUCUGGUGGAGUGCUAUACCUAUAUAUGGAUAUAUUUGAUCUGCGGGCACAAUACAGCCAGCCAUUUCGAUCAACAUAUAUAGCCAUUCCAUUAACAAAAGCAUACACGCAUGAGUAUAAAAUUAAGAAAAAGAAGCAAGAGGGGUCUAGAGCUGCCGGAGAAAGUUCUGCUCGACUCGAGCGGGUGCCGGGCGCGCGGUGUGAGCAAGAUAACGUAUAGGUAUUCUAUACAGAUAAAAGACAACGUGGGCUCCUCAUGCGAUCUUGUACCCCCUUCCCCUAUAACACGCCUGCCCAACCAAACCAACCCCUGGUUUCCAUUUUCGUGUCCCCCGUCGUCUCUCACACCCUCACCUACUUGGAAACAAGAAAAUCAGGCAGAAAGAGAUCGAGGGAUUCGGAGGAUGGAAAAGGCGGCGGCGGCGGCGUGCUGCGGGGUGGCGGAGGAGACGGUGACGGCGACGCAGAAGGCGCCGGGGGCUUGCCCGCGGUGCGGCGGCGCGGUGGUGGCGACCGACGUGGAGUCGGCCCGGCGCAUCCUCUGCCUGCCUCUAUGCGUCAAGAACAAGAGGAAGUUCUCCUGCACGCGGUGCCGCCGCAGCCUCGUCACCCUCGACACCCACAGUGCCCUGUCAUGACUCCUGAGUUCAUUCAGCUAGCUAAGCCGGCCUGAUUAUCAGCAUUAGCUAGCUAGGGACGAAGUGCUUUCUGGAAAGAGAGAUUGGGAUUUAGUGGGUGGUGUUGACUGUUGAUUGAUUAUUAGUUAUUCGGCUCCUUGUUCUUGAUCUCUGCUGUGCUGGUGCGCCAAUUUGGAUCCUUUGGAUAUUUCUAGUUCAUUCUAGCCUGAUGCUAUUAGUUGAGUUGGUUCCUUAGGCUAGCUGCUUGCUUUAUCUUGUUAAUAAACUAUGGUGUUUGUCUUUGAAGUUUGCAAUGUCUCCUCGCUAAGUUCUCCGUUUCCUUGUUUCUUGACUGCAUCAUAUCCUCCCCGUUUAUGUUUUUCAUACGGCCUAUCUGCUUGUCUCAGAAUACAAGACAAUGUAUGCAAAUUUAUUCUUUUUCAUGUUUGUCUUUAUCGAUGUUAUCUUCUCCUUCAUUUGCAAGGUUAUUGAUUAAACUAUUCUCUCUGCCAUUUCCUUUUCAGGAUGAGUAGAUUUUGUUUGGAUCUAUCCUGUUUUUUCUUCUUCCGAAAAGAUCUUUUAUGUUGGUAUAUGUGUCUGAAUCUACUGUACAUUUGUUCAUAAAUAUAAGAUGUUGUAACUUUGUCCUCGGUCAAGUUUGAAACUUCAAGUUUGACCAAGUUAUAAAAAGAAAUAUACUUUCUCCAACCCAUAUUACUCGUCUCAAAUUUGCAUAAAAAUGGUUGUAUCUAUGUUUAAAAAACGUCUAGAUACAUGUAACAUUUUCACAAGUAAUAUGCGUCUGAGUAAGUACUAAUAUUUACACAAUAUCAAAUGAGUACACUGUGCAGAUAUAUCUGUCAUAACAAAUUUGAUAAAUCAAGUUAUUGAUCUUGGUGAAAUUUUCUGUAAACUUGAUUAACUUUUAUCAAGUUCGACUUCAGACAAAGUUAGAACAUCUUAUGCUUACUAACAGAGAGUAUUUUGAACCUGAAGAGUAUGUUAUUAGGUUUAACGGCAUGUCCUUGACAUGUUUCUAAUUUUCUAUGCGACUCUGUGUCAAAUGGCACUUGGAAGUUGCAAUCAAAAGCAUAUGUCCUUUGGCGAUUUGUUUUUCAAAUGUCUAAAGAUUUACACACGCUUUGUAUCAUUUUGAGUUUUUUCACGAAAAAGGAACAAAAGAAAAGGAACUCGAUUAUUUCAUUAAGUACUCCGUAUUAAAGUUCUUUUAUUUUUCAACUCAUUAAUAUAAAUUUUUACACAUAAAAGAAUUUUCCUUUAAUUAAGCAUUAAUCACUUUGAAAACUUUUAAUAUUUUUUGUCAACUUUAUUUGUAAUAUGGAAAUGGAAAUUUAUGUGUAAUGAUGAAAUACGGUCUGCCAUUUGGCAGAAGUACUCUGGUCUGCUGUUCCGUUCCAGCACAAAUGGCAAACCAUCUCUUGGUAGCAUGAGAACUGACGCAACCAGACAGUUUCCCCAUAUAUAUAAAAAAGACACUAUUAGUCUAUUACAUGUUUCUUGCAGGUUAAAAAAUUGCAGAUACUGUUCCAAAUAGAAAUAAGCGAGGAAAAGGAGAUGUAAACGACUGAGUUCCCCAUAUACAGCUUGAAGAAGUAAGUAGUACGUGUUUCUGUUUCAAAAUCACGUCUCUGGUCUCUCCCAAAUCCCAGUCGAGUGGAAAUUUCAAGCUUUUACCGGCGUUAUUUACCGUUCUGAGGCCAAUCAACGGAUCCCAUUCAAUCCUCAUCCAACGGCCAAACCAUCCGGCGGGGUCCCAAACCUCCCGUCCUACUUUCUUUCCCUCGGCGGCAUGGCCUCGUUGAUCCUCCGCUCCAAAUCCAAUGCGCGCUACGCCAGGAGCACCAAGGCCAUGCCUCGCCUCCACUCCGCCACGCCAAUGGCUACCCUCCGCCUCCGGCACUUCUCAUCCACCCCGCCGUCCUCUCCUCGUCGGCUCCGCAGCGCACUUGCCUCCGCCACGGAGCGCGUGCGCGCCGGGACCCUCACGCCGGACGACGCACACCACCUGUUCGACGGAUUGCUGCGCCAAACGGCUCAGGUCCCCGAGAGCGUCCUGAACGGCUUCCUCUCCGCCCUAGCCCGCGCGCCGGCCUCCGCCGCCCUCAGAGACGGGCCCGCCCUCGCCGUCGCGCUCUUCAACCGCAUGUCCACCGGCACCGGCCCCCGGGUCGCGCUGCCGACGGUCUACACCUACAGCAUCCUCAUCGACUGCUGCUGCCGCGCCCGCCGCCUGGACCUAGCUUUCGCCUUCUUCGGCUGCCUCCUCAGGCAGGGCAUGAAGGCAGACGUCAUCGUUGUCAGUUCCCUCCUCAGAGGCCUCUGCGACGCCAAACGGACCGACGAGGCUGUGGACGUGCUGUUCCACAGGAUGCCCGAGCUGGGCUGUGUGCCUGAUGCCAUCUCCUACUCCACAGUUCUGAAGAGCGUAUGCGACGAUGGUAGGAGCCAGUGGGCGCUCGACAUACUCCGGAUGGCCGUGAAACAAGGAGGCGGCUGCCCCUGCAACGUGGUGGUGUAUAGCACGGUCGUUCAUGGACUUUUUAAGGAGGGCAAAGUAGGUGAAGCAUGCGAUCUAUUCCAUGAAAUGACACAGCAGGGAGUUCCACCUAAUGUGGUGACGUAUAACUCUGUGAUUCAUGCGUUGUGCAAGGCCAGGGCCGUGGACAAGGCACAAGGGAUCCUCCGACAAAUGGUCGGUAAUGGUGUUCAACCGGAUAAUGUGACAUAUAAUACCUUGAUUCAUGGAUACUCCACUUUGGGCCAGUGGAAACAGGCGGUUAGGAUGUUCAAAGAAAUGACAAGUCGAGGUGUUAUACCAAAUACUGUUACUUGCAGCACGUUCGUAGCCUUCCUUUGCAAACAUGGAAGAAUUGAAGAAGCUAGAGAAUUUUUUGAUUCAAUGCUUGCAAAGGGGCACAAACUUAAUAUCAUCUCGUACUCUACUCUGCUUCAUGGGUACGCUACUGCAGGAUGCCUUGUUGAUAUGAGCAAUCUGUUUAAUUUGAUGGUAAGAGACGGUAUUGUACCUAACCAACAUGUUUUUAACAUACUGGUGAAUGGAUAUGCUAAAUGUGGAAUGGUGCGUGAGGCUAUGUUUAUUUUUGAAGACAUGCAGAAGCGGGGAUUAAACCCUGAUGUGCUCACAUAUUUAGCUGUCAUACAUGCUUUUUGCAGAAUGGGAAGUAUGGAUGAUGCUAUGGACAAAUUCAACCAUAUGAUUGAUAAGGGAGUUGAACCAAACUUUGCUGUUUACCAGUGCCUGAUUCAGGGGUUUUGUACUCAUGGUGAUUUGGUGAAAGCUGAGGAAUUGGUUUAUGAAAUAAGGAACAAAGGACUUGGUCCUUGCAUACUGUCCUUCGCUUCACUAAUAAACCACCUAUGCAAAGAAGGAAGAGUGUUUGAAGCACAACGUAUCUUUGACAUGAUCAUACGUACUGGUGAGAAGGCUGAUGUUAAUAUAUUUACUUCACUGAUUGAUGGAUAUUGCUUAAUUGGUAAGAUGAGCGAAGCAUUCAGAGUACAUGAUGCUAUGGUAUCAGUUGGCAUUGAACCUGAUAUUGUUACAUAUGGUACACUUGUUAAUGGCUGUUGUAAAAAUGGUAGGAUUGAUGAUGGGUUGAUUUUAUUCAGAGAAUUAUUGCACAAGGGAGUUAAACCUACAACUUUUACAUAUGGCAUUAUACUGGAUGGGUUAUUUCAUGCUGGGAGAACUGCUGCUGCAAAGGAAAUGUUCCAAGAGAUGAUUGAAAGUGGAAUAGCAGUGACAAUUCCCACAUACAGCAUACUUCUUACUGGACUUUGUAGAAAUAAUUGCACUGAGGAAGCAAUCACGGUUUUUCAGAAGUUAUGUGCAAUGAAUGUGAAAUUUGAUAUUGUAAUUCUCAAUAUCAUGAUAAGUAAAAUGUUCAAGGCUCGGAGGAGAGAAGAAGCUGAGGGUUUGUUUGCCUCAAUACCAGAUUAUGGGCUGGUACCUACUGUUCAGACGUACACCAUAAUGAUGGAAAACCUUAUAAAAGAAGGGUCAGUGGAAGAAGCUGAGGGUGUCUUUUCAGUAAUGUUGAAGAGUGGCCUUUCCCCCACUUCUCAUUUUAUAAAUGUUAUUGUUAGAACAUUACUGGAAAAAGGUGAAAUAGUCAAGGCUGGAAUUUAUAUGUGUAGAGUUGAUGGGAAGAGCAUCUUGUUUGAAGCUUCAACUGCUUCUAUGUUGUUGUCUCUCUUUUCAUGUAAAGGGAAGCACCGGGAACACCUAAAUUUGCUCCCUGCAAAGUACCAGUUUUUCGGGGGAGGCAGCAAAAGCUGAAUAGUUGAUAUAUUUUCUAUCGAAAUGCAAGUCCUUAGAAGGCACGGUUGGGUCGAGGCUUUGCUUGUCAAAAGGUCCUUCAACUGGUACAAGUAAUGAAAACUACCUGUGUGUAAGGACAUAUUUGUUAACUUCUCAGAAGGCACAACUGAGGUUCCGGUUUCAAGUAUAACAGCUUAUCUUGGCGAUUGGUGCUAGUUAUAGAUAUGUGUUGUGCCACAAGAAGCAAGAUGAAUACCAAUGUAGUCUUUUCUAGCUUGGUUCCCACCUCUUGGCCUUUAAGUAAUGAUUGAUGUCAUCAGUCUCCUUCAUUCAGCUGGGCAGUUGCUCAAUUUAUUUAGUCCUGCGGAUCUUUUGCAUAGGUCCCCCAGCUAAAGAAGAGGGUGAGGUUCCUGGGUCUGAGUUGGAUCCUGACACAAGGAGAGGGCUUCUCAUAUUAAGCAUGAUCAACACAUAACAGAUUUUACACCACCACGUCCACUUCCCACAGGACCUCCUGUACAAAUCUCAGUACCACCAGAGCAAUCUUAUCAAAGUUGGUUUCCUAUAGAGCCUCAACUGUGUUUCGUUUAGAAUCUGAUGCUGCACAUUAUGAUCAAAAGCAAUUGGUUGCUGCAUCCAUCAUACUUCCCUGGUGGGGAUAAUCAUCCUAUAUCUUCUGAUAGAUUUAACAGCCAGAACCAGAGAUAUCCUUCUCAGGUGAUAAUCUAUUUUUAUCUAAUUUAUAUUUGUUCGGUAAUGUGGUGGUUCUAAACGACAUGCUGACAAAUGCUUGAUUUGCAGUCGUCUCACAAGGAUGAUCCAUCAUAUACUUCCGAACCGAGCACCUACAGCCUAUAGAUCAUUUCCUGGUAUCUCUUGCUGCAUGUUUGAUAUUUCUGAUGUUCAUCUUGAGGUUAGCAGUUGCAUAGGAUAAAACAUGGUCCAUGUCUUCUUUUUGUGCUUACUGAACAUGGCUUAAGAUGGUAGGAUUAUGCUAUUCCAGUCUACUAUCUUCUCAUACUAUCCCUGCACAAUUGUUUAUUUGUGUUUGUAUCACCUGCUUGAAUGUGAGCUUUGUGUUCGAUUUUUUUCAUGUAGAAACCUCAUUAAUUUUCACUUGUCGAAUUUUGAAAUUAUUUACACUUUGUCACCAUGUCAUGUUAAAGUGUUCGGUUUCCAUCAUACGUUCAUAACUAUAGUAAUAUGUUCUUUGUUAAUAAUGUUUGCUAGUUCGGCAUUGCAAUUUAAUUUGGGUUUUGACAGAAAUGACAAGACAUUAUGGCUUGCACAGAAAUAUUGAGUUUACCUCUUUUCAAUUAGUGUUACUAGCUUGUUAUAUCUUUGCUUAUAAUGUCUGUUAAUAUGUACGGUCCAACCAUAUACCCAUUCACAUGAGUAGUUGCUAGUAAAGUUACGUAACUCAUGUUGUGAAAAGUCUGGCCUAUUAUUCAUUAUUUUCUGUAAUUGUAAUUAAGAAAAAUAUGGUUAGUCACAUGCAUAGUUAGCUGUGAAGAUCACUGUGCUACUUCGCCCUGUUGCAAGCACAUGAGCCAACAAAUAUACCGUACUUAAGUGUCAUUCUUCUUUGUUCAAUGGUGCUCCCGUCUAGAUUAUCUUAAGCAGUGUCUGAUUUUGAAGGAGUGGAUAUAAAAAAAAUCUAAUGUGUCCCUUUAAGUCACAGGAGCAGCCAAACGUAAUCAGGACGCUAAUUUGUAUAUACAGACACAUCUGGUGGUGUAUUGCAGGAGUUCUCUGCAAAGUGUGGCUUUAUGGUAGUUUUGAUGCGGAAAGUCAGACAAUAAUUAUCUCCUUUCCGUAUUAGAUUACUGUAUCUGAUGUGUUUCUUUACUCAUUUUUAGGUGUGCUACCAUUCAAAAUCAUGUGAUACUACAGAGUUGCAUUUCUUGGCUGAGGUACAAUAGUGCCAUCUUUUCUUUUAUAAACAAUGGUGUGAUGAAAAUUUCCUUUUACUGGCAAUUCUGAAAACUUGAGGUCAAUAUCAGGAUAUGUACUCCCUCCGAUCCAUAAUAAGUAUCUCAGAUUUUGUACUAACUUAGUACAAAGUUGUACUAAAUCCAAGACACUUAUUAUGGAUCAGAGGGAGUACUUGGUAGCAGGUGUUAAUGAUCCAUGGCUCCCUGCAAUGCACUGAUGAUCAUGUAGGUAAAAGCAUAUAUUAACAUUUCACCAACAAUUUAAGUUUUCUGAUAAAUGCAAAUUACUACUACCUCUGUUCCUAAGAGCCUGUUUGGGAGGGCUCCACUUCACAGCUUCAGCAGUGGAGCAGGUGAAGUCGUCCCAAACGCUCUAAACUUCACCACAUAGCUGAAGUGACGCCAUAUACCUCUCUAGUUCAUUUUACUGAAGCCAAGAAAGAGGUGCUUCACCUGCUCCACUUCACCUAAACUUGAAAUAAUUUACCCACCAAUGCCAUUACUGAACCGAACCGUUAUGUUUCUAUCCCAAGCGCCAGGCCUGACUCCUCGUCUCCCUCCAAUCGCCAUCGACAGAUCGAGACGGGCGGAGGCCCAUGGCGGCUCAUCUUCAGCCCUAGCAGAGCCGGCCGCCAUCCAUCUCCGAUGCUCCCGCCGGGAUCCUUCUCCGGCGAGCCCGCCCGUUCUCCGAGCCCUCAAGCCCGCCGCCAAGGGGAUUCGCCGCCGCCAAGAAGGUACCAACUUCGCCGUCCCCCUCUAUUCCCUCUGGCCCAUGGCGGCUCAUCUUCAGCCCUAGCAGAGCCGGCCGCCAUCCAUCUCCGGUGCUCCCGCCGGGAUCCUUCUCCGGCGAGCCCGCCCGUUCUCUCGGUGCCCUCGAUCUCGUUCGCCUCGUUCUCCCGCGCCCUCGAUCUCGUUCGCCUCGUUCUCCCGUGCCCUCAAGCCCGCCGCCAAGGGGAUUCGCCGCUGCCAAGAAGGUACCAACUUCGCCGUCCCCCUCUAUUCCCUCUGACCGGAGCUACUCCCUUUUUUUGUGACAAAGAGAGGCCGCGUCCUCUCAGAUUUCAAUUAACAGAAACCGAAUGUGCUAAUUCUGCAGGACAUUGCCGCCUCUGAACCAAGUUCUUCUUCUCUCUGAUUCCUCUUCUCCAUCGAUUGAGCCUGGAACUAGAAGGUAGCAGGUCUUCUUCUUUUGUUUCCUCUUAUUUGUUUCUCUCAUCCUCUCAUUUAUCUUACUCCGUACCAAAUUGUUCAUAUAUCACAAAUUGAAAUAUGUUACCAAAUUGUUGUAUGCCCAGAUUUAUGUUCAUAUAUCAGAAAUAGAAAUAUGUUACCAAAUUGUUGUAUGCCCAGAUUUAUGUUCAUAUAUCAGAAAUAGAAAUAUGUUAUCAAAUUGUUGUAUGCCCAGAUUGGUAAUACACACACACAUAUAUAUGUUCAUUUCUUUUACCCAUAAGAUGGUGCACUGAAUAACUCUAUUGGAUAAUUUAUUUGAAGAAUGGCCGCCGUCAAUUGGAAUGAUGAUAAUACUAGAAUUAUUACUGAGUUGUUUGCCGACCAAGUUCACCGUGGAAAUCGUCCAAAUAGCCACCUGAAUAAUGUUGUGUAUGAGGAGAUUGCCUAGAGGUUUAAAGAUAAGACAGGCAUCGAGUUAAAGAAGAAGCAAAUCAAGAACAAAUGGGAUAAAUUGAAGAAUGAGUAUGGUAUAUGGAAAAAGUUGUUGUUGAAACAAACAGGUGCUAGCUGGGAAAGAGGAACCAUCAAUCAGGACGCCGAAUGGUGGAGGAAGGCCAAAGUGGUAAGUGUUUUCUUUAUCAUUUACAUGUACUUGCUGCAUUUAAUCUAUUUCAUUUGUGAUAAUUAUAGAUGGACUUGUUUCAAUUGGACAUUCCUGGUUGCGGAAGGUUUCAAAACCAAGGUAUUCGUAAUGAGGACAAUCUGGAACUUAUCUUUGAAGAUAUCACUAAUGAUGGACAUGAUCAUUGGUGUCCUACUUCGGGAGACUUGCCCCAACCAAAUAUUGUGGAAGAUGUCAUUAAUCUUGAUGGCGAGGACGGUAUUGACAUUGAUGAGCUAGAUGAGUCUCCGAGCAAUGUGAAAGGGAAAAAGAGAGGUGCAAAGGUUGUGGGUGACAAGUCCAAGAAGUCGAAGACAUCUCAAGUCAUGCAAGAUGAGAUGAAAAAGAUUGGUGCCUUGGCAGAAAAGACACAAUCAUCAUUGGAAUCUUUUACAACAAAAAAUGAUGCAUGUUCUGUUGCUACUGUGAUGGACUUGGUGAUCGAAUGUGGUGGAGCUUAUGGUACUAAUGAGCAUUUUAUUGCCACCGAGCUGUUUGUGAAAAGAGAGCAAAGAGAAAUGUUCCUCCACAUGCCAACUCCAGAUAUUCGUUUUGAAUGGCUUAAGAGGAAGUACGAGGCAAAAUAUGCUCGUUAGAUAGCUAUUUGAAUGUAAUAAUUAUGAAGUUUUUUUGACAGCCUAUGAACCUAUUUAUGUUCUCCCAGACUGUGUGUGACUAGCACUUUGUCCUCUAUAUUUUGUUCUACUCCCAGCCUAUGAACCGAAUGUUUUAUUUGACUAUCUGUUUUCCAUAUUGUUAGACUGUGUGUGUGCUGAACCAUGUAAGCAAACUUCUGGCAUCUAUCUAUUUGACUAUCUGUUUUCCAUGUCCAGGUUGUUCAUUUCUUUCAUCUCAUUGUCCAGAUUGUUGUACAUAUUUUUUUUUCAUUUCAUAUUUUUUUUGCCUAUGUUGUUCAUCUGUAUAUUUCUUGUUACGUACAGAUGUCAUCGGAUAGCGAGAACGAUGGAAGCAAUGACGAUGAGGAAGAGAUGAUUUUUUAUAAUCAUGUUCAAGCUCUGAGUGCUAUUUACCAUGCUGCGGCAAACAUUGCUGUGAAUUAUUCUAGAACCUUUCUUGAUAAGGCGGAUCCAAGGACCUCUAUUCUCAGCGGGAUGGGUUGGUUGAAGGAGACACUAUCAACACCUGGAGAGACCUAUAGGAUGUUGCGUUUGAACAACCACGUCUUCUUUGACCUGCAUGACUUUCUGGUGAGAAAAUACGGUCUAACCGCAUCCAUACAUGUGAGUAGCCAUGAGUCGCUCGCGAUUUUCCUUUGGGUUCUUGGUGGAUGUGAAUCAAACCGGAAAACACAAAAUAGGUUCAAGCACUCAGGUGAGACCAUUAGCAGGAAGUUUGAUGAGGUUCUUCAUUGUGUCGUAAAGAUGGCGACUCACUAUUUGAGACCAAAGGACCCAAAUUUCCGUGUUGUCCAUAAGAGGAUUAGAGGUGACAAAAGGGCUUAUCCACACCUUAAGGAUUGUAUCGGUGCACUAGAUGGUACUCAUAUUCGUGCAUCACUUCCUGCUGAUCAACAAGUGCACCGCAUCUCAGAACGUGUUGGCUAUUUGUGAUUUUGAUAUGCGCUUCAUUUACGCAUCUAUUGGACAGCCGGGUGCUAUGCAUGAUACAAGUGUGCUAUACCAUGCCAUAAGAGUGGACCACGACAUCUUCCCGCAUCCUCCGAAAGGUAAGCUUGUUCAACAUAUCGCUGAUUUCAUUCGUCUCAUCUUGAAUGUGUUCACCCUAAAAAAUUAUCUUCUCUUUUAGGUAAGUACUAUCUAGUUGACGCCGGUUACCCUAAUCGGCCAGGGUACCUUGCUCCAUACAAGGGUGAGAGAUAUCAUGUCCCUGAUUUUCAUAAAGGUGCGGAGCCAUCUACUCCAAAGGAAAAGUUCAAUAGGGUGCAUUCAGCUAUUCGUAAUGUCAUUGAGAGGUCUUUCGGCGUGCUGAAAAUGAAGUGGCGCAUAUUGUUAAAGAUGCCAAAUUAUUCCAUGGAUAAGCAAAAGUUGAUUGAGGCGGCUUCCAUGGUGCUUCACAACUAUGUGCGCGAGCACCAAAGUGGGGAUCGGCAUUUCUGUAGGUGUGAUCGAGACCCAAAUUAUGAGCCAACAAUUCCAGAAAGGUAUCAAAAGUAUGCAAUUUCUCAAAGUGCAUCCGAUGGGUCAACACCGGAGUUGAAUGAUACAUCUAUGGAUUCUUUCCGCAACAAGCUCGCGACCGAUAUUUCUCUAGGUUGGUAAUACAUCAUGAAAUUUGACGUGAUAAAAGAUGAAUAUUUCUGUAGUGUGGUUAUUGGACUAUGUCGUGAUGAACCUGGUGUAUGAACACUUGUUUUGAUAUGACUGUUUUAUUGAUUUUGCCGGCUGAUUGCAUGGCUUUUAAAAUUGUGUUUAAUCUGCUAUUCUAUUCAAAGCUGGGUUAUCAAAAUGAUUAAUUCAUGCAGGUUCAUUUUCUAAAGCAAACAAGAUGUGUGUUUGAUGUAUGUAUACAACAUGUGAAACACCAAAAAAAAAAAAGUGCAAACAAUCAACCGAUCGGCAGCUGUGUUCUGCCACAUUCAUCAAUUCUUACACACUUGCGGUGAUCGAUUGUACCACAGUUCACAGGUGAAGUAAUCUAGUCCAUCGAUGAUCCAUAAUGGAAAGAAACAAAAAAAAAGACAGCAAACAAGGGAAAUGACAGUGUGGAGCUGGUAUGUGUGCCAAACGAAGUGGAGCUGGGGUGGAGUGGAGUUUAGAGGUGGAGUGAAGUUUAGGUGGAGGGGAGCCCUCCCAAACAGGCUCUAAAUAUAAGAUGUCGUAGGUUUGUCCUAAGUCAAAUCUAUUCAAGUUUGACCAAAUUUAUAUGAAACUAUACUGAUAUUUACAGUAUCAAAUAAGCAUAUUAUGAAAAUAUAUAUCAUGAUGGAUUUAAUAAAACUAGUUUGGAGUUUUAGAUGUUGAUACAUUUUUCUAUGAACUUGGUCAAACUUUAAGAAAUUUGAGUUAGGAGAAAGCUAGAACAUCUUAUAUUUAGGAACGGAUGGAGUAUUAACAACUUCCACUGCUCACAGGAUGGCCUCAUGUUUUCUAUCCCUGAUAUUCUUCUGCCUCCUUCAGGUUUGGAUUGAUGGUGAAAAAGUUGGUGAAGGAAGAAAAAGUCGGGGAAGAAAUUAAAAAAAGAAGGAAAGAAGCUGAACGCUAAGUCCUGAUAAAUGCUGACUUUCUAGUUUUCUUGAUUCCAGAUGAAGAUGCCCAAUAUGCAACUGAGCUAUUGGAGGUUGGUUUCAGAUCUUAUUUAAAAAACAGAGGUUGGUUUCAGAUAGUAACACAUUCAUUUAUUCGGGUAUGCACCACAAUUGAUUGUUCACGGCGGAUGCUUUGUUUUACCUAGCUUACUGCUAAGGUGUCAUCAAAGUGUCUAAAUCUUGGAACAGUCCGUUAUUAUCAUUCCAACCAGUUCCAUUGUGUUGUUGUUCUCGACAACAAAUAUAAUAAGGGGUGCCAAUGCUUGAUGGCACAAGUGCGAGUAUAAAAGUAGGGCGUGUACGCCGGUCUUACAGCGAAGGUCGUCAUACACUUGGGCAAGUUGACACAUUGAUAUUUUUUUAAUAGGUUCGGUCGACCCUGCGGAUACGACUUAAUCCUAUGUUAGAAAAAGCUUUGAGGGGAUUGUUAGCCAAGUGCUUGGGCCGAGCGGAUCUUCCCAAGACACCUUUAGCGAGAGAUUCGUCGGGGCUGCCUCGUACUUGGACCGAACGCGUCUUUCCAAGUAUCGUGGUUAGGAUACCUUCGAAACUCUAACCCAACCCCUUCUCCUUCGAGCCCAUGCUAACCAAGGUUAGCUCAGAGCCUCGAAACUAGAGUCCACUAAGAGGCUUCCUCAAGGCCGGUCGACUUUUAGUCGAAAGCGACGCUCGAGAGCGAAUCUUAGAGGGAGCACUCUAGCCCUCUCCCCUUGAGUUUAUUCAAGUUGAGAGUGAAUGAUACAUGCCCUCAUGGGGGUAUUUAUAGCCUUGGGGUCCAUGACAAAAUACCAUGGCUACCCUUAAGGGAGAGAGAAAAGUGGGGGCAAAAUGGUAAAAGUAGCUCCUUGGUCCAUAACUUUUGUAUGCACCAUGUGGGGAAAAGUGAGGGUUGGUCCAUGGUCCACCGUGGACCAAAAGCCUCAUCCCCACACCUUUCUUGCCUCCUACUCUAGCUCAUUUUACCUUUUGACCAUGGCAUAAGAGGCUUGACUUGUUGACUUGUCUUUUUUUUGUCAUGUAGGAUUGACUACGCCAUGUUGGCAUCUUGACUCACGCUGGAAAAUGUUGACCUAGUUGUCGCCAUGUAGGAUUUACGGCUCGACCCAUAUAAAGGUUUUAUUUUACUACGACACAUUGGAUCCUGGACGCACUAGAGGUUUUCGGUCUGAGAUCCAGAGCUAUAUGCCUCGACACAAUGAGAUUCCUGACAACGUGGCCAGUAUGUUUUUUUACAGUAAGUGCUUACCUCUUUUAUUAUAACAUUUUUGAUCUGGCUUGAAUAGAAAACCUAAUUCAUUCCCUCGCUAAAAAAAAUGCUAAUUCAGACUUAUGCUCUUGGUGUACAUUCUUCUUAUUGCUGACCUGCGUGUGGCUCUUAAGGUCAAGUAAUGCUGGGAAAAGGAGUUGGAGCAAACAUGGGAGGAAGUUAAUUUGCAGGCUAUAAGCAGGUAGAAGAAAUGGAUCUCAUGCUCAAUUAGCUCCCACACCUUGUAGUUAACAGGUUCCUACUGCAUAGCUUAUUUCUAGAAGAAUUAUUGUUGGCGGGCCACCUUGUGAUUAACAGGUUUGUACUCCAUUAUUUAUUUCUGGAGGAAUGGCUGUUGUCCGGCCGGAACAAAUAUGAUCUAGUAUGCACAGAUCCAGAGCUAAUGCUAUUACCAUCGGUAUAACAUUGAUGAAAGUGAUGCCUUCACUAAACUAGAGUUUUUCUCAGUUUCUGCCGUCUUGCGUGAUCUGGGCAAUUUGAUUGCUGCAAGGUGCAAAUGGGGGCAUAGAGGCCUCGGUGCCCUUGUUUUCAUGUCAAAUCCUAGCACAGACAGAUCCUAAUGCCAUACUCAGGAAGAAACCGUUCCUCACUGAAUAAAAGUAAACAGCAGCAGCAGAUCUUUAGGACAAGAUCUUUAGAACGGAGACACAACUUUAGAUUUGAUAACCUGAUCAUUACAUUACAAUCAUUUAUCACUACUGACAAAUGUAACCUCUUCCUAAUUGUAAGAAGCUACUCCGUACAUGAUAGCAGCAGCAGCUGCUGGUGGCUUGCUUCCCACUUGUAAGAGACCGAGAGCAACCAUUUAUCACUAAUCUCUUCUCAAAUACACUCCGGCACCACAAAAAUGAGCUGCUAGGAGAAAGAAUAGACUCAUUCAUUGAACACGACAGAUAUGUUAACAGAAGUGAAUAGAAACAACAGGUUCACUAAAAUGUCUGGCGUGGAUAUCAAAGGUUCUGACCACUGGCUGUACAGUUUUUGUUUUUCUCCUCCUCGAGGCCCUUUUACUUUUAUCCUUCUUAAGUAAUGAAUGCAUCGCUGCUGCUUUGAAAAAAAAAAGGUUCUGACCAGUCAAGCAAAACAAAUGUACCAUCGUUCAUUUAAUCCUUUAUCAGUAAGGUCCAAGGAUAACUACUCCCUCCGUCUCAUAUUAAGUGACUCAAAUUUGUCCAAAUAUGAACGUAUAUAUAACUAAAAGUUUCUAGAUACAUGUAAUACAUCUCAAUGCUUGUGCCCCGCAUGUGGAGGAGUUUCUGAUCCUCUGGGAGGCGUUGGGUGAUUUUGCGCUGGAGCAAGGCCAUGAUGAAUUUUGCUGGAAGUGGUCGGCGAAUGGCAAAUACUCGCCAAGUUCAGCUUAUUUAGCCUGGUUUGAGGGGAGGGUGGAGAUGGAGGCGCACGACUUGGUUUGGCGUUCAAAGGCCCCUCUCCGUUGUCGCUUCUUCAUGUGGCUGGCGUGUCGACAACGUUGCUGGACGGCGGACCGUCUGAGCAGAAGGGGCUUAGACCACCCUGAGCGCUGUCCUCUUUGCGAUCAGGAGGAGGAAACAAUUGGUCAUCUUCUCUUCGGUUGUGUGGUCGCUAGGAUUGUUUGGUUUCAGGUCCUUUCAGGGUGGAACGCGGUCCAGUGGAUGCCUGAUCAAGACUCAACCAUGGCUUCCCGGUGGCAGAAUAUCCAGGCUUCUCCUAAGGACAAGAAGAUGAUCGCCACUUCCGCUGCGCUCAUCUGUUGGUCGAUCUGGAAACACCGGAAUGAGGUGGUAUUUGAGAAGAUGAGGCCUAGGCACCGGGUCAUCAUUCGUGCCAUUCAGUUGGAGGGCGAAGCUUGGCUUAAGGUAUGGCUGUUAGGUUUUUCGAGAUUUGCGACACUGCCAAGUGGGAGAGAUGAGUGGAUCGAGAGACACUGGAUAAUUCUUUGUAAACGCUGGCCUUCGGGUCUAAUUGCUUUGCAGUCCUCUUUCUUUUACGGACGAUAUGCCCGUCUGAGGCAUAUCUAUACCUAUCUAAAAAAUAUGGACCGUUCCCUUCACCGUCGUCUGUCAAACUUCCCAUAAAAUUUGUGGGCCCCUAGGAUUGCACCGAAUCUAUCUAUACCAAAGUAAAAAUACGCACUGUUCCACCUUUUUUUUCUCUCUUUUUUUCGUCAAGCCCUCAAGACCCACCUCGUCCGCCCGCACGCAAACCACUCCUUCGUCCGCUCCAGACGCCGAGCUCCCCCCUCCUGGCGCAGCCCAAUAGGAGACCCUUCCUAAUCCAACAUAAAAAAUAUUUUCCUUGACGCAGCGAAGAAAACCCAAUUAAAAGCCCAAAGGUAUUUCUUCAUACCGUCGACCUUGCUCUGCCGCUUUGCUGAUGCUCGUGUCUGUAGGUGCAGCGCCAGAUUGAUUCGCCACAAAAAAUAUGGUCCAGCAUGCGGUGCCUCCUUCCAUCUGAGAGCCGGCAGCGCUGGCCUGCAGGCUCCAUCUUGUCAUACACCGUUUAAUUUCAGAGAAAACAGGGGAAGAUGUUUCGUUCUCUCAGCCCUAAUCCCCCGGCGUGUUGAUCUGGGCCAACGGGAGCCGCUAUGACAACGCGCACUAAGGCGGUUCAGCAUCCAUUUAAUUCCACAGAAAACAAGGGAACAUGUUCGCUCUCUCAGUUCUCAUCCCCGACGUGUUGAUUUGGGCCAACGGGAGCCGCCACGACAACGCGUGCUAAGGUGGUUCAGCCGUUAUUAUGGGGGAUGAUUGAGGAGGGGAAAAGGAAGGAAGGGCCGUGGGAUACGGUUCAAAGCACCUGGACGGGUUGAGGGUCGAGGAGGCGUUGUCGAGGGCGGAGAUUGAGGCGGCCAGUGCGCGUGUGUGCUGCUUUUUGCGCGAGGAGGAAGACCGGCACGAGUGCGGGCAUGGGUGGGGCGCUCUCGAGGAAGCUGGUUCAAGAAGGAGAACGGGUGUGGCCCAAGAGAAAAAAAAGAAAAAGAAAAAAAAUAGAAGACCCAAAAAUGGCUUUUCUGGGCCGUGGCAGCGCACGGACAUUCUGCUAAUUUUCGAAAAAAAAAAUGAGAUGGAAGGAGCAGAUGGAAGAUACUCACAACCAUGCACGUAAAAUCCUACUCUAUCUGUCCCAAGUAAAAGUAGAAACUGUACUACCGUUUUCCAUACAAGAUAAGUUCCAGCACAUCCGUUUAUAUUUUUAGGCAUAAGCUAGCAACUGCCAUUCGUCAGCAUGAAUGGAAUUCCUAAAUACAAACUCGUCCAUUGUUCAGGCCUAUAAGCUAGCAAUAUGUAGUAGCAACUAUACCAGCACCGCUUCAACGUGUUCUGAAGAUUGACACUUCGUCCAUGGCGUCGACAGUUAUCCAACGGCUGUAACUCGCGCAUACCGUUUCACGGGAUCCUAAUGGUGGAGAAGGAAUUUACUACUGCUAAUACAGGCUCUUGGCGCUAUCCAUUUCAUUUGUGGAACUAUCCCCUUCUAAAACUCUACUCUACUUUUGAAGUCUCCGUUUCAUAUUAAGUGACUUUUUAUUACAUGUAUCUAUAUUCUUUUUAGACAUAGAUAUAUUCAUAGUUGAACAAACUUGAGUCAUUUAAUAUGAGACGGAGGGAGUAUGUCUCUCGUCCUUGUGCUUUCGCACUGAGUUGUGGAAAUGGAGUACGGCAGUUCCUCUUCAACGCCUAACAACCCGCGUUGCAUCAUGCGUAGGGUCCUGCUCGCCAGUCUUGGUCAUUAGUGCCUUCCUUGAAAGCGGAGUACGACGGCAGCAGCAGCUGCUCUGCCUGCCUGCCUGGUCUUCGUCUACAUUCAAGUCUCUCGCGCGCUCGCCAUUAUUCUGGUGAUGAAACUUAGGUGGCUGGCCGGGGGCAGCUACGUGCGUACUCCUAAGUUGACUUCACCCAACACGUACCACGCCAUCCUUCGUCGAGCAGGACAUGUACUACUUCUGUGGUGUAGACUCAGUUGCCCAGUGUUGUAGUACUACUGGUAUGAAAUUACCCCCCACCUAACGUCUCGCUGGUGCAGAUCAGCUAUAUAUCCUCUGUAUCGACGAAAUGAAUGAUGUUAACAGCUGCAUUACGUUAUUUCUGCUGAACAAGUCUGUAGACCCAUGCAAUUCCUGACUAAAACUUUUGUUCUCACGUGCGACAGGAUAUACCGAUCGCUUAAUUAAUCUGUAGGUAAUCUGUAUGAGUAUACACGUUAGCUAGCCGGCAUAAGAAGCUUCCAUAUGCCACUGACUGAAAGUGUGAAACCACAAAAUUAAGAGAAAGAUUCUAGUACCAGUAGUGCAACUCUACAUGCAUGCGACGUACGUUUUGUGUCCCAACUCACAAGGCACCAAAGUUAGUGCUUCCAGAUGUUAGUCCAGUCAACGGCUGUGUUUAUAAACACAAACAAAAAAAAUGUCAUGUUUAGCUGAUCGAACUGUAAGACUUCCGGUGGUCAAAUCUUAUGGUUAUGGAUUGUUAAUUGUAUAGUCUAAUUUAGUAGUACUCCAGUAUUCAGUAUGUUAAAGCAAGUAGUGAUGAUGCAAGUCCCACUUGGUAGCCUGGCACAUGGGAAGAAAUUAUGUUCUGAUAUAUUUUUGUUUGUCGACUGAAACGAGGAUACUACUAAACUGAAAGAAACAGCUUGAGUAGUUUACGGGUCAGACUUGAGCAUCAUGAAAGGAACUUCAGUAUUCUAGGAUAAAAGAAAUGUUAGAUUAUGGCAACAUAGCUCACACAUAGCAUUAGUUCUCCGAAGUAGGUGCUUUGACUCAUCAUUCUUAUUUCCAAGUGAUGGAUCAAAGUCUAUGGGUAGGCCAUGGAACUACGGUUGGACAAACUUUUUUUUUCUGAACGUUUUCUAAGAUGGAGUUUGAAGUUUGAACGAAAAAGAGAAGAUAGAGAAUAAUUAAUCAAAUCUUUUUUUAUUGGUAUUGUAAUUUAAGAACGGAUAGGUGACCGUUAUAUCAUUAGUUUGUUCUGCAAACUAUUUUUCAUGUUCAUGGUAUCAUUAUUUAUAAAUUUUUACCAACACAUUCAUGUGAAAAUAAAUGGUCAAGGCGCAUAUACGAAGAGAUAUAUUUUCAACAAAACCUCAUACCAAAAUGCUGAUGAUUUGAUCUCACAUCUCAUGCUGAUGACAGAGCACUCUGAUCGUCGGACAAAGUCCUACAGAUGUCGGACGAGCAAUCGUGGGACGCAUAGCACUGUUGAACCUGGUAUACAAAACUACAAACUAACAUACAUCAGUGCAUAGAUGCAUUCACAUUUAAAUUUGGUCAAAGUUGAAACAUCCUUUGUUGGACGGAGGACGUAUGAGAUUAAUAUGGUCAAAACUAAAAUGGUACUGCUAUCUCUUUUUCUGUGUACAACACAAGAAACACUUGUAUACAUUAAAAUUCCGUAACGGAACAGUUUCACAAGAAACAUGCUGCUCCCUACUUAUCAUUUUACAAUCUUAAAAAUUAGGACAAGUAAGGAGAACAUAAUAAGUGUUAGAUCAAGUACUAAUGCAAAAUGCAUUGCCACUCUGUCAUUCAUGCAUUGCUUGAUUGUGGUGGUGGUGGUACAUAAUUCAAACAAUGUUUAUGAGAUUCUUUUUCGGAUACAAACCCACUGAUAGCAUAAUUUUGAUGGCACAAGAACAAUAAAUUAUUGAUCUAGAAGUGACCCGAGGUAGUUUUUGCGGAUAGAGGGAGUAUUUCUGUUCUGUUAGCCUAUUUAUGUUAACCUUUCACCCCAAAUGGUCCUAUCCCUAAUCUGUAGUUACAAUCCAUAUAGAGGCCAGAUCUGGCUCCUGAAGAAGUCAGCGGGAGCUGCUAGCUAUGAUGACAACGGCAAAGACGAGCGACAGCGGUAGUACUAGUACACCAUACGGCGUCGAAAUCAAGGCGUCCAAACCCCGUAUGGCCCCACACCGCCAGGCCUGGCGUGUGGUCCCAGGCCCCAGCGGCGUUUUUAACGCGCGAAAGAAAGCAGAGAGAGAGAGAGCGUGGCGGGGAAAGGAAAAGGCGCGAGAUGCAUCGGUCAACUAUGGAAGAAACGCACGGCCCUCUCUCUCUCUCGUCCAACCGAGGAAGGAGAGCAGAAGAAAAAAUCGAUUCGGUCCGUCCGAUCCAGCCGCGCCCCGAAAGCGACCGCUCAUCGGCCUUUGACCAGCGCCAGUGCUCCUCGCUGCCCUGCGCCCUGGGCCCCGCUGUCCGGCCCGAAUAUUAAUGCCGCAAUUUAUGGCCCCAUUGACCUGCGCACAGGGCCGCUCGUACUGUACUACUCUCGCAAAACUAAAAAAAAUAAUUUGUUUUUCCGGAAGCAAUAAAUUCCAAGUAAAUUGGAGUCGCACUACUGUUCAAAGCGAGAAUAAAAUCGAAGCGAGCCACUCUGAAAUCUAAAUUGCAGAGGAAAAUUGCUAGAGCACGGAUAAAAUUGAUUUGAGAACAUUUCCAUUACUAAUCUUGGAUGGAUCCUUUACACAAGGGGGGGCUAGCCGGCUAACAGAACUACUAAUAGAAAGAACAAAUCGAAACCGAAGAAGCCAUGGGAGGAGGAUCCUUUUGUGAUCAAUUGGCGGCCGGCGCAGGGAGGUCGGCGCCGUGGCGGUGGUCGCCCUCGUAGGUGACGACGAGCAUGGCGGGGUCAUCGGUGGCGCGCUCGACGUGUUUCCUUGCCGGACACCCCUUGACGGUGCUGCACUUGUAGUAUCCCCGCGGGUAAGGGGAGCCCUUGAUGGGCUUCUGCCCGUACUUGCGCCAGGAGAACUCGUCCCCGGGGAUGUCGGCGGCGCGCGCGCUCGUGGCCGGCACGCGCACGGCGCGCCUCGACGCCCGGCUCUUGCGCUUCUUCGAGGACGCGCAGUGGCACGGCGCCGCCGCGUCCGAGUGCGCGCCGCUCGCGCACGGCUGCUGCUGCUGCUGGAGUUGCUGUUGGAGCUUGCGCUUGGUGCCCGCGGCGAGGGGCGGCUUGCCCGAGGAGAUCGCGAUCUGGCCCUGGCCCUUGGAGACGCUGCCCUCGCCGCCGCCGCCGCCGCACCCGGCUGCGGUGACCGAGGAGAAGAAGGAUGUGGAAGUCACGGAUGCGGCUGCCUUGGUGGGCUUGGUGAAGUCCAGGGUGAGCGUCUUCGGUGGCGCAGGCGCUACUGCCGGUGCCGGUGCCGGUGCUGGGGAAGAAGAAGAGACCGGAGGGGGCUUUGAUGGAGUUGGGGCGGGGGAUGGGGAAGAGACGACGGGGCCGCGGCGGAAGCGGGCGUGGCCGGUGCGGUCGAGCAUGUUGAUGACGCGGCGGAACCUGGAGACCGUCUGGUCCGCGAUCUCGCCGAGCGGGGCUGCCGUGGCUCGGUCGGCGGCGCGAGGGGAGAGGGAGGAGACGAGGAGCUCCAGGCUGCGGAGCCCCGCGGUGGCGGCGUCCUGGAACGCGCGCUGCUGCUCCUGCUCGGCGCGCGGGGCGCUGUACCCGCCGCCGCGUCCCAUCAGGUCGACGGCCAUGGGUGGGUCGCCCGCCGGAGAAGAAGAAGAAGAAGAAGAAGGAAGGCUUUCUGCCUUGGGUGCUCUCCUCUGCUCUGCUCUACGCGGUGGUCCUCGGCUUGUACUCUGAGAAGAUGAUGUGAGGUGGAAAUGAGAUGUGUGGAAGGGGAGCGGUUUUAUAAAGUGGGAAUGGGAGCAGAGGAGGAGGAAUAGUAUUGAUGCAAGUCAAUGGAUUGGUUAAUCCUUUUCUUUGGGUCUUUUCCCUUCUAGCACCCCAUAUAAGUCGUAUUUCGGUUUCAGCCAUCUCAGCCCCUGGCUGUGCGUGUUUUCCUGCCUACGAAUAUCAGUUAGUACUUCAAAAGUCACUAUGAAAUUGAGGACAAGUUUGGUUUUGUUUGGGCAAAAGCGGCACACCACCUAAUGCGAGCACUAAUCGUGGAGUCCUCGUCACGGAAUGCCAGGAAAUGGGUGGACUUUGGAGGAGACGCGUAUAGAAUACACCAAAAUAUGUCAUCUCUGUCCCCCUUUUUUCCUUAUUCGGUUGUACAAGAGGGUGGUGGUGGUGGGGUGGAGAGAUGCGUAUUCUGACUUGCCUUGGAAGUCAGCCCUCCAAAAAACCCUGUUGCUUGCUAUACUAUCACAAGUCUACACCAACAUUAAUUUAAUCUGAUCACAGUAUAUCAUCAUUAAUUAAUGAGCGUAAACCAGCGGCGCAAAUCCCCUUCCUCCGAUCUCGAUUAUAGGCCCACCCACCAGCGGUCAGCGCUCGGGGGAAGGAAAUCCAUGUGAGUUGCAAACACAACUAGCUUAGCCCAGCAGCGGCAGCAGAAUUCCACGCGCCUUUAGUUUAGCCCGUUGACAAAGUGCUGCCCGUCGUGUCGUGUGGUGCAGGUGCGGCUGCUGACCCACGUACCACCACCCUGAAUCCCUGAGCAAACCAAAAACAGCCAUGAGGUUGCCGUAACCAAACAACCCAUUUGGCCGGUCCAGACUCCAUCCAACUCCAAGGGGUCAGGUGGGCUGAACGGAACGGAGAGUGCCGUUGUGGAUCAGAUAUUCCUUCGAGUAAAAUGCAUCCGCGUCCCUUUAAUUUGUUGGCACGGUCCAAAUUAGUCCUCGGUUUUGUUUGCCGUCCAUAUACGGUCCUUAUAUCCUAUUUCUCAUAUUCUGGCACCGCGGUCCUACUUGUCAGGACCCCUAUGUUGACUCAGCCUGCUUGGCUUUUUGCAGGAAAGCCCUCGCGUCGACCCGUUAUUCUCCUGCGGUUCUUUCCUUUUGGGCUGGCCCAACCAUCUAGGGAUCUACCAUGUGUGCAUCGAGAGGGUCGGUUCGUUCUUCCUCCUUCUCCUGUCGCGUCGGCGGUGGCGGUUGAUCGGUCGGUGAUCGGCAUGCAUGCAGGAUGAUUGACGGGAGCAACGUGCCGUGGGACCCGACCGUAGUCAUCCGACGAGUGGCGAUCGUGGUGCGUGGUGGAGAUGGCGCCUAUUCGCCGGCCUGUACAAACCCCUGUACCCGCAUAUUGUGAGUUCAAUCAUCUUCCAUCUGUGUCGUUUCCGUUCAGAAAUUAUCCGUUUCUAUAAUCAGGUCGAAUCGCUUGAAGUGCAUGUGUAUAUUAGGAUCCAAAUUAGGUUACUUGUUUUGUGAUACAUAUUAAAGGCAGAUGAGAAGAUGUCUUGCAAAAAACCGAGUCAGCAUAGGGGUCCUGACAGAUGAGACCGUGGUGUCAGAAUACAAGGAAUAGGAUAUACGGACCGUAUAUGAACGUACAAAACAAGUUCGAGGACCUAGAUGGGCGGAUUGCAAGAUCUACACCACGCCAACAAGUCAAAGGGUUGCAGAUGCAUUUUACUCUACUCCUUUUUGCCUCGUCCAUGGGUCGUCGAGUGCUCGUUUGGCUUGGCUUGCUUUGAAGGAGUAAAAGGGAGAACGGAACGUCAGCGUCAGCCGGGACCGGCGCGUCGUGAUUUCGCGAGUCUGCGGCCCGUCAUCAUCAUUUGUUUGGGGUCUUUGCCGCUUUGGUUUCGUCUUUUUCUCUUUGUUGGCACGCUUUGGGUCUGCUCUUCACGGUCCAACCCGUACAGGCAUAGAAAAAUGUUGUCGUUGUUUAGACUUUCUCAACCUUUGUACUAGUACUACUGCCGCUGCCACACUGCUGAACAGGUCAAUUGUUUUACUACAUCCUUGAUGGUCCCGUAACGGAGGAUCUUGAUUGUUUUCUUCUGUUUUGAAUCGGCUGAGAAUCACUUGGAGCAGAGUGUGCGCGUUAGAAUGUGAGGUUCAAUAGCCUUUUGCGACCUUGUCAAGGACACCGCGCGGCAGGCUCGCCUCCAUUAGAACAUGCACCUUUUUAUCUGUGCGAGGAAGUUACUCCGUAAUACGGAGUACACUGUUUUGCCUUGAAUUGUCACCUCUAGCUCGGUUUGGUAUUCAGAUUACUAGCAAAAAGCCUCACGGGUUGCUACGGAAGAAAAGAAAUUGAAAAGCAUGCCAGUAAGUUUUUAAAAAUGGUGUUUUUUGCACGUAGUUACGUAUUGAGAGCAACUCUAGCAGUUACUGAAAUUUUCGAUCGAAAAAACGUUAAUUCAGUCUACCGAAAAUGCCUUUUCCGAUAUAAUUUCAUAUUUUAUAAUUUUUAACCCAUAUGAAAAUUAUGUUAGCCCCGACGAGAUGUUGCUCUUCCUUCGCUCCAUCACGCAACUCUGCGAUGCCAAGCCACAUAUAUUGGGACUGUUUCAACCAUGAUCUUUAAAGAAAAUCAAGGAUCCAGCACAUCAUCGAUUAGUCAUAUGAUCAAGUCCAAUCGGGUCAAAAAAUAGAUCCAAAAAAAUGGUAAAACUAAAAUCAUACGGAGGAGAAUUAAACCAAUGAAAUUUUCAGAGCAGAUCCAUGUCCUAAUUAAAUUUAGAAAGCAUGGUCUGCAUGUACCAUCAAUUAGGCCAAGAUUUCAGCAAAAAUAAAGGAAAACAUAGAGAAAAGCGUCGGUAGUAGCAGCGCCAGAAUGCCCGCUCGGGAGCAGCUGCUGCUGCGGCGUCGCUGAAGGAAGGCGCCCGCACUACCGCCAUGCCCAUCUCCGCCACCGCGCAUCAGAUCCGCAGCCGCGGCGCGCCGAGUUGCUGUUGGAGCUCGCCCUCAAAAAGGAAAGAAGAGUAGAAGGAUGUACGGCUUUUAUACUUUAUUGAGUCGUAGGAAAAUCCGUACUAUAAAAAGGGAGUCCAUUUGGGAACGCUUUGUGUGAAUCAACUUCACGUAUACAAAUCUACUAAAUUGUACCCACAUAAAGCCUAAACCUAGUUUUGAGUUGAGAAUUGUUGUUUUCAUACUAAGCCCUGUCAGACUUUUUCAGAACUAGCCGGAGGUUCCGGUGGGCGGAAGUUCUGCCCCGAUACCAGCCUGGUAUUGAAACGCUACGGGAAUCCUACCGCCCAAAGCGGUAGGAGGCCGGUAGCAGGGCGGAAGUUCUACCCCCUAGAACUUCCGGUCCCCUACCGUCCUGGUAUCGGUGUUAGUGAAAACAGCCCAACGGGAGGAUUUCGAAGGGGUAUAAAAGGGGCUUUGUCCCCAACGGGUUUCUUUGCCCGAGCUGACAUUGUUCAUCCCCAUUCUCUCACUCAAGAACACCAAGAGCUUAAAAUGCCGAGAUCUCUCUCCCUAGUGCAUUCCCCAAGCCAAUUUUUUGAGGAAGGGUAGAGAAGAGCUCGAUCUAGGGUUUCACCAAAUCAAAAGUUUGAUUCCCUCGUUUUCCUUGGUGGAUUUUGUUACUCUUGAGAGUUUGGCAUCCCUAGCCGGAAGGUGUUUCUUCAAGCACUCCAAUCUUGUGAGGAGGUGCUUGAGGAUUUGGGAAAGAGCAUCGAAUUUAGUUGUGGAUUCAUGCCCUUCUCCUUGUUUGUAAAGGUUUGGCAUUCGUCUUCAAGGAAUUCAUUAGUGGAACUCAUUUCACCUUUGUGGUGCUGUGAGAGCUCAUCCCACUUUUUUGGUGUGGUGAGUUGGAGAAUAGAGUGAGCCUUCGUGGCGUCUCUCCCUUUGUGGAAGAGCACUCCUCCAAAUGGAGAUGUACACCGAUCCCAAUAGGUGGAACUCCGGUGAAAUCUUCGUCUUCCCGUGUGGUAUCAUACUUGCCCCAUUUACUUACUUGUCUUACUUAAUUGUCAAUACUUUGCUUCGGCUAUUGCACUUCAUACUAGGGUUGCAUUCACUUUAGAGAAUCUAGAAAGCCCUAGGAUUAAGUGUUUGUAUCUUUUGACAAAAGAAAAAGUUAAAAUUUGUUAGUCUCCUAUUCACCCCCCCUCUAGUCGACCAUACCGAUCUUUCAAUUGGUAUCAGAGCCUCGUCUCUUAAUUAGAGCUUUACCGCUCUUAAGAGUAUGGCCGGCGAUGAUGGGGCACCCACCGUGAAACCCCAAGAAACCGAGUUGAUAGAUGAUAAUGCUCCACUAACUUUCAAAUCCAUCAAAUUGCUUUUGGAUAGCAUGCAAAAGGUUAUUCUAGAUAGUGUGGACAAAAAGAUUAGUGAGCACCUACCUAACAAAGCAUCUUCGUCUACUACCGAGCCUUCCUAUGUCAAGCCACCAAGUGCGGUGGAUUUGACUAAGAAAGAUUCGGAUGUCGUAGCCCGUAACAAGGCUAAGGCUAGAGAAGGGAGUGCUUCCAAAUCCCAAGGUAGGGGUGGCUAUGGGUUGUAUAGUGAGGUGGCACCUCCACCUCAUUAUAAUCAUCGCCACCAUAAUUUGCCACCUAUGUAUAAUCAAGGUGAACCCCCCAUGUUAACCUCUACUAAUUACGUUGAUUGGUUUCAUUCCAUGAGGACUCACUUCAAGAGUACAUCAAUGCAAUUGUGGAGAAUUGUUGAAGAAGGUUACUAUGUUCAUGAUCCAAAGAACUUGUCACCAAGAGAGUAUGUGGACAAUCAACUCAAUGAGCAUGCCAUUGGAAUACUCCUAAAGGCUCUACCCUUGGAGUAUAGAACAUUUGUCCGUGGUGUUGAUUCCGCUAGAGAUGCUUGGAAGCUCAUUGGUGAUCACUUUGACAACAAUGAGAGUGUUGGGAAGUCAAAGUUUGAAGUGGUCAUCAAUGAGUGCAAGAACUUCUUCAUGAAGGAUGGAGAGGUUCCGGAUGAGCUUUAUAAGAGAGUCAUCAUCCUUGGAGCCAAGAUAAAGGACCACGGAAGUCAUGACAUAAAUGAUGAAUGGCUCAAGCGUCUAUUCAUAUAAGCCAUCUCCCCACACCGAGAGGUUCAUGCCGCAAGGAUAAGGCAAAGAACGGACUACUAUAGUUUGACUCCAAGUCAAGUGAUGGGAGAGUUUGUAGCUAUGAAUAUUCUCAAGAAGACCUUCGAGGACAAUCUCAUUUGAGCCAAGUUCCUUUCACAAAGCUCAAGCCUUGCAUUGAAGGCCAACGUGACUCCCACCUCAACUCCAAGUGAAACACCCCAAUAAAAAGAGGUUGAGAUCACGGAAGAAAAUUGCCACUACAAGUUCAAUGACCACAUGGCUCUUGCGGCUCAAGCUUUUUGGAAGAACAAGAAGUUUGUCAAAUCCAACUCCUUCAACCCCAACAACCACUACAACAAGGGAGCUUCAAGCUCCAAACCCAAAGGUCAAAAAUCUCGUAAAUGUUAUAAUUGUGGUAACAAUGACCAUUUUGUUGCAGAGUGUAUUUAUGAGAAGAGGGAGGAAAAUGGUGGACGCCUUAUACUUAAGGGGAAGACCAAACCCUCCUUCCACAAGAAGGCAACGAAGAAUAGGCAACCAAGAAUGCUUCUUGUUUAAUAAGAAUAUACUUGGGAGAAUAAGAUGAUGAUGAUGAUGAUGAUGAUGAAGAGUCCACGGAGAGGGUGAACAUUGCCAUUGCUCACUCAGUUCCAUCUCUCUUCAACUUCCCCAAUGAGAACAAGAACCGCUCACUCAAGUGCCUUAUGGCCAAGACCUCUUCGGUAAUCCCUCCUCCCACCAAACAUGUCAUUCCUAAGAGUUUAUCUCUAUUUGAUUGUGUGGAGGAGAGUAAUGGUGUUGAGCAUAGCAUGAAUGAGUUCGAAAUCUUCAUGGCUAGCUUGGAAGGUGAGACCAAAAAGAGGUUUGAGGACCUCUUGGAAAAACUAGGUGAAGCUCAAGCUACUAUUGAAGAACAUGAUGAGCUCAUGGAUGAAAAGGUAAGACUUGAGUGUGUUUCCGCUCAUGAGAUUGCGGAGCUUAAUGAAGCUCUUGAGGAAGAACAAGAAAAUAGGAAAGCAAUUGAGGAGUCAUUUUCUAAGGAUCUUGCUAAAAUGAAAGAUUUCUAUGAUAAUGCUAUUUCCCUUGCUCAUGAGUACUUAAAUAAAAUAUGUGAAGUUGAGGAUGGUCAUAGGAACCUCCUUGAGGACUUUGCCAAUCUUGGAAAGGAUCACAAGUCCUUGACAAGUGAGUACAAGUCUCUCAAAGAGUCUUGUAAUCAUCUUCUAUAUUCUCUUGUGAAGGAAUUAAUUUCUAAUGAUAAAGAUGCUUCAACUAACCCUUGUUGUAAGUAUACAUCUAGGUUGAAUGCCCAACUUGAAAAGGGUCUAGCCACUUUCUACCAAGGCGAGAAGAACCUCCAUGAUCUUUUGAUUGAUCAUAAAAAAGCUUUUGGAUUGGAGGAAAUUGGGUACAACCCCAAUGAGAAGAGCAACAACAACAAGAAGGCCAAGGCACCUCCCCACACUAAUGCUUAUUUUGUGAAGGAAUGGGAGGCGGCCAAGGAGAAGCCAAAGAACAAGAAGGGUGGCAAGGCCACUUAUGAUAAUAGUGCCGGGGAGUUCAAUCCCUCAUAUGUUCUUUGUCAUACUAAUGAUGGGCAUAUUUAUGUCAAAUUUGUUGGUUCUCCUUAUGAAUAUGUUCAUUGGUCUAUUUGGGUUCCUAAGACCCUUGUUGCUAACGCUAAAGGACCCAUUCAUGGAUAAUGGAUAGUGGAUGCACUAAUCAUAUGACCGGGAGCAAAGAAUUGCUUGUGGACGCCAAAAUGAGUACAUCAAGGUCCAAGCAAGUUACAUUUGUAGAUUCUUCACAAUCAACGGUAUUGGGACUAGGCAAGGUUGUCAUUUCUCCGGAUACAUCCAUUGAGAAUGUUAUGCUUGUUGAGUCCCUUUCAUACAAUUUACUUUCGGUACUUCAACUUGUACAUAUGGGUUUUUAUUCCUUCUUUGGCACAACUAGUGUGACCCUUUUGUGGAGCAAGACUCUUAAAGUAGCCUUUGUUGGAUAUGUAGAAAAUGGUCUCAAUGUGGUAGAUUUAGGUAAGAAACCCACUAGAGAAGAAACAUGUCUAAUGGCUAAGGUUGAUGUGGGUUGGAUAUGGCAUCGCCGUCUAGCCCAUGUCAAUAUGAGAUAUUUGCAAAGCCUCCUCAAAGGUGAGCAUGUGUUAGGACUAACCAAUGUUUCAUUUAAUAAAGACCGUGUGUGUAGUGCUAAUACUAACCAAUGUGUUAUUCAGUAUUGAAAGGAAGUUACAUGAGAAGGCGCAUCACUACAAGACAAUUAUCACUUCAACGAAACCUUUGGAGCUCCUUCAUAUGGAUCUCUUUGGUUCUCCUACAUAUGAUAGUCUUGGUGGUAAGAAAUAUUGUUUGGUUAUUGUUGAUGACUAUUGUAGUUACACUUAGGUAUACUUCUUCAAGCACAAGAGCUAGACCCAACAAACCGUCAUCGACUUUGCCAAUGAAGCUCAACACCAAUACAAUGCGAAGAUUAUGGCUAUUAGGAGUGACAAUGGCUCCGAGUUCAAGAAUUACACCUUUAUUGAGUUUUUUGAGUGAUGAGGGUAUCAAAAGACAAUAUUCUGUUGCGUAUACCCCUAACCAAAAUGGUGUAGCGGAGAGGAAGAAUAGAACUCUCAUGGAUGCGGCAAGGACAAUGUUGGCGGAGUUCAAGUCUCUAUACAACUUUUGGGCCGAAGCGAUCAACACCGCAUGCCAUGCUACUAAUCGCCUCUAUCUCCGCAAGAUAUUGAACAAGACACCUUAUGAAAUUCUCAUGGGACGCAAGCCCAACCUCAAGUACUUUCGGGUAUUCGGUUGUAAGUAUUUCUUGCUUAAGAAAGGUGUUCGUUUAUCUAAAUUUGAGCCUAAAACUUAUGAGGGCAUAUUUGUUGGCUAUGCAUCAAAUUCCCACACUUAUAGAAUCUACAACAAAUCCGUCGGAUGUGUUGAAGAAUCUUGUAAUGUGGAGUUUGAUGAGAAUAAUGGCUCCCAUGUGGGGCAAGUUGAUGUUGUGGAUGUAGAUGAUGAAAUUCCUCCCCAAGCCAUACGAAGAAUGGACAUAGGUCAAGUUAUGCCUGUUGAGGAUCCCCAUAUGGAAGAAGGAGAAGGACAAUGCUCUACUCAAGUGGAGCCCUCAUCUCCACAAGAUCCACAUGCUAGUCAAGAACAAGAACAAGUCCCUCAUGUUGAUGAACAAGUUGAUCAAGGACAAGAUCAAGCAAAUGUUGAUGUUGGUGAUUCUUCACCAAAUGAUGUUCAAGAUCAAGAUCUUCAAGAUGUUCAAGCUUCCAUUGAGCCUCAAGAUUAAUCUCAAGAAGCUAUGUAACGUCGGGUCAUGAAGAUUGCCUCACGACUUCAACAUCAAGAACAUACCUUGGAUAAUGUCCUAGGAAGUGUGAGGAAAGGGGUAACUACUCGUAGACAAUUAGCUAACUUUUGUGAACAUCAUGCUUUUGUCUCUUGUGUUGAGCCCCAAAAGGUACAUGAAGCACUCGAGGAUCCGGAUUGGUUUAAUGCCAUGCAUGAAGGGUUGAAUAACUUCGAGCGUAAUAGAGUUUGGACAUUGAUGGAGAGACCAAAAGAUUGCAAGAAUGCCAUUGGCACUAAAUGGAUAUUCAAGAACAAGCAAGAUGCACUUGGACAAGUGACAAGGAACAAGGCAAGAUUGAUGGCUCAAGAUUUCUCCCAAGUCGAGGGUAUUGACUACGGUGAAACUUUCGCUCCCGUUGCUCGCCUUGAAUCUAUUCGUAUCUUGCUUGCAUAUGCAUCGCAUCAUAAUAUUACUUUGCAACAAAUGGAUUUGAAAAGUGCAUUUCUAAAUGGUCCCCUAAAUGAGUUGGUAUAUGUCAAAGAACCACCGGGGUUUGAGGACCCUCAAUUUCCUAACCACGUGUACAAAAUUGAUAAAACCCUUUAUGGACUGAAACAAGCACUUCGAGCUUGGUAUGAGCACCUAAAGGAGCUACUAGUGGAUCGUGGUUUUGAAAUUGGGGUUAUUGACCCACUCUUAGAACUAAGAUGGUUGGUGGUGAUUUGUUUAUAUGCCAACUAUAUGUUGAUGACAUCAUAUUUGGUUCUACUAAUGGUGUGUUCAAUGAUCAAUUUGCUAAGCUAAUGACCGAAAAGUUUGAGAUGUCUAUGAUGGAUAAAUUGGAAUUCUUCCUCGGAUUUGAGAUCAAGCAAUUGAGGGGAGGAAUCUUUGUUAAUCAAGCCAAAUAUACCCAAGACAUGCUCAAGAGAUUCAAGAUGAGUGAUGCCAAGAGUGCCAAGACUCCAAUGCCUACAUCAAGCUCUCUUGAUCUCGAUCCCAAUGGUAAAGAUGUGAAUCAAAAGGUAUAUCGUUCUAUGAUUGGUUCUUUGCUUUACCUUUGUGCAUCUAGACCGGAUAUUAUGUUAAGUGUGGGUAUUUGUGCAAGAUAUCAAUCCGCACCGAAAGAAAGCCACUUAGUGGCGGUCAAAAGAAUCUUUAGAUAUUUGGUUCAUACCCCAAACUUUGGUUUAUGGUAUCUUAAAGGAUCAAGUUUCAAGCUCAUGGGUUAUUCGGAUUCGGAUUGGGCGGGAGACAAAGUGGAUAGGAAGUCAACUUUCGGGACAUGCCAAUUUCUUGGUAGGCCUUUGGUGAGUUGGUCUUCUAAGAAGCAAAUUGCGUGUCUCUCUCCACGAUGGAAGCCAAGUACAUAGCCGCCGCAAGUUGUUGUGCACAAUUAUUAUGGAUGAGGCAAACAUUGUUGGACUAUGUGAAGCGACCGGCCCCGUAUAGGGUUCAAUCUCUGUGUUUACAAUGCUAGUUCCUGGAUCGACUCGCUAGCACACACAGUUUCAAGAUGUAAUAUCAAGAUACAAAGGUCAAAGUAUAUUACAUCGCAUUGAUCCAGAAUUUAGUAGUAACUUACAUAUUGCAUAACCUCAGGGGUUAUCUCAAAGGAAAAUAAAAUCUUGCAGCGGAAGGCAGAAGAUACAGGAGUCCCAUAACAACUCCACAGUCAAAACUUGUUGGAAUUAAACUCGCAACCCUAUCAUAUCGUACCUCACUCUUCACCUGGUUCACCUGCAACAUUUAAACGUUGCAGCCACUAGGGAGUCAAUACAUUGAAUGUAUUGGCAAGUUCACCAAAGGGUUAUAGCAGACCUAACAAGUAUAUGCAUUAUUUGGCAAGGUAGGGGUUUGGCUGUUUGCAUAAAAGCAUCAAUGUUUGAUCCUAUCAUUUUUAAACAAAUAGUUUUAUCACUAUUGGACACGGGGUAGAAACACCCAUGCUCCUAUUAUCCUAGAGCACAUCGAGUAGAUACAUCAAGUGCUCCUACCCUGUUCAAACCAUUCAUUUUAUUUAAGAAAUUGGAAUGAGUGAGACUUUUCUUAAAGCCCCCAAAUCUAGUUGCUCAUAAUUGUCCGUAACCGGGGACACGGCUAAGUACUUAGUUUGACACUCUCGAGAGGUUGUACACAUUCCCCACAAGAAAUCGAUGUGUUAAUCCCUUGCUGUCCUCAGGGCAGAGUAGCAACGGCAUCGAUUACAGGAAUUUUCAGACCAUAAUCACCAAGACCACCUGAGGGACCUACGUUCCCACCUACACAGCUACAUAUGCACAAUCCCUCGGAUCCAGAAUCAUAUGUCUUACAUCCAUCCUGGCAGAGCCCAUAUUACCAUGUGGUUGUACUGGAAGCUACUAAACAGGAAACUAGUCCAGUCUCUGAUACCCCAGGUGGCAUUCCACAUUUGCGACGCAAGCGUUCCCCGAAUCCACGGGAGAGACUUCCAUGGACGAUCCGUCUCCGAAUCCACGGAGACUCAACUCAGAGGGACCCAUAAAAAUGGACUUGACGUCGCAUAACAUCAAAAUCUCAAAGCUGUCCACUCUGGAUGAUUCGUUGGGGUUGUUUUGCCAAGUUUCUAAAAUGCUCCACAUUAUCUGUCUCAUGGUAAUAGAGAUUCCCUCCCACGUAUACUAACAUAGCAUAGCAAUUCAACUACUUGCGAUGGCAAUUGGUGGAAAUGUAAUGGCAGAGGUAAUCUAUACCACUAGGAGUUCAUAGCUAGCAUAAAUACAAUAAUAGUCCUAUCCAUGCAACUAAUAAAACAUCUAGUGCAUAGUAAAAUAAUAGGUGAAUGAUCAAAGUGAACUUGCCUUUGUCACAGUAGUUUGAUAUAGACUCUUCACAACACACACGUUGCUCUCCGGAUAAUCUAAACGAAACAAACAUACACACAUCUAAACACACAAUCCAAUACAAGGUAAAUAUGCCAUGAUGCGAUGCAAGCAUGUGACAUGAUUUGGUUUAUUUUAUUUGGGUGAUCAACUAGAUCAUAAAUCUGGUCCAAAGUAUUAGCAAUUAAAAUUAAUGCAUUAGGUUUAAAAACAAAAUGCAAAAACUAGGGAUUAAACCCUAAAACAAAGUUUUAUUGGCAUCAGCCCAUUAAUUUAAUUCAAAAAAUUUAUCUCUCUGUCCUAAUGGACAGAGGGCAUCAAUACAAAUUUUGGGCACUGGUUUCACUUAAAAAGGAUUUCUAAUUAAUUAGUUAUGAAUUAAAUGGCAUAAAAGGCCUUUCUGUAAAUUGAGUGUGGUUCAAAUAUUUAAAUUUAAAUUUAGAUAGUGCAAAAAGAUUCUAAAAGUUGAGAGCUUUCCAGAAAGGUAAAAUUUGCUAAAUUUGGCCAAAGGGUUUAAAACUUAUAAUCCUUUGAAGUUACAGGGGCUUUUCUGCAAAACUGCCAUUUAACUAAACCGGGAUUUAUGUUUUUCAUUUUAUUAGAGGACACGUGGCAUGAUCCCAUUGGUGCGUACCGGUUCGGGGUUUUAAUUAAAAGCGAACCGUCGGAUCUAACUUAAAGGAGAUCCGACAGUCGGGAUCGCGUACCGGUUCGAGGAUUAGACGAUCUAAUCGUGGCCGUCCAAAGAGAUCGGACGGAUGAGGGGCAUCGGGCUUACCUCCGGCGGCCUAGGGUUCCGGCGAGGUCGUCGGCGGCGAUGCUCCAGUGAAGUUGGCGGCGCGAGAAAAGGUGCGGGCGGCGCGGCUUCGCGAGGCGGUCACCGUGGCGUCGUCGGUUUCCUCCAAGGACGUCCGAGGCGGCGCCUAGGACGAGGAAUGGCGGUCGGCAGCGGCGUGGGCUUCGGGCUCGGAUCGGCGGUGAGCUGCGGUACACAAAAGAAGAAAAUAACCGCGUCACGAUGUGCGCGAGAGUGAGGGGAAGCGAAAAGUGGAGGGGGGGAGGACGAUGCCAUACUGGUUCGUCAGCGGUGACCAAAAACGGGCGGCGGCGGCGAGUUCUCUCCGGCGAGCGAUUCCGGCAGCGUGCGCGCGUGAGAGAGAGGGCAAGCAGAGGGGAAAGAAGCGGGGGCGCUGGCUCUUUAUACUGACGCGCUCGGCAAGCUCUUAAAGGCUCGGAAUCACCGGGGACGGAGAUGGUGGCGUUCACGCGCGGGGAUUCCGGCGCUUUCCUUCGGGGACAAACACCCUGACAGUGGGGCCCACCUGUCAGCGGCUGCGGGCGCGCGCGCAAGGGACGGGCCGGUUCGGCCCAAAACGGCCGGGCCGGUCCGUUUCCUUUUUUUUUCUCUUCCUUUUUUCUUUUUUUCCUUUUCUGUUUUUCUUUGAUAACUUUUGAUUUUGAACUCCAAAUUGAUCCAAAUAAAUUCCAGAAAAUUUGUAAAAUCAUGUUUUAUCAUGAUUCAACUUUUGGAAAUAAUUUUCCUUCCAAAUAAAAUAUAUAAAAAUACAUUUGCCCUAUAAAUGCCUUUAGGGCUAUAUAACUAUUUAAAAUAAAUAGUUUUUCAACUCCAAAUUAAAUCUUAAAAAUUAUGGAUAGCUCACUUAUGCAAUAAACCCCUUUUAUAUUUAAACUCUACGGGUUUAAAGAUCCAAAGCUCAAAUGGGUGAAAUGCUAGGGUUUAGAAUGGAAUAAAACCUUUUCAAAGCCCUUUUAAGAUUGAAAUUUGAAUUCAAACAUGCAAAUGUGGCAUGAUGCUCAUGAGUGCAAUGCAUAUGAAAGGGUUUGAAAAUUUGGGAUGUUACAGACCUAACCCCCUUAAGAUGAAUCUCGUCCUCGAGAUUCGGUUUGGCUAGCAAAGAGGUGCGGGUGGUCUUCUCGAAGAUUAUCUUCGCGUUCCCAAGUAGCUUCCUCUUGAGUAUGCUGGUCCCACUGAACUUUGCAGAACCUGAUAGUCUUGGACCGAGUAUGUCUCUCAGCUGUAUCCAAGAUUCUGAUCAGUUUCUCCUCAUAGGUGAGGUCGCUCUGCAGCUGGACUUCUACUAGCGGUAUUGUAUCUUUUAGUGGUGUGUCGGCCAUCUCGGGGUGACACUUCUUCAGUUGCGACACAUGGAAGACAUUGUGGACAUUCGACAGUGCUUCUGGUAAGUCCAAUUUGUAGGCCACCUCUCCUUGGCGUGACAAGAUCUUGAAAGGUCCAAUGAAACGGGGUGCUAGCUUUCCUUUUAUUCCAAACCUCUUGACUCCGCGUAUCGGUGAAACUCUGAGAUACGCUCUAUCCUUAGCCUCGUAGGUAACUUCCCUACGUUUGGAAUCUGCAUAGCUCUUCUGCCUUGACUGAGCUACCUUCGGUCUGUCUCGGAUGAGUCUAACCUUUUCCUCGGCAUCCUUUAUCAUAUCCGGGCCGAAUAAGCUACGGUCUCCUACACCAUCCCAUAACAAUGGUGUUCUGCACUUCCUUCCAUACAAAGCUUCAAACGGUGGCAUUCUUAUGCUGGCUUGAAAGCUGUUGUUGUAUGAGAAUUCUGCAUAUGGCAGGUUGUGAUCCCAACUGGAUCCAUAAUCUAGAGCGCAGGCUCUCAACAUAUCCUCAAGGAUCUGAUUUACCCUCUCGGUCUGUCCAUCCGUCUGCGGAUGAAAAGCUGUACUGAAUUCCUGUCUCGUUCCUAGAGACUCAUGUAGCUGUCCCCAAAAUCUUGAGGUAAACUGAGUACCUCUGUCUGAAACUAUUUUCUUGGAUACUCCGUGUAAACACACGAUUCUGGACAUGUAGCGUUUCGCUAACUGAGCACUGGUGUAUGUGGUCUUCACUGGUAUAAAGUGGGCAACCUUGGUCAAACGGUCAACCAUUACCCAUAUGGAAUCAUAUCCUGAUCUGGUCCUUGGUAAACCGGUGAUAAAAUCCAUGCCAACUUUAUCCCACUUCCAGUCUGUUAUUGGCAGUGGUCGUAGCAAUUCUGCUGGCUUCUGGUGCUCGGCUUUAACUCUGCUUCACACAUCGCACAAGGCAAUGAAUUCUGUGAUGUCUCGCUUUAAUCCGGAGCACCAAAAUGUUUCCUUUAGGUCCAUGUACAUUUUCGUGUUCCCAAGGUGGAGUGAGUACGGUGAGUCAUGGGCUUCUUGUAAAAUCAGCUUCCUGAUUUCUGGAUCCUGCGGCACACAAAUGCGUUUUCCGAACCAUAUGGUAUCUGCUCAUCUUCUCGAAAAUCUUUGGCCUUUCCGAUAACCAUAUUCUCUUUAUUUCCGAGUCGCCCUUCUGUGCUUCUCUAAUCUUAUCCAGCAAAGUGGGUUGUACUUCCAAAGUGUCCAAAUGUCCUUUCGGUACAAUUUCUAGUCUCAGGUCCUUGAAUUGUUUGCAUAACUCUGGCGGUAAUUCCCCAGCUGUUAGUCCAUUUAUAUAGCCCUUGCGGCUCAAUGCAUCGGCUACAACAUUAGCCUUGCCGGGAUGGUAUUGCAGACUCAGGUCAUAAUUCUUUAUCCGUUCCAACCAUCUCCGCUGUCUCAGAUUCAAUUCCUUCUGGGUGAAUAUGUAUUUUAGGCUCUUGUGAUCCGUAAACAAUUCACAAUGUUUCCCCAUCAGGUAGUGCCUCCAAGUCUUCAAAGCGUGCACUACCGAUGCUAAUUCCAAGUCAUGAGUGGGGUAGUUCCCUUCGUGUUUCUUUAGUUGUCGCGAAGCGUACGCUACAACUCUUCCUCCUUGCAUCAAAACUCCUCCCAACCUUUGACGUGAAGCGUCACAGUAAACUUGGAAAUCUUCCUACAGAUUGGGUAGAACAAGGAUGGGUGCAGACACUAGUCUUUUCUUCAACUCCUGAAAACUUCCUUCACAAUUCUCGUUCCAGGCGAACUUCUUCUCUUUCUUUAAGAGUUCCGUCAUGGGUUUAGCUAUCUUGGAGAAAUUUUCAAUAAUCCUCCGAUAGUACCCAGCGAGUCCUAGGAAACUGCGGACAUCACCGACAUUCUUAGGUGCUUUCCAAUCCGUCACUGAUGCUACCUUAGCUGGGUUGAUAGCAACUCCUGCUCCUGACACGAUGUGCCCUAGAAAACUGACUUCUGAUAACCAAAAUUCACACUUGCUGAAUUUGGCAUACAACUUGUGCGCCCUCAGCUUCUCCAAAAUCAAGCGCAGAUGCUGCUCAUAUUCUUCUUUGCUCUUGGAAUAAAUCAGGAUAUCGUCAAUGAACACAACGACGAACUUGUCCAAGUAUUCCAUGAACACCUUGUUCAUCAUGUUCAUAAAGUAUGCAGGUGCAUUGGUCAAACCAAAAGGCAUCACGGUGUACUCAUACAAACCAUACCUAGUGGUGAAGGCUGUUUUAGAUAUAUCUGCUUCUCGAAUCUUCAACUGAAAAUACCCUGAUCGCAGAUCGAUCUUUGAGAACACACAGGCUCCUUUCAACUGAUCGAAAAGAUCAUUGAUUAUAGGUAAGGGGUACUUAUUCUUUAUCGUCACCUCAUUCAGUGAGCGAUAAUCUAUGCACAUCCGUUGGCUCUUGUCCUUCUUCUCCACAAACAGGACAGGUGCCCCCCAUGGUGAUGAGCUGGGGCGAAUGAAACCUUUCGAUAAUUACUCAGCCAACUGCUUCUUCAACUCCUUUAAUUCAUCCACGGCCAUCUUAUAGGGUCUCUUGGCUAUGGGUCCACUUCCAGGCAUCAACUCAAUGAGAAACUCCACAUCUCGGUCUGGUGGCAUACCUGGUAACUCCUCGGGGAAAACAUCCGGAUACUCGUUCUAUGGCUACAUCCUCCAUGCUACCCCCCUUAAGAGAAUUUACCUUAGGUCUCUUAAGUUCCAUAGUAGACUUGAAGCGGAUUCGCUUCUUCUCAGGGGUUGUGAGUGUAAUUGUUCUCUUGGCGCAGUCUACCAGGCCUUCAUAUAAGGUCAUCCAGUCCAUUCCCAGAAUUAUGUCUAGACCUCAGGAAUCCAACACAAUAAGGUCAGAGGGAAAAAUGUGUUUCCCAAUCUCUAGGGGUAACUGGCGGCAUCCUUGAGUCGCUACCAUUUGCCCUCCAGGCGAACUCACUCUCAUAGGGUUCCUUAGGGUGUUGGUAGAUAUCUUAUUCUCAUUCACGAACAUCCUUGAUAUGAAUGAAUGUGAUGCACCCGUGUCAAAGAGUACGAGUGCUUGGAAAGAAUUCACGCGGAAUGUACCAAUCACAGUGCCCGGCUCUGUGAUUUCUUCCACACUGACCUGGUUCACAUGACCUUCCAGGAACGGGGUGGGCUUGACUCCAUUCCCUUCGAACCUCUCCGGGCAAUCAUUCGAGUAGUGCCCCAUCUUGUGGCACUUGAAACAUUCCACUUGACUCAGGUCAAACUGGGUGAGGUCGUCAUUCUGAUUCUGCUCGUUGUUGUUUCCACUGCCCUGACCAAUGAUGUUCCCUUUGCCAUGGUCAUUGCCCUCGUGCUGUUGUCGGUGUCCAUUCCCAUGAUAGUGCUCAUGGUGGCCAUUCCCUCCAUGGAUAUGGUGGUGGUGGUGGCUUCCAUGUUUGAUCCUUGAUGAACUACCACUACAAUCAUAAGAGGUACGCGGCCUCUGGUGUGGUCCCGUGUUAAUGCUUCCAUGGCAAUGUCUUCUCUUGCGGCCCUCAAUCUGGUUUAUCUUGUCUUCCAAGAUAAAUGCCUUGUCUACCAGGGAUUGAUAGGUGGGGGUGUAAGAAACUGCCAGCUGAACGGAAAGCUCGUCGUUCAGUCCAUCCAAAAACUUCUCACGGCGCUUGGCAUCGGUAUUGACUUCAUCAGGUGCAUAGCGAGACAGCUUGUUGAAUUCCUCAAUAUAUUCCAUCGCGGUGCGGAUUCCUUGCUUCAGUUUGUGGAACUCCUUCUUCCUCAGGCUUAGCAAUCCCGCGGAGAUAUGGGCGGUGCGGAAAGCAUCCUGGAACAUCUCCCAAGUGACAUCCUCAAUCGGGUUGGUGAUCAGGUAGUUCUCCCACCAUAAUGCGGCUGGUCCCUCCAACAGGUGAGCUGCAAACCUCACUUUCUCAGCGUCUGUGUAGCCCACAAUCACUAAGUUCUUGUUCACUGAACGCAGCCAGUCAUCUGCUACCAUGGGUUUUGUGGGGGUGGUGAAAGUAGGUGGGUGCAACUUCAAAAAUUUUGUAAGCAUAUCCACUUGAGGUGGCGUGUUGGGGUGUUGGUUAUUCUGGUCAAUGUUCUGGUGGAUGGUCAUCUGCUGGGUUAUCAACUGGAAAAACUGAUUCUGAGCUGCAACCAGAGUCUGCAGGGUAACUGCACUGUUGUUCUCUUCCUCAUGGUUGUCGCUGUUGGUGGUGGUGUGUGAUCUGUUGUUGUUGGGGGUAUGUCUUGGAGGCAUCUUUUAGGAUAGCAUAGAUGAGAAAUAGACAGAUGGGGUCUAAAAGAACCUUAACCCAACAGCAAGGAAGUAAGGCAUAACAAUCACCAACCAAGUAAAAUCCAACAAGCAAAUGACAUAGUUCAGGCAUCCAAGCCCAAGAAAAGAAGUUUCAAAAGCAAACGAAAAAGAAGUUUUUGUUAUCCAAAAUAAUUUACUAUUAUUAUUUGUGGCCCUCAAUAAAUCCAAAAGUGACAGCUCACAAAUUACGUCUACCGUGACUAACUAUGCUGGUUUCGAUGUUUGAAAACCUUCAAAACUGGAUGAGAGAGUGAAAGAACUGGACGAGGAUAGAAUAUGAGAGUUUUCAAAAAUAAUUUUAGUUUGGUAAAUAGGUACCUAAUAAGGUAAUUCCAAUCUAAGGGUCACGAACCUACAGGCAACACAUUGCUCUGAUACCAUCUGAAGCGACCGCCCCCGUACAGGGUUCGAUCUCUGUGCUUACAGUGCUAGUCCCUGGAUCGACUCGCUAGCACACACAGUUUCAAGAUGUAAUAUCAAGAUACAAAGGUCAAAGUAUAUUACAUCGCAUUGAUCCAGAGUUUAGUAGUAACUUACAUAUUGCAUAACCUCAGGGGUUAUCUCAAAGGAAAAUAAGAUCUUGCAGCGGAAGGCAGAAGAUACAGGAGUCCCAUAACAAGUCCACAGUCGAAACUUGUUGGAAUGUAAACUCACAACCCUAUCAAAUCGUACCUCACUCUUCACCUGGUUCACCCGCAACAUUUAAACGUUGCAGCCACUAGGGAGUCAAUACAUUGAAUGUUAUAACAUCCCAAAAUUUCAAACUUUUACAUGUGCAAUGCAUCCAUGAGCAUCAUGCCACAAUUGCAUAUUUGAAUUCAAAUUUGAAUCUCAAAAGGCUUUAAAAGAUUUUGUUUCAAUUUAAACCCUAGGGUUUUACACCCAUUUAAGCUUUGGAUUUUCAAACCAAUAUGGUUUAGUUAUAAAAGGGGUUUAUUACAUAAAUGAGCUACCCCAUAAUUUUUGGAUAAUUAUUUGGAGUUGAAAAGCUAUUUUAUUUAAAUAGUUAUAUAGCCCUAAAGGCAUUUAUAGGGCAAAUGUAUUUUUAUAUAUUUUAUUUUGAGGGGAAAUUACUCCCAAAAGUUGAAUCAUGGUAAAACAUGAUUUUACAAAUUUUCUGAAAUUUAUUUGCACCAAUUUGGAGUUCAAAAUCAAAAGUUAGAAAAGAUUUACAGAAAAAGAAAAAGAGAAAUGGUUACAGGACUAGCAGAAAUAAGCACAGAGAUCGAACCCUAGCUAGGGGGCGGUCGCUUCAGAUGGUAUCAGAGCAAUGUGUUGCCUGUAGGAACGUGACCCUAGUUUGGAUUAGGAUAAGACAGACCAAAGACCAAACCUUAGGAUUAUUUCUUAUCCCUAUCUGAUAUAUAUAUAUAUAUAUACAUAUAUUUUAUUCCUUAUCCCUAUUCAUCUGAACCUUUGCAUCUAAAUCAUACAUAUGCAUGACAUAUUUGUUGUUUUAUUCCACAUAUACACCAAAUACUAUGCUUUAUACCACAUAUACAUGUUUAUUAUAUUAUACCACAGAUGCAUAUUUUAUUUUUAUUUACACCAUACACCAUUAUAAUCAUGUUGACAUGUUACCCACAUAAUACUAUGCAUCCAAUUUUAUAUUGACAUUUCCACCAUAAUAUUAAUGUUUAUUUCUUUAUUCCCACUUUACUACCGUCACCUUAGUUUAUUUUCUUCAUACAUCCAACCAUUUGAUCAUGUCACUGAUACUCCCUUACCUUCCUUCUUAUUUCUGUAGAUGGGAAGCCCAACACCGUUUGGCAAUGUACCGCCCUUCACCCGAGUCUACUACCCCUCCACGGACGACGACCAGUUGUUCAGUGCCCCUUUGGCGGCACUGUGUGCAUCUCUUGACCUGCUACCACCCAGGUUCAGAGGCCGAGUCGAGCCCGCCGUGCCAGAAGGAUGGCAACCACGGUGGGAGAUCGAGGCGAAGAUCCGCGGGCGUGAGAUCGCGCCUGCCACUCAGGAUAUCACCUUCAUCGCCUGCUACCCCACUUUCGAGCAAGGCCUUCAGUUCGCCAUGCAGUGCGCCUUCGCGCAGGUGUGACGGGACUAUCGGCACGAGUUCACCGAGACCUCUCCCUUAUGUCUCUUUGGAAGGCGGGACCACACGUGCCAGGCCCUUCCAGCAGACGACGACCAAGAGGUGUCCGAGGUGGCUGCCCAGUUCGAGAGCAUGGAGAAGAACACCGAGGAUCUGGAGACCUGCCUUGGUGAGGAGAUGACCAGGACUGACGAUGCUGAGAAGCUAGUCGGUCAUCUACUAGAGGAGAAGACCCAAUGGCAGGAGGAUAAGACUUUACUACAGAACCCCAUCCUCAACAUGGGAGACGCCAUCGACCAGCUGACGUAUGAGAGAGACCUAAAUCGCUACUACUGCGAGCAGUUCAAGGCCUUCAUCGAGGCAGCAGCCGCAGCCGCCGCCGAGCCAGCCCCAGCUGCCGCACCAGCACCAGACCAGGCCCCACCUCCACCACAAGAUCAGGAGGUGGUACCUUAGGAGGAAGUGCCGACUGAGGAGGAGGAGCCCCAGGAGGUCCACGAGAUGGACACCCCUGCCACCAACACCCGCUCCAAGAGGAAGAGGGUGAAUGGAGCUGCGACAUCAGCCCCACCUCCCUAGUCUCGAUGCCUGCCAGACUUUAUCAUUUCUUUUCGUUACCAGCUCUGCGAGUUAGUCAUUGACCAUACAACCUGUGUGUAUGGCAAUGUAGAUCGAUUGCAUUUUUCGUACUUUUUAUGGGCAGUACCCAAUCAUGAACCAGUGUGUUUUGCUACAAUUUCCAAAACCUUUUAUGAUUGAUAUAUGCUUAAGUUAUAUCUUGUUUUGGGGGUAUAGACAUCCUUAGAUCUAUUCUGUCUAUUAUUCCUCAUCUAUGCUACCCUAAACAGAUGCCUCCGAGACGCCAGAACCCCGCCAACAACGCCGAGGCUAACAAUGCCGACGCAGAAGGGAACGCUGCAACCAUGCAGCAGUUAUUGGCCGCCCAGUCCCAGUUCUUCCAGCUGAUCACUCAGCAAAUGGCCAACAACAGCGCCAACCACCAACCAGCAACACCACCCUCCACAGGUGGAUAUGCUAACCAGGUUUUUGCGCCUGCGCCCGCCCACCUUCUCCAGCUCACCAGAGCCAAUCGUGGCAGACGACUGGCUCCGCUCUGUUAAUAAGAACUUGGUGACAAUCAACUGCACCGAGGAGGAAAAGGUUCGGUUAGCAGCUCACCUAUUGGAAGGACCAGCUGCAUCGUGGUGGGAGAACUACCAGAUAUCCACCCCUAUUGAACAUGUCACCUGGGAUAUGUUCCAAGAAGCCUUCCGCACCGCCCACAUCUCAGCGGGGGUGCUUAAUUUGAAGAAGAAAGAGUUUCUGUGUCUCAGACAAGGAAGCCGUACAGUGGUCGAGUUCAUCGACCAGUUCAACAGCCUUGCCCGCUAUGCGCCAGACGAGGUGAACACGGAUGCCAAGCGCCGAGAGAGAUUCUUGGAUGCGCUGAACGAUGAACUCUCCGUUCAGUUGGCUGUUGCUUACACUCCUACUUACCAAUCGCUCAUUGACAAGACGAUUGUAUUGGAGAACAAGCUCCACCAGAUGGAGAACCGCAAGAGGAGACUCCAUCAAGGAGGCUCUCACGCGGGCCACAUCAGAAGCCGCGCGUCACUCAGGACGGAAGUGGCAGUUCGUCUGUGCACAGGGCCAGGGGCCACAAUGACAGACGCAGUGGAGGGUAUGGCCAUCAGAACUGCCAUACCGGAAACAACAUCAGCAGUAGCAAGCACCAGCAGCAGAAUCAGCAGCAACAGCAUCGCCCGAGGAACCACAACGGAAAUGGUAACCACAAUGGAGGUGGAAACCAAAAUGGGAAUGGAAAGAGCCUCACCAAUGGCAAUGGAGCUGGACAGAACCGCAACCCUGGUAGGGACAUGAGCCAGGUGGAGUGCUUCAAGUGCCACAAGAUGGGGCACUACUCCAACGACUGCCCGGAGAGAUUGACAGGGAAUGUGGUUAAACCAAACCCAUUCCAGAAGGGCAAUAUGAACCACAUCGACGUGGAAGAGAUCACCGAGGAGCAAGGUACAGUCAUCGGUAACUUUAGCAUUAAUUCAUUUAAAGCUUUAGUACUGUUUGAUACCGGUGCAUCCCAUUCAUUCAUUUCAAGAGGAUUUGUGCAUCAAAAUGGAUUACCUGUAAGCACAUUAGCCAACCCCAAGAAAGUAAACUCACCGGGAGGAGAAUUGAUAGCCGCCUAUGAGUGCCGUGGACUAAGUUUGGAAAUAGGGAAACACACCUUUCCCACGGACCUAAUAAUAAUAGGGUCCAAGGGUUUGGAUAUCAUCCUAGGAAUGGAUUGGCUGGCCAAGUAUGAGGGACUCAUAGAUUGUGUCAGAAGAACCAUCACCCUCACCACCCCAGAGAAUAAGAGAAUCCGUUUCAAAUCUGCUUUUGAACUUAAGAGACCUAAGGUCAAGUCUCUUAAGGGGGUUAGGCUGGACGAGGUUCCAGUAGCGAAUGAGUAUCCGGACGUUUUCCUGGAGGAGUUGUCAGGCAUGCCACCAGAACGUGAUUUAGAGUUUCUCAUCGAGUUGAUGCCUGGAAGUGGACCCAUAGCCAAGAGACCAUAUAAGAUGGCUGUGGAUGAGUUGAAAGAAUUGAAGAAGCAGCUAGCUGAACAGUUAGCAAAAGGUUUCAUCCGCCCCAGUUCAUCACCAUGGGGAGCACCUGUCCUGUUUGUGGAAAAAAAGGACAAGAGCCAACGGAUGUGUAUGGAUUAUCGGUUACUAAAUGAGGUGACGAUAAAGAAUAAAUACCCCUUACCUAUCAUCAACGAUCUUUUCGACCAGUUGGAAGCAGCCUGUGUGUUCUCAAAGAUCGAUCUGCAAUCAGGGUAUUUUCAGCUGAAGAUCCAAGAGAUGGAUAUACCCAAGACGGCAUUCACCACUAGAUAUGGACUGUACGAGUAUACCGUGAUGCCAUUCGGUUUGACCAAUGCACCAGCACUUCAUGAACAUGAUGAACAAGGUGUUCAUCGAAUUCUUGGACAAGUUUGUCGUGGUGUUCCUCGAUGACAUUUUGAUCUAUUCCAAGAGCAAGGAAGAGCAUGAGCAGCAUCUGCGCAUGGUUUUAGAGAAGCUGAGAGCACACAAGUUAUACGCCAAUUUCAGCAAGUGUGACUUUUGGUUGUCAGAAGUCAGUUUCCUCGGACACAUCGUGUCAGGAGCAGGAGUAGCUGUCGACCCAGCUAAGGUGACCGCUGUUACAGAAUGGGAGUCACCCAAGAACGUUGGAGAUAUCCGCAAUUUCCUAAGACUCGCUGGAUAUUAUCGGAGAUUCAUUGAGAACUUCUCCAAAAUUGCUAAACCCAUGACAGAAUUACUAAAGAAAGAGAAGAAGUUCACCUGGAACGAGAAAUGUGAAGAGAGUUUCCAGGAGUUAAAGAAGGGAUUGGUGUCCGCACCUAUUCUUGUGCUACCAAACCUGCAAGAGGACUUCCAAGUUUAUUGCGACACUUCACGUAAAGGUUUGGGAGGAGUAUUGCAGAAUGGAAGAGUUGUAGCGUACGCUUCGCGGCAACUGAAGAGCCACGAAGGGAACUACCCCACUCACGCUUUGGAAUUAGCAUCGGUAGUGCACACCUUGAAGACUUGGAGACACUACCUAAUGGGGAAACAUUGUGAGUUGUUCACGGAUCAUAAGAGCCUGAAGUAUAUAUUCACCCAGAAGGAGUUGAACCUGAGACAGCGGAGAUGGUUAGAACUGAUAAAAGAUUAUGACCUGAGUCUGCAAUACCAUCCCGGCAAGGCUAACGUUGUAGCCGAUGCAUUGAGCCGCAAGGGCUAUAUGAAUGGACUGACAGCUGGAGAGUUACCGCCAGAGUUGUGCAAACAGUUCAAGAACUUGAGACUUGAGAUAGUGCCUGAAGGACAUCUGGCCACUUUGGAAGUACAGCCCACGUUGCUGGACAGGAUUAGAAAAGCAGAGAAGGGCGAUUCGGAAAUAAAUGCAAUAAAAGAGAAUAAACUUAUGGGGAAAGCAGAAAAAUUCCGUGAGGACGACCAAGGAACCAUAUGGUUCGGUAAACACAUAUGUGUACCGCAGAUUCCGGAAAUCAGAAAGCUGAUUUUACAAGAAGCCCAUGACUCACCGUACUCAAUCCACCCUAGAAACACAAAGAUGUAUAUGGACUUAAAGGAAACAUUUUGGUGGUCCAGAUUAAAGCGAGACAUCGUCGAGUUCAUUGCCUUGUGUGAUGUGUGCGGCAGACUUAAGGCAGAAUACCAGAAGCCAGCAGGAUUGCUAAGACAAUUGCCAAUACCGGACUGGAAAUGCGAUAAAGUAGGCAUGGAUUUUAUCACCGGUUUACCAAGGACCAGAUCUGGAUAUGAUUCCAUUUGGGUAGUGGUUGAUCGUUUGACCAGUAAAGACCACUUACACUAGUGCACAGUUAGCGAAACGCUACAUAACCAGAAUAGUGUGUUUACACGGAGUACCCAAGGAAAUAGUUUCAGACAGAGGUACCCAAUUUACCUCAAAAUUUUGGGGACAACUACAUGAGUCCCUGGGGACGAGACUAGAGUUCAGCACAGCUUUUCAUCCGCAGACGGAUGGACAGACCGAGAGAGUAAAUCAGAUCCUUGAGGAUAUGUUGAGAGCAUGCGCUCUAGAUUAUGGAUCUAGUUGGGAUGACAAUCUGCCGUAUGCAGAAUUCUCAUACAACAACAGCUUCCAAGCCAGCAUAGGAAUGGCACCAUUUGAAGCUUUGUAUGGAAGGAAGUGCAGAACAUCAUUGUUAUGGAAUGGUGUAGGAGACCGUAGCCUAUUCGGCCCGGAUAUGAUAAAGGAUGCCGAGGAAAAAGUUAGACUUAUCUGAGACCGACUGAAGGUAGCUCAGUCGAGACAGAAAAGCUAUGCAGAUUCCAAACGUAGAGAGGUUACCUACGAGAUUGAAGGUAAAGCGUAUCUCAGAGUUUUACCGAUACGCGGGGUAAAGAGAUUUGGAAUAAAAGGAAAGUUAGCACCCCGUUUUAUUGGACCUUUCAAGAUCUUGUCACGCCAAGGAGAGGUAGCCUACAAGUUGGAUUUACCGAAAGCAUUGUCCAAUGUCCACAACGUCUUCCAUGUAUCACAGCUAAAGAAGUGUCAUCCUGAGAUGGCCAACACAUCCCUAAGAGAUACAAUUCCACUUGAAGAAGUCCAACUGCAAAGUGACCUCACCUAUGAGGAGAAACUGAUGAGAAUUUUGGAUACAGCUGAAAGACAAACCCGAUCCAAGACCAUCAAGUUUUGCAAAGUCCAGUGGGACCAUCAUACAGAAGAAGAAGCCACUUGGGAGCGCGAAGAUGAUCUUCGAGAAGACCACCCACACCUCUUUGCUAACCACACCGAAUAUCGAGGACGAGAUUCAUCUUAAGGGGGUUAGGUCUGUAACAUCCCAAAAUUUCAAACUUUUACAUGUGCAAUGCAUCCAUGAGCAGCAUGCCACAAUUGCAUAUUUGAAUUCAAAUUUGAAUCUCAAAAGGCUUUAAAAGAUUUUUUUUUCAAUUUAAACCCUAGGGUUUUACACCCAUUUAAGCUUUGGAUUUUCAAACCAAUAAGGUUUAGUUAUAAAAGGGGUUUGCCGACCGCCGCCCGAAGCUCCGCCGCCGUCCGCCGCCUGCCGCCGCGCUCGUCUCCGUCCUAGGCAACGCCUCCGACCGCCCCGAGCUCCGCCGACCGUGUCCCCGACCCCACCAGGCUGAGCCUCCCCGUCGCGUCCCCGUCGCCGGAACCGCCCGCCGCCGCUCACCGGAGCUCCUUGCCGAAACCCUAGCGCCGGUGAGCCUCCAUGAUCCAUCUCGACCGUCCAUUCUUCAUCUACGGCUCAGAUUAGAUCAGGAUUAAUUCACUUAAAAAAACCGGUACGCGCCAAUCAGGAGCUGACACGUGGCACGGUAAAUAAAAAUAAAAAUCUAAUUUUAAUCAUCCGGUUUAAAUUAAAUGGCACUUUUGCAGAAAAGCCCCUGUAAUUUCAAAUGAUCAUAUCUUUUAAUCUGUUUGGCCAAAUUUGAUGAUCCACACUUUUUGGAAUCCUUAAGAAAUGUAGAAUCUUUUGGCACUGUCCAAUUUCAAAUUUGAAAUUUUGAAUCACAUUCAAACUACAGAAUAGAGUUUAAUACCAUUUAAAUCAUAACUAAUUCUUUAGAAGUUCUUUUUGAAUGAAACCAGUGCCCAGAAUUUUAUUUAAUUAUCCUCUGUCCAAUGGGACAGAGAAAUAAAUAAUUUGAAUGAAUUUGUUUGGCUGAUGCUAAUAAAACCUCAUUUUAGGGUUUAAACCCCAACCUUUGCUAUUUGUUUAAAACCCUAAUUACAUGUGCUUAAUUAUCAAUGCUUUGGACCAGUAGAUCACCCGAAUAAAAUAGACCCAAUCAUGUCACAUGUUUGCAUCGCAUCAUAGCAUACAAUCUUUUGUCAUGUUUGAAUCGUGUGUUUAUGUGUGUGUAUAUUGUUUGUAUUUGAAUAGUUUUCUCGGAGAGCGAACCUUGUGAUUGUGACGAGUGUUUGAACUCCAACUGCUUCCAAGGCAAGUUCACUUUGAUCAUAUCCUAUUACUGUCUAUUUUAAAAUACUUAUGCAUUAGAGUUGUUUGUAGAAAUGCAUUGGUAGGACUAUUACUCGUACUUAUGCUAGCUAUGAAUGACCUACUAGCUAUAGGGUUACCUUUGCCAUGAAUCCUCCACCAAUAGCCAUCGUGAUUAGUAUUGCUUAGCCAGGCUAUGUUAGUAAACGUGGGAGGGAAUCUCAAUCACUGUGAAAUGAUGAUGUGGAGUGAUUUUGGAAACUUGGCAAAACAACCCUAAUGAACCAUCCUGGGUGGACUGCUUUGAGAUUUUGAGAUGUUAUGCGACGUCAGGUCCAUUUCUAUGGAUCCCUCUGAGUCGAGUCUCCGUGGAUUCGGAGAUGGAUUGUCCAUGGACGUCUCUCCCGUGGAUUCGGGGAGCGCUUGCGUCGCAAAUGUGGAAUGCCACCUGGGGUAUCAGAGACUGGACUAGUUUCCUAUUUAGUAGCUUCCAGUACAACCACAUGGUAAUAUGGGCUCUGCCUGGAUGAAGUAAGAAAUGUUUACCCAGAUCCGAGGGAUUGUACUGAGGUAGUUGUGUAGGUGGGAGCGCGGGUCCCUCAGGUGGUCUGGGUGAACAUGUUCUGAAAAUUCUUGAAGUCGAUGUGGUUGCUACUCCACCCGGAGGACAGCAAGGGAUUAACACGUCGAAUUCUUGUGGGGAAUGUGUACAACCUCUCGAGAGUGUCAAACUAAGUACUUAGCCGUGUCCCCGGUUACGGAUGAUUAUGAGCAACUAGAUAUUGGGGCUGUAAAGGAAGAUCUCACUCAUUCCAACUUCUUAAAUAAAAUGAAUGGUUUGAACAGGUUAGGGGCACUUGAUGUUUCUACUCAAUGUGCUCUAGGUUAACAGGAGCAUGGGUGUUUCUACCCCGUGUCCAUUAGUUAACAAUAUUGUAACAUUCUUUUGUAGUAAGAUAAACUAUGUUUUGCUACCACGCCAUAAAGCCUGAACCCCACUAUACCCCAAUUGCAUAUACUUGGUAGGAUCUGUUAUAACUUCCAGGUGAGCUUGCCAAUACAUUCAAUGUAUUGACCACGUAGUGGCUGCAAUUAAUAAUGCAGGUGAUUCAGGCAAAGACUGAGGUUUCGUCGAUGUUCUUUGGGUCAUGUGCUUACAUUCCAACAUGCUCUCUCCUCUGGGAGUAGAUGAGGCCCAUUUGCUCUACCUUUCUGCUGCAGCUUUAUGAUACAAUGUUAUCAUGGUUUUGAAACAAUAUUUGUUUAUGCUGGCCUAAGAGGUCAUGCGAUUUUGUAAGUACAAUUAAGUUCUGGAUGGUACGAUGUAAUAAAGUACAUUGUGACUAUUGUAUCUUGGUAUUACAUCUUGAACUGUGUGUGCUAGUGAGUCGAUCCAGGGACUAGCACAAAUAAACACAGAGAUCGAACCCUAGCAAAGGGGCGGUCGCUUCAAAUGUAUUGGCAAGUUCAGCAAAGGGUUAUAGAAGACCUAACAAGUAUAUGCAUUAUUUGGCAAGGUAAGGGUUUGGCUAUUUGCAUAAAAGCAUCAAUGUUUCAUCCUAUCAUUUUUAAACAAAUAGUUUUAUCACUAUUGGACACGGGGUAGAAACACCCAUGCUCCUAUUAUCCUAGAGCACAUCGAGUAGAUACAUCAAGUGCUCCUAUCCUGUUCAAACCAUUCAUUUUAUUUAAGAAAUUGGAAUGAGUGAGACUUUCCUUACAACCCCCAAAUCUAGUUGCUCAUAAUUGUCUGUAACCGGGGACACGGCUAAGUACUUAGUUUGACACUCUUGAGAGGUUGUACACAUUUCCCACAAGAAAUCGACGUGUUAAUCCCUUGCUGUCCUCAGGGUAGAGUAGCAACGACAUCGAUUACAGGAAUUUUCAGAACAUAAUCACCCAGACCACCUGAGGGACCUACGUUCCCACCUACACGGCUACAUCUGCACAAUCCCUCGGAUCCAGGAUCAUAUGUCUUACAUCCAUCCUGGCAGAGCCCAUAUUACCAUGUGGUUGUACUGCAAGCAUGUGACAUGAUUUGGUUUAUUUUAAUUGGGUGAUCAGCCAGAUCAUAGAUCUGGUCCAAAGUAUUAGCAAUUAAAAUUAAUGCAUUAGGUUUAAAAACAAAAUGCAAAAACUAGGGAUUAAACCCUAAAACAAAUUUUUAUUGGCAUCAGCCCAUUAAUUUAAUUCAAAAGUUAUCUCUCUGUCCCAAUGGACAGAGGGCAUCAAUACAAAAUUUUGGGCACUGGUUUCACUUAAAAAGGAUCUCUAAUUAAUUAGUUAUGAAUUAAAUGGCAUAAAAGGCCUUUCUGUAAAUUGACUGUGGUUCAAAUAUUCAAAUUUAAAUUUAGACGGUGCGAAAAGAUUCUACAGGUUGAGAGCUUUCCAGAGAGGUAAAAUUUGCUAAAUUUGGCCAAAGGGUUUAAAAGUUAUAAGCCUUUGAAGUUACAGGGGCUUUUCUGCAAAACUGCCAUUUAACUAAACCGGGAUUUAUGUUUUUCAUUUUAUUAGAGGACACGUGGCGUGGUCCCAUUGGUGCGUACCGGUUCGGGGUUUUAAUUAAAAGCGAACCGUCGGAUCUACCUUAAAGGAGAUCCGACAGUCGGGAUCGCGUACCGGUUCGAGGAUUAGACGAUCUAAUCGUGGCCGUCGAAAGAGAUCGGACGGAUCAGGGGCAUCGGGCUUACCUCCAGCGGCCUAGGGUUCCGGCGAGGUUGUCGGCGGCGAUGCUCCGGUGAAGCGGGCGGCUCGGGGAAAGGUGCGGGCGGCGCGGCUUCGCGAGGCGGUCACCGUGGCGUCGUCGGUUUCCUCCAGGGAUGUCCAAGGAGGCGCCUAGGACGAGGAACGGCGGUCGGCGGCGACGUGGGCUUCGGGCUCGGGUCCGCAGUGAGCUGCGGUGCGCAAAAGAAGAAAAUAACCGCAUCACGAUGUGCGCGAGCGUGAGGGGAGGACGAUGCCGUACUGGUUCGUCGGCGGCGACCAAAAACGGGCGGCGGCGGCGAGUUCUCUCUGGCGAGCGAUUCCGGCAGCGUGGGCGCGUGAGAGAGAGGGCAAGCAGAGGGGAAAGAAGCGGGGGCGCUGGCUCUUUAUGCUGACGCGCUCGGCAAGCUCUUAAAGGCUCGGAAUCACCGGGGACGGAGAUGGCGGCGUUCACGUGCGGGGAUUCCGACGCUUUCCUUCGGGGACGAACACCCUGACAGGUGGGGCCCACCUGUCAGCGACUGCGGGCGCGGGCACGAGGGACGGGCCGGUUCGGCCCAAAAUGGCCGGGCCGGUCCGUUUCCUUUUUUUUUCUCUUCCUUUUUUCUUUUUUUCCUUUUCUGUUUUUCUUUGAUAACUUUUGAUUUUGAAGUUGAUCCAAAUAAAUUCCAGAAAUUUGUAAAAUCAUGUUUUAUCAUGAUUCAACUUUUGGGAAUAAUUUUCCUUCCAAAUAAAAUAUAUAAAAAUAAAUUUGCCCUAUAAAUGCCUUUAGGGCUAUAUAACUAUUUAAAAUAAAUAGUUUUUCAACUCCAAAUUAAAUCUUAAAAAUUAUGGGAUAGCUCACUUAUGCAAUAAACCCCUUUUCUAGUUAAACCCUAUGGGUUUUAAGAUCCAAAGCUCAAAUGGGUGAAAUGCUAGGGUUUAGAAUGGAAUAAAACCUUUUGAAAGCCCUUUUGAGAUUCAAAUUUGAAUUCAAACAUGCAAAUGUGGCAUGAUGCUCAUGAGUGCAAUGCAUAUGAAAGGGUUUGAAAAUUUGGGAUGUUACACUACGGAAUCACAUGUGAGAGUGUGCCUCUUUUAUAUGACAACGAGAGUGCAAUCAAGAUAGCCCACAACCCCGUGCAACAUAACAAGACGAAGCAUAUUGAGAUUUGUCAUCAUUUCAUUUGAGAGCACGUGGCCCGUGGUGAUAUUGAUCUUUCUUAUGUUGCCACCGGUAUGCAACUAGCGGAUAUUUUCACGAAGCCGCUUGAUGAAGCAAGAUUUCGAGAGUUAAGGCAUGAGCUAAGCCAACCAGAUGCCUAGAUCGAGUCUCCUCGGGACUCGAGAGGAGGAGACGGGGCAGGGGAUGAGGAGACGGGAGUGGUUGCGCGGGCCAGAUCGGUAGUAGAGAGACCGGAGAAGAACUGGAGAGAGGGCGGCGCAGCGGGGGAGAGCAGGGGCGGCGGCGGCAUGGAGAACGAGCGAGGAUGGCGAUGAAGGAAGGAGUCGGACUUCGUGGAGGAGGCAGAUCGAGCGGUGCGAGGAAGAAGAGUUCAGGGAGGAUGGAUUGAGGGGAUAGGUGCGAGAGAGAGAGAGAGGGGACAGGGGUCAGGCCGCGUGCCUGCGUGAGAGGGUGGUGCGGAAAGUAACGUACGGCGGUGGUUAGAAUCAAUCGGAUAAAAAAACACUUCAGGAUUAAAAAGUGGUGACAGCGGUGGCAAAUUCAUAAUUUUGGUGAAGUGACGUACGGCUGCGACCGUACCAUCACCACCAACUCCAAUUUAAUAUAUUGGUGUACAUACAAGUACAAGAAACUAAACAAAGUCUCUUGACUAUUGAUCAUUUUUCAUUGCACCGCAGGGAAUGAAAAAACGGCAACUAGUUGUCCAUAAUUUGCGUUCCUUGCUCCUUCAUGGUAGCACGACAGGUGCCGGUUACAUAUUGUGCAUGCGAAAAUCAGAAAUAUCAUAUUCCUUAGGAACAAGUCCGGGCUAGAACAUCUAAAAAUUAAGGGCUCGUCUGUUUUAAUAGGAAAAGUAAAAAAGAAAACUUAGGAAUAUAAAUUCAAAAUGGUAACAAGGAGACCAUGCAUGCUCUCGGGUAAAAACAAAACAAUAUUUCCGAUGCCAAGUUAAAAAAAAACAAUUUAUGCAUGUACAUUACAUGUUCAUGUUUUUUAUGCAUGUAUUUUUUUGUAAAAAAAAUAAGAUUUGUGUCUUGUGUAAAACCACAAUUUAGUACUCCCAUGUUCUUAAAAAGAAGAUUUAUGCGUAUUUCGGAUGCCAAUUUUUUUUAAACAAUUUAUGCAUGUGCACGGAGAACUUUAAUAAUUGUCUUUCAGAUCAUCAGAUUUAUCUUUUUAUUAGGGUGCAAACAUUUUCAUAUUUACAUGAAAAUUUAUAGGCACACAAGGACGUGAUGUUGUUUACAUAUAAGAAAAGAUGCAGCUUAUUUGAACAAAUUUAUCUUUUCUUUUAUAUCUCAGAAACACAUGCUCAUGAGAGCCAAAAGUUUGCUUCUAGGAAGAUUGUCCUUUGGCAAAGAAAACGUGGAUUUCUUUGGUAUAUUCAUCUAUUUUAUUAAGGAAUGUAAGAGGUGGAGAAUGUCGCAUAUUGUCGGUUGGACGUGUUGCACCUGCCAUUGAUAUACUUUCUUCCGCUUCAUGUUGCAAAAUAUUCCUCCAUUUGAUGAGAAUAGGUCGGCAAAGCUAAAUACAUUCCUUUGUCUUGACCCUUGGGUUUUACAUCGACUUUCCAACCUUAAGAGCAUCUUCAGCGGUGGACCUUAAAACAUGGCCCCUAUUUGUUGUUUAGGGGCUGCCCCUAAAUUUUUUUAGCCCCUAUUUUAACUCAAGCUUCAGCAGUAUCCCCUAAAUUCCAGCCCCUAUUUCUUUUGACCAUCAUUUUUACAUGAGCUCUAUGUGUAUCCAUAGUUUGGCCACACAAUAAUUCAAACAUACAUAAGUCCAACACAUGGAUUUCAACCAUAUUCAAAUACAUUAUUUCAAACCACACAUUUUGAAUAUAAUUUUGAAUUAUUCAAAGAUGGAAAUUGCCGAUAGUAGUAACAAAAGUAGUGCAAACAGUAGUGCGAACAUCAAACAUAGUUCAAACAAACACCAUAAUAUGAAAUAUCGCAUGACACAACUACGGAGAACUAUGCAACUCCCGCAGAUGCUCAACAAGAUCAUCUCUCAGUUGUUCGUGUGUUUGCCUAUUUUUAAUGCCCCUAUGAAUCGCCAAGAACUCCUCUAGUAGAAGUGUAUCACGGUACCCAUAGUCCUCUUGAGUCAGCACCUCUGUAUCCUCUUGAUCAUAGUCGAACUCCUCCUCCUCACCUCGCUCAUCAUCGAUGAUCAUGUUAUGCAGAAUGACGCAAGCGGUCAUGAUGUACCAAAGAGUAUCCGGGUCCCACCAUCUUGCAGGUCCCCUCACCAUUGCAAAACGAAUCUGUAGAACACCAAAUGCUCUCUCCACAUCCUUCCUCACAGCUUCUUGCACCUUUGCAAAAUGCUUCUUCUUAUUACCUUGUGGACAAGAUAUGGUCUUCACAAAAGUAGCCCAUGAAUGGUAGAUGCCAUCAGCAAGGUAGUACCCCAUGGUAUACUUGUUACCAUUAAUUAACCUCAUACUCCAUCUCCGGAGAUGUCCCUGAUGUAAGACGUUGAAACAAUGGUGAUCGUUGCAGAACAUUGAUGUCAUUUAGAGAACCUGGGAGACAAAAGAAAGAGUGCCAUAUCCACAAGUCUUGUGAUGCAACAGCUUCGAGGAUCAUCGUUGGACCAUCCACAUGUCCUGAGUACAUCCCUUUCCAAGCUGUUGGGCAAUUCUUCCACCUCCAGUGCAUACAAUCAACACAACCAAGCAUACCUAGAAACCCUCUAGCCUUGUUCAUAGCAAAUAAACGUUUUGUGUCAUCCAGCAUAGGUGCCCUCAAGUAUUGCUCUCCAAAUUUCUCAACCACAGCCCUCACAAAGUGCUUGAAUGCUUCAUUCAUAGUGCUCUCAGCAAGGCUCACAACAUCAUCAACAUUGUUAGCUGGAACACCAUAUGCAAGCAUGCGGAACACACCAACAAUCUUCUGAACUGGAGUCACCCCAAGAAGACCUACUACGUUUACCCUCUACCUGAAGUAAUCAUCAUGGAUCUCAACCUCAUCCACAAUGCGCAAGAAAAGAUUCUUGGACAUUCUAAACCUCCUCCUAAAGAACUUGUCAUUGUACACUGGAGGAUUUGCAAAAUACUAGGCCACAAUGGGCAAGUUGGAACCAAACCUGUCCCUUGGGACCACUUUACGCCCCGGUAUUGCUCCAUGCCGCUUCUUCUUGUUCCUCUUUUCCUCUUCCUCGGCUUUGGCAAGAAGAGAAAUGGAGAUGUACAGAUCAUCAUCAGCAGCAGCAAUCUCCUCCUCUUCCUCCGACCAUUGCUCAAGUUCAUCAUCACUAGAGUUGUCCAUCUGCAAAAAUUGAGCAAUGUAGCCUUGAAUUUAUUCAUCUAUAUCCAGUCAUUCACAUACAUAUGAAUUUAGUUACACACACAUAAUGAAAAACAAAGAUAGAACUGUCACCUGGCCGGGUCGGGUCGGACGGGAGCAGCGGGCGCUGGGCACGGGGGCAGCGGGCGAGGGGAAUGAAGGCGGCGUUGCAGGAGGGCGAGGGCGGCGCUGGGGUCGAGGGGAGGCGGCGGCAGCGUCGGGGUCGACGGGAGGCGGCGUUGCGGGAGGGCGAGGGCGGCGCGGCGGGUCGAGGCGGUGGCGAUGGGGUCGAGGGAGGCGGCGGCGCUGCCGGGGUCGAGGGCAGCGACGGCCGCGGUCGACAGGGGUGGCGCUGGGGUCGAGGAGGGCGGCGCAUCGGGUGGGCAAGGGCCGCGGCGCGGCAGGAGAUCGAGGGCGACGGCGCUGCGUGGGGGCGAGAGCGCCGGCGUUGCGGGAGAUCGACGACGGCGGCCCUGCGCGAGAUUGAGGCCGGCGGCUUGCUAGGGAAAAUGGCGGGAGAAGAAGAAGAUACGUGCGGGAGAAGCAGAUCACGCGGGAGGAGAGAGAGCAAAAAAAGGAGAGAUACGGGCCUCGUAUGGAGCCCCCAGGAAUGAGGGCCGGAUGUGUGUUUGUAGGGGCCUUUCUAUUUUAGAGGCCCGAGUAGGGGACCUGUUGAAGACGAUUUUUUGGCUUCGGCUCCUAAAAAAUGAGUAGGAGCCUUGUUUAGAGGCCUUACGAAAAAUGCUCUAAUAAGUUCAUAUAUAGUCGAUGAUGUUCUAUAGUGCCAUAGUACUCUUGAGCUAAAGAAAUCUGAAGAAAGUUUUUUGCCUUUUGAUCUCAGUUUAGAAGGAAAACACGGGAAUUCCACACUCUACUUUAAACUCAAUUUAGAAUUCCUAUGCAAGAAGCUUGAGUGUUUGACCGUGCUUAUUACGAUUUUUGCAAACCAAAACUCAAAUCUGCAUAAUUUUGUAUCUACUUAUUUUAUGGGCAUCUUUUUUGCACAUGUACUCUUAUCAUAUUUCUACCUGGUCAAAUGUGCACACAUAAAUUAAUAAAAUAAAUAAAUAAAUAUUGAAUAUGAUCGGAUCAACUUGACUUGAACAUGUUCCGAUCCCUUUCACACAUGGGAACCUUAAUUUGCCCAACUGUGUAAAAUAUACCAUCUGGCUAGUAUUCAACCAGAAGUCAAAUCCAAUCUUUUAUUCGUGCGACAUGUCAAAUCUAAUCGUGCAGCUCAACUUGCUAUCGUUUUUUAUAUACAAGUCAACUUGUUAUCUUUUCUUUGUCAAAAGAUUUAGAUGUAAGUGUGCAUGUGCAUGCGAUCCAAGUCAGAUUAGCAGCCAGCCAGCUAGUGUUUAGCGUAUCGUUUUGCUUGGCCUUUUUUUUUACGUAAGAGAUAAAUUAAAUUGUGUAAGAUUCCAUUCGAGAGAUCUACAAUUCUAUCUCCUUAUAAGGAUGGGAUCUAGGACAAGACUUGCAAAAGGAGCAUAGACAAUUAGACAUGCAUCACACCUAAUUCCUAAGCUUUUACAGUUUGACUAUCGAGAACGUAUCGUGUGGUUCAAAGCUUGAGGUGCUCCCAACCAUAAAGUACCUUUGUAAAUUUUACUCCCUCCAACCAUAAUAAGUGUCCCUGUUUUAGUAGUAUAACUUUGUAUCAGAGUUGUACUAAAUGACACAUAUUAUGGAUUGGAGGGGGUAAAAUUUAUCUGUACACGCAUACAAAAUGUGACUGCCGUGGCACAAAGUUAAAUAAAUAUUUAAUCCGUGGACCGAGAAAGAAAAUACUAGAUAAAUUCGCCUGGGAAUUGUAAGAAGUUCAAAUCGAGCUACGAAAUGAGCGCGUUGUAACUGUUAGCACCUAUUUUUUUCUUGAGCAGUGAUCAAGUUUGAACUUGAAAUUAUGUGUCAUACUGUCAUGUUAGAUAUACUUGCAUAUAUCUGCUGCAAGUUUUUGAGGAUUUUUCAGAAUAUUCAUACACCUGAUAUGUUCUGCUGGUCCCGUUGCCGUGCGUAAUUGACUCGUAAGAACUUAAAAAGGGUUCCCAAUAUGGGAGCAUUAUCAACUCCGUUUCCAUAUGAUAUAUUGAUAUGGUAUAUGACAAAUCUUAAUAUUCCUUGAACUAGUUCUUUAAGUGUGUGGAUGUUACUCGUGGAACAAACAUAGAUUGUCUACCUUUCUGUCUUCUCGUCUGCAUCAAAAUUCUAAAUGGGAGAGCACUUGGUAACAAGUGAAAUUAUUCCUUCUGACCAAAAUUCUCCAGGUUGCCCGUGCAAUAAUUUCCAAAUGGAAACUUGGAAAGGCACCUUAAGUGAUGCUUGAAUGUCUGAAUAGUCUCAUGUACAGAACCUUGCAGGUUAAUACCAGGGCAGAGGUAUGUCCAACAAAUCCUGACAAAAGAACAAGUGAUCUCCGGACUCCAAGAGGAGACACACACAUCAUCGAUACCUGUUGAUCGCCAGGCUUCACCUUGGACAUGAGGUAGGCAGCAUAACCUCCAGGACAAUGCUCUGGGUCAGGUAGGCUGUUGCCAGGUCCAUCGAUGCUACACAAAUGCAACUUUCCAGGCCCAUUUUCCUCUGAGGAGUAAUGUUCCUUUUUUUUAGUAAAGCAUCGAGAUUCUACGUAGCAUGUAUUUGAGUGUUUCAGUUUUGUAUAAAAAACCAGAGCAAGCUUGCCAUUAUUAUGGAAAGACACUUGAGCAGUAUUUUCACUCUAUUUUCAUGGGGUGUCUUGGGAAAAAUGAGGUGAUGGCAUUUUCUUCGUUUCAAGUUUUUGAGCGGUAUCGCAAGAUAUCUACCUGCAGGUGCUUCAAGCAAAUCAAAUAUUUGUCAUUGUUCCAACUGCAGAGGUUUUUUCUUUUAGCCCAAUGAAAAUAUACAAAGACAAAAUAAAAAGGCUUUUGAAGUAAACAAAAAGGUUAAGCACACCAUGUCGGCGUGCUCGACUAAGGACCAUCAUCGCGCUACACUACAUUAACAUUAACAUAUUCUUCUUCUACAUCAAUUUCAAUUUUUGAAAUAGCUGACCGCUCUUGCCGUGCGGUGCUCAUAGCAUCCGAAGACGAGGUUAUGAAUAACUCCAAUCCGUCGUACACAACCGAUGUGGUACUAAAAAGCUUAAAGGCGACCUACGCAUCGCGGAAUAUCAUACCGCAACUUUUUCAUGGGCGGAGCCAGCUAUGCUUUCGCCCAAAGGCCUAAACUAACUUGGGUUCGGAGAGGAAUAGCAGCGCCAGGACAAAAUCGGGGAUGCACCCUGCCGGCUGGGUACGGCCGUACGUGUAUGCACCGCCCUGCACAGAUGGGCUUAAUUGGUUGGCCCAUUCGUACCACUAUAUGAUGUCUAUUUAUUUAUUGAGAACGUCUCAAAAAAAUUAUUUAUCGAGAACAUACGAUACGACUGCCUAGGAAAUUAGCAGUGUGUAUGUGCUUGGUCAGUAGUACCCCGUAUUUUUUUUCCUUUUUUUAGGAAUUUUUUUUUCCGUUUUUGGUAGGCCGUUAGUUUUCCAAGUCCACGAGCAAGAUAUAUCGAACUGCAGUCCGAGCGUCUGGUAAUCUACGCGGACUGUGCCCACACAACUGACUUCAGACCACGGCUUGCCGUACCGACAAAAUAGCUUCUGUGCUUGAAUUUAUCUUUUUUCGCUUGAAGGCCCACGAUGUGUUUAUCUUCAUUUGUCAGGCCAACAAAAGCAACCUAACAUUGAAUAUUCUUCUGUCCAACAUAGAAUGUGUCAUCUUUAACUAAAUUUGAAUGCAUCUAUGCACUAAGUCGUGUUUAUAUACAUUCAAAUUAUAACGAACUUGAGACAUCUUUUGUUGGAACGGAAGGAGGGAGUAUAUUUUUAUACUAACAGUCUUUUUUUCUUGGAAGAGAUUAGCAUGCGCCGAAAAUACAAGCUGGGCUAAAACAACCAGUACGCAAUGUAAAAUUUCACAGGAAAUAUAGUGAAGGAAAGCCCCUACACAAAUCGGGAAGAAGAGAACAGAUAGGAGCAAACAAUUCUCUGGCUGUGCAAUGCGGGCAUAUUAUUUCAUUUGCUGUUAAACUUGAGCAGUGCAGUACUACUUUCUCCAUCACAUAUUAAGUGACUUUCUAUUACAUGUAUCUAGACGCUCUUUAGGUAUAGAUACAUCCAUAUUCGGACAAAUUUGAAUCACUUAAUAUGAGACAAAGCGAGUACUAUACAGUUCUCGACCUGUGAUAAUAUAUGUAGUUCUCAGACUUGUGAUACAGUGCUGAGAAAUAUGCUUCAUCUUUGGUUCUCUGUCAAAUACUCCCUCCGUCUCAUAUUAAGUGACUUUCUAUUACAUGUAUCUAAACGUUUUUUAGACAUAUAUACAUUCAUAUUUAGACAAAAUUGGUUCACUUAAUAUGAGGAGGGACCGAGGGAGUAAGGUGUUAUCUCUUGAUCUCUUCACUCCACUUGAUCUCCUUCACCCUCCUAACUAUCUUAGCUUCUUCACUGAUGCAAUGUACUACAUCAUGAGGUAAACCAGAGCAAGAUCAGCAAAAAUGGCUAAUAAAACGAGCCCAGCUGUCUCCAUCACAUCGGCGGCCCAAUUUGAUGCCCCAUAACUUGCGCCUAUAUAGAAUUAUAAAGAAUCAUCAACUCCGGUGUCAAAGAUCGAGGAAGCUAACGAAGAAAUAGAGCGUUAACUUUUAAAAAAAAAAUCACUUGUACCUUUAUUCAAUAUCGAAAAACAUUACAUUACAGGUGCAGUGCCUUGGAUCAUGGACACAAGAAAUUACAAAGUAAUCCCUACAGCUAAGAAUUAGAAUGAAACCUCUCGAAAACAUAUUCUCCCUGCUAUCAAUCUUUGCAACACAAAAUAUUGUCCGGGCAUCAGCAAAAAUACUGCGAUUAGUCUGGAGCAGUAACAUCACCACUCGUACCCCUGCGCGAUCUUGACUACCUUCAAAGGUUUCAGAAAGCCCCUUAAAUCGCCCAUCAAAAAAGAUGAGAAGCGGUGAGCGUUGAACGUACUUGGACCGGGGAUUAUCCCUAAAAGUGCAAGUCGUCGAACCACAUGAACUUCACCGGAACGCCAGAGAAGGACUCCAAUAUCACAGAAGAUCAAACCAACAAAACCAUCAUGACACGCUAACAAAAACUCAUCAAAUCAAUAUGAAAGGAUUUGCGAGUAUAGAAACUCAAAAUCCGCAAGAUCGAACACAUCAAUCUGCGACGAGUAAAACUCUCUGGCCACGUGACACGCUGUCCAAUAAGACACCACCGCAGAAGAGAAAGAACCAGAGUACUUUUAUUCUUGACGGCAUCGCACCCUUCGUCAUAGCGUUGCCGAUGAAGACCACAAGACUAAUAAUGCUAAAAACUGGAUACAUCUAGCAGUAACGGAGGUUUCCUCCACCUCACAAUGCCAAGAUGGCGGCAUGAGGCGAGUGGAACCGGCAAAUCCGGACGAAGUAGGCGUGCUUUAGAGCGUUAACUUUUUAUGUCUGCAUACCUAUGUUUGAUAUUGUAUCAUUCAGCAUUUGGCCUUGGCUUGACUUACACAGAAUGAUACUGCAGCAGCCAUCUGUUUCGCCAGGUGGUUCUCCUUCUCCCCAGCUCAGAUAUCAUAUCGUAGGUACGACUCCUCUUUCAUCUGCUGGAUUUGGUGCUCUGCUUCAUAUUUGCACGGGUUUGCAGCAGAUCUUGCACGGUGCUGUGUACAGAGCUGUAUUCAUCGAAAACGAGUUCACAUUCUUAAGCACUGAUCAUAUAUAAGAAGAAGAAUACUGUCAUCAACAACAGAAUCAUAUAUACAUACACGCAGGCACACAGCGCCGGACCUAGGUACACUUGGCUGCCAAGGACCCAGUUCAACAAAGAAAUUGAAACACCUUAUCUCAGUUCACAUACAUCGCGGCUAGGUAGCUAGGAAAGAUUUUCAAUCAAAAAAAGGAAAGAUUUUCACAAGUAUACUAUGAAGUGCAGCAAGCAAACUAGGGGAGAUGCAUGCAUAUGGUUCAACUCAUCAUAUCGGCCAACGAUGGUUCAGAGGGAUAAAAAAAACCUAGCUGUGAAUAUUUUUACCAAUCAAUGCUUCUUAUUUAAUUUCCGUAUUCACUCUUUUUAUAUGUAUUUCCUACUCUUCAAAGGAAUUUGAACCUUCGAUAGGGCAGGGCUUGUUUACCCCGAUUCGGCCGCCGCCUCCCCUCGCUCCGCCGCCGCGCGCAGGUCCGCAACUGCACAUUCUCCGGCGCGCCGGCGCCGCCCAUGCGCGUGCUCGCCUUGCAACGCCGGCCGGCCGCCAUCGUCCUGGCGGUGGCGAGGGUUUUCCCAUUUCUGCUUGCUCUGGGUCGGGGCAAGGCCAAGGAUGCCGAUAGAGCCUGAUUAUUUUCUUCUUGAUGGGCCUUAGGUUUUGGGCUUUAUCACUGUUGGCCGCUGAGGGCCUGAGGCCGACAACAGCGAAGCCUGCUGCGCGUUCUAGGUCCGACACCCAAACUCUAGUUUUUCUUUUGUGGGGACCCAGACUCUAGUAGAGGUCAUCUGAUGCUGGGCCUAUGGGCUUUAUCUCUAAUGCAUUUGGGCUAGGCCUCAGCUUUACUAAUACAAUGUCUUGGUUGGAGCAUGAUAGCGUCGUAGCUCGAGUAAAUUACAGAAAACCAUCAAAUUAGUGGCUAUGGUUUCACAUUGGUAUCAGUUUUCGUUUUGGUGACUAAAAAUCACCGGAUUUAUUUAACCUCUCGCUCGCUAGUGAAUAAACACGUUUCUGAUCGUUAUGGUCCAAAUGUCAGGCCACCGUGUCUUCCAGCGUGUGGCACCUGUACGGACCGAUCAGGACCGAGCCAUAUGGGACCUGUUUGAAUACUCUCUUCCUCGCUGCCCUGGCCCUCUCCUCUUCUUCCUUGCUCCCCUCCUCCACCUGCUGCCGCUUCUCCUCCCUCCGGCCGGCGAAGAACCUGUUGUAGCAGUCCCAUUCCUCCACAAGCAUCCCUCGCUCUUCAAGGCAAGGAGCUUCUUGAAGGGCGGGCGCGAGCGGCGGGCAAGGGGGCGCGGGUGGCCAGGCCACGCGCAGGCGAUGGGUGGCGCGGCCGCACGGAAUGGUGGGCGCGGGCGGGCCGUCGAGGGGGCGCGGCCGCACGGGACGAUGGGCGUAGGCGGCACGGGCACACGGGUUGGCGAGUGCAGGGGGGCCGGCGAGGAGGCGCGGCCGCACGGGGCGGCCGGCGCAGGUGGGUAGGCAAGGUGGUGUGGCCGCCGAAUUAGGAUGGUUGCAUGCCACCAUGGAUUUGGAGGUUUUGGUCGCCGUCCAUGCCGCUCCACGGUGGGGGCCAACUCCCGCUAGAACUCGCCCUCCUCCAUCAACCUCACCGCCAUCCCGCGCGCAGACGGCGACCUCGCCGCGUUCCACUACCUCGGCCUCAACGGCAACGCGCUCUUCGGCCCCGUCCACCCGGAGCUCGCGGGACUCACCAAGCUCGAGGAGCUCUACCUUGGCUAAGUACGAGGAUGGGGUGCCUCCCGAGUUCGGCACGCUGGGCAGCUUCGUCCGGUUCGACGUGAGCAGCUGCAAUCUCACGUUAGUCCGACUUAGAGAAGAAGGCUACGGCGUGCGGCGUCCAAGGAGGGAGGAGAAGAUGUGCAUUCGCCACGCUGUCACCAUACUGGUGACACUGUGCCAAGCCAAGCUGGCCUAACCGUGGACCCUCGUUGUUAAUUUCGGGGUUAUUCGCUAGCACUCGACCAUUUAGUACAAUCCGGUGGUUUUUAGUCAUUAAAACGAAAACUGGUACCAAUAUGAAACCCUAACCACUAAUGUGGUGGGUUUUUUUUUAAUUUACUCUUGUAGCUCCAUGAAGAUAACCAGGGAUUAAUUUGGAUCAAUCGACACUAAUCCACCAACUGCCUCAUUAAAUUAAGAUGAUGUGGCUCCUUGAGCAGCCAAUAAAAAAUAGAUAGCGAAGAACACUUGUAUAAGUUCACAGGCCGAGGCGGACACUAGGGACAGCGGGCAGCAGCAGGUACGCUUCAUCCUUGGUCUUCCUAAGUUGUACGAGAAGAAUUCCCUAAAAAAAAAAUUGUACGAGAAGAAGCUCCCAACAUGCUCUAAUGGUGCUGCCGCCUGGGGUUAAGAUAUGCCAGACGCCAUAGCUCGCCACAUGGGCCUCCUUUCGUAAGCCGUUUCCGUUCCGGUGAUUGCUCCUAUCCCUAUUUCGGGGGCCCAUUUCGUUAGGAGUGUCUGCAUUCCAUGUGAGCGGAACUCCUGAACAACCACGGUCACGAUCAAAUCGGCAUGGAAGGAGAGAGGGAUGAAGUGAUCUUUGCACCUAAUCUUGUCUCGAAUCUUGCAAGGCUACGGCCAGACGGUGUCCACAGAUUGAGAUUGGUGAAGCUUUUGCCGGGCUCAAUGUAAUCCGAAACGAGUCAACUUCAAAGGUAAAAAUAUAUUCCCACCACUACUUUUUUUCUAAAGUCAAACUUCUUAAAGUUUGAUCACGUUCGUUUUUCUACCAACAUCUGCGGUUCUAAAAUUAUUUUAUUAUUUUCAUCAUGAUAUAUUUUCAUUAUAUACUUUUUUGAUAUCUAGAUGUUCAUACAUUUUUCGAUAACUUGAUCAAACCUAGGACAAAAGUAGAACUUCUUAUAUUUAUGAACGGUGGCACUAGGUACUUACGCUCACUUAAAGCCAUGGCCAAAUUUUGUAUUUCCAUGAUAUGCAACUUUAGCCUAAAAUUUAGGUGGAAUCAACAGGCUAGUUUAGAAGAAGUUGAAUUUUGGAUCAUCAAUGUAAACCCAAAACAUCCAUAUCCACCCACACGGAGGGAGUAUAUGAGUAAACGGGUAUAUUAGUUUUGUAUUUUCAUACUUGUACCCACUCCCUAAUUUAUUCCCAUUUAUGUAUGUGCAUGUAAAAAUUAUGUCACAAGUUCGUGUCCUAAUGGAGAUUUACCCGACGGGUGUGCAUGUACUGAGUACCCAUUGCCAUUCCUAGUUUUGCCUCAUGACUUCGACCCUGAACACACGUUUUUUUGGCAGGGCAGGACCAUCUAUUUCGUUGAUCUAUAUUUGGACCAUAUAAUUUGAUAAGCGCAAAUUCUACAAUUCUUUACAAGUCAUUUACAGAUAGAGACCUACGCAGUAAUUCCGGUUUUGGCCGAUGUUGCAGCAUCCGGAGGAAGAGGGGCCCGAUUAUCCUAACAUGUUAGUCCCUAGAGAAGGUUUUGAGGACCAGCAAUCAAAUAAAAAUCUUCAGCCAUCUAAUCUAAAAGGAUUUUAAAAAAAUGCAUUGCUGGCCUAAAUAAUGUAUACCAGCAUAACUCUCUCUUUAUGGCUGUAUAUCUAAAAGCUCAAUUCUGAACCUUCAAAGAAGGAUCACCACGAAUGUGUGUACAGGGAACUCGAACGAUCAUGGCUUCCAAAAAACGUCCAAGCCCACAACCACAAUCAUUAGGCGCAUAUAUGUAAUCCCAUGAUCCCUGGCAGAAGAGAUUGUGCUGAUGCUACUUUAGUGCUGGUGCAUAGAAUAGCUAGCUUAGCCAGAGACUGAUGAAGUGGUUGUAAUGCGUCGUGUGUCGUUCGUUUCUGUCUCCCCAAAGUCGUUGCGCUGGUGCGCUGGAGACAUGUGCCUUGCGUUCACUCCAAGGAGCCGGGCCAAUCGAUCGAGUUCACUUCACCAACCACACGCGUGUACUGCCUCCGUGACUCAAAUUGCUAAGAAAACGUUUAGAUACAUAUAAUAGAAAGACAUUUAGAUGUAUGAGAUGGAAAAAAAUAGACGUGUAUAAUACUAUGCACCGACCGGCCGGGGCGCAAUCAGACGGUGCAGCCCUGUUUCCUAGCUGCGCUGCGUCCCGCCGCGUCCACGUACCCAUACGCGGCGUCUACUUCCAUGUGCACACGCACCCACCGGCAGUAUUGCUCGAGCUUUGCGCCUACCACGGGUCCAGAAUCUAGUUGGGAACGCGUAAACUAUGUUGCAUAAGUAUAGUUUACAAUAACCUUUUUGGUUCCAAGAGCCACAGCUGUGGACUCUGUUUCUCUUUCGUUCUCUCCUGGCCGGGUUCGACUGGCAUAGACUUUUUUGCUUCUUAAAUUUACUAUUCCUAGAACAUGUCACCUCGGCGGUUCCUCACGCUUUCCUUUCCACCAUCCGGUUCCAUUGGCACGGAGGUCAGCAGACCACCAAAACGCGGCAACGGUGGCAUAUCGAUGCUUUCCACCAUCGUAUGCCAGGUUGCCAGAUGAUGCAUCCCUGUACAUGAACAUGACCGGUGAAAAAGUGAUAACAUAAGACAGGGCGAGGGCUGACUCAAAUGGCAAUGUGCCUACUUGGUCAUCGUGAGAAGAUAACUACAGCAUAGAGUACUGUACACAAAAAUUUCUGGACAGUAUCGGACUGCGAAAUCCAAGGAAGAAAUAGAGAAGGAUUCAGUGACAUAAUUCACCUAACUUUAGGUAGCUGACAUGUGGGCCAACGGACCGUGGGACCCAUAUGUCAGCCACUCAAAAUGAGGUGAAGUAACCUCACUAAAUCCAGGUCCGGAAGAAACUGGUUGGCCCCGAUGAUUCAUGCAUGGGCACCGGGCGGCCGGGCGGGAUGGGUGAUUGGGUGGUAGGUCAACACCAGAUAGACAGACAAAGGGACCAAACGGGCACCCACAUGCAGCAGCAAGGCAAUUAACGCUCCAAAUCAAGCACCAUUUUGCUCGCCAAACGGCGCCAACAAACGUGUCGAUUAAGCGACGCCCACACUCCCUGAACAUGCAUCCGCUCGAUCUCUCUCCCCUGUGCCGGCCGGUCAUGGAAUGGCAUGGGCCAACCAACCAUGCAUGAAUGGAUACAUCCCCGUGCAUUAUGGCCCAUCAAUCCCGCUCCAAACUGUUGUCGCAUAGCGGCAUUAAGGGUAUGCCGCAUGCACAAGGUGAUUGGUUGGUUAAUUGGUUCACAUUCUUCCCUCGCAUGCUCUAUUUGGAACUGUUGGACGUACGGAAGCUAGAAUGCCGCGCAGCUGAUCGAUUGCGCUCCUUCACCUGAUGCAUGCAAGCUUGCCGUAGUUGGGCUAUCUUCUUCCACACUUACGAGUAGUACCGGCUAGUACACCGAGUAAUUGACUGCAUUACGGCAGACGUGAUUCAGUUUUGCCGGUACACGCACAGUCAGACGUUUGUAGCGAACGGGCCGGGUCGGACACGACCGUUACGGUCGACCAAAGGGGGAGAGACGUCCCAACGGCCGGCCAUCAGCACGACCGACCAAUUUGGUAACCAUCGACACGACCAAGGGAGAAUCGCCAUCGCUCUGCAUCCGGCACCGGCAUCGUCGGCACGGCCUUAUCGCUGAUACAGUACUGCUACGUCGCCACGUACUCGUACGUUUAUACGUAUCCAGCACCAGUGACCACCGAACCGCUGUAGUACGUGCGGGGACCCGUGGAGAUGGACGGCCAGCACGCACAGCGACCGCGCAACGGCAUUCAUUCUGCGGCGAGGGCAACUCGCAAACCACCGUCAGUCAUCACACCCGAGCCGCGACGCGCGCUCCAAAACACGAUAUUCCUAGCUAGCCAGGCGCACCACCGGCCGCCGUCCUCGCAAAAUCUACGGAAAGAUCGAGCGGUUAAGAUGGCCGGGGAGAGUGCAAGUGAAGCCACCAACGAAUAACCAAUCAAUUACUAGUAAUAUUCCCCCUGGCUAUUAGUAGCAGUACUGAUCAGCAAUUAGUGGCCUGAUUUGAUGCCAAUUGAGCCGGAGAGCUCACCAAACGCUGAACGCGCCCAACCGACGAGCUCGAGCGCAAUAAUUAGGUACCGAUCAGCAAAAGUGACCUCCAUCAUUGUGCGUUGGUACUCCCUCUUUUGAGAUAACGGAUCGGCCCAUCAUCAUGCAUGUCACUUUACAUGAUUCUUCCACAUUUGUUCGUUAACCUUGCUCAUAAUCGACAGGUCUCGUUGUGGUACCUGGCUAAAAUUAGAACUUCAGCAUAGCAUUCAAUCAAGUUAUCAAGGCAGCAUUCAAUCAAGGCAGCACGGCGCUGCGGUAAGGCACUAGUGUGUGCGCGCAUGAGCGAUUCUCUUAUGUAAGCCACGGGUUGUUUACUCCAUCGGGCACAUGGCAUAGUAGAGCCAUGGACACAAAAAGGGAAGCUCGCUUUUUGUAUGUACGUGUGUCAAGUAGAAACUGAAAAAGGUAUAUUGCUAAAAGUAAAUAACCCGUUAGACAACUUCCUUGUGUGACGUUUACUACUCCAUCGGUUUAAUAAUUUUUGUCAAAAUACUAUAUAGGAAUGAAAACGUCCAUUUUUAAGCAAAUUUGAGACAAGAAUUAUGAGAUGGACGGAAUAGAUUACAAACCUAAGUAGGCAACAACCCAAACACCAUGCAGCUUUGUUUGCUACGAGCCUACCACUCCAGCUGAACUCGUUAAACAACUUCCAUGCCACUGUUUUCAUGCAGUUUUUUUUUUGCGGGUGCUGUUUUCAUACAGUUGAUCACACAAAUUAGCGAUGUAAUUAGUGGAACAUAUGAUCAUUAGGCCAUUAGUCACAUACUAGUACUUUAAGAGAUGCGAUUCAAGUUUCAGCGGGGAAACAUCGCAUUAAUGGCUACCGAAAAAUCGUUGUACAAACAUAUAUGCGCUUUGUUCCGGUAACAAACACAUCAAACAAACCCCACGAGGAAAAGCACACCAAAGAUCAGUGCGUCCUCGUGCAGGAUCACCAUAACACGAAAACCAAAUACACACGUCCCCGGCCCCGAGCCGACAGAACCACCGUUCAUUCCCGUGUGCCGCAUCCUUUUGACGAACAAACUAAAGCGUGCUCAGCGGCGGCCCCCACCGCUACCGGCCGCACCAAGUAUAGCACCCGAGCACCGCCCAACACGGCACGGCAGCAGUAUAAAGCCACGCCCAAACUCUCUCCUGCUCCAACACACCACAGCACUGCACUCUCUCUCACCACCAACACAGAGGAAUUAAGCAGAGGAAGAUACAAUCCGAGUAGCAGCCCACAACAUGGCGAGUUCAUCGUCCGUGCUCGGCCUGUCCCUGGCCGUGCUGGCCAUGGCGGCGGCCGUGUCGGAGGCCGGCUUCUACGACCGGUUCGACGUGGGCGGGUCCGGCGACCACGUCCGGGUCACCGACGACGGCAAGACCCAGCAGGUGGCCCUCGUCAUGGACCGCGGCUCCGGCGGCGCCGGGUUCACGUCCAGGGACAAGUACCUCUUCGGCGAGUUCAGCGUCCAGAUGAAGCUCGUCGGCGGCAACUCCGCCGGCACUGUCACCUCCUUCUACGUAAGCAAGCUCUUCGCCCUUUGCCUCACCUACCUCUACCUGCCCGAUUUUGUCUCUCCAUGUGAGUGUGAGGACGAAGUGCGUGACCGCACACUCUGUUUUGACUCAUGUGUUGUGUGUGAUGAUUGAUGAUGAUUUAGUUGACGUCUGGGGAAGGGGACGGGCACGACGAGAUCGACAUCGAGUUCAUGGGCAACCUGAGCGGCGACCCGUACGUGAUGAACACCAACGUGUGGGCCAGCGGCGACGGCAAGAAGGAGCACCAGUUCUACCUCUGGUUCGACCCCACCGCCGACUUCCACACCUACAAGAUCGUCUGGAACCCCAAGAACAUCAUGUAUGUAUCCCAAAUUGCUCCUGAAAUUCCUGAUUUGAUUGUUGCAUCCUAACUAACGAAAUGGGUGCUGUGGAUUGAAUCAGAUUCCAGGUGGACGACGUGCCGGUGAGGACGUUCAAGAAGUACGACGACCUGCCGUACCCGAGCAGCAAGCCGAUGACGGUGCACUCGACUUUGUGGGACGGCAGCUACUGGGCCACGCGCCACGGCGACGUCAAGAUCGACUGGAGCCAGGCGCCCUUCGUCGUCAACUACCGGGAAUACUACGCCAACGCCUGCGCCAGCAACGGCGCCUGCCCCGCCGGCAGCGACGCCUGGAUGAGCAAGCAGCUCGACGCCAAGCAGCUCGGCACCGUCGCCUGGGCCGAGCGCAACUACAUGUCCUACGACUACUGCGACGACGGGUGGCGGUUCCCCAACGGAUUCCCCGCCGAGUGCUUCCGCAAGUGAUCCGUAUAUCCAUCCAUCGUUGGAUUGAUCCAUUUAUUCCCUUCUUUUACUGAUGAAAAGUUGCUCUUCUUCUCCAUUCGAUUCGACGGACAUUCGUUCGUUGCCGAGGUUUACCUGCGUUCUGAUGCUCCCAAUUUCCAUGUACAUGUUGCCAUGGGUUAUUUUCUUCAUUUCAUUGUCACAGUCGGAGUUUUACAGAGGGAAAUUGAGGUGAGUUAUUUGUGGGUUUAUGUUGGAGAGAGUGAGGGAUGCACAUGUUGUGGUUAUUUAUAAAUAAACCAUGAAUGAAUUAUACUACUACUUAUAUACAGUAAAUAUGAAUCCUUGUUCAUCUCCCUUGGGAGAGAUAUCGUUUUGGAUGGAUUCCCUGUAGAUGUUAUCUUGAGAGCUGUCGUCUUCGCUAGAUUCUGGAGUUGAAAAUUGUCAGUGUGUGCUUGGAAGCAGACAAGUGACACGGCUUGCUGCGUGCCUCGCUGUUGGAGUGUCAGGUCGUACACAUUGAACGCCGUAGUUUAGUCAGCUCUUCCAUGUUCAAGAUGGCAGUUGGCACGUUAGUUGCCCGUCUACUUUCUGUUCUGUGUCGGUAAAAUUCGUACGGUUGUUUAGCCUGGCAAUGGGGAGGCGAUUUGGAUGACCUCAGGGGCGGUGCAGAGUGGGGUCGGGUAGCUCUUGGCCGGCUAAAUUUGAAUGGAAAUGCAACAUGGUAAAAGAGAGAGAAAAGGUGGAGUUGAAGUUCAAAACCAAAGAGAGAGAGAGAAAAAGAGGGGAAUAGAAUUCCUCACAAAAAAAGAAAGAAGGUAAAGUAAAACCGAUGGACAUACUAGACCACCUGUCUUAUCUUAAGUAGGAGUAGAAGGGAAUUUUUGAGGAUUAACUUUAAUGUGUAGGAUUUGUUUUCUACAAAGAACAAUUAGAUGGUCGGUGCUUUAUCUCUAUCAUAUAUCGCUUCAAAAAAUGUUGUUCUUGCCCCUAAAAAGGAAUGUUUUUUCUCCAGUACUCAUGUGUUUUUACUUCCCAUGAUAAACCUUGGUUUCUCAAAUUGCUAUGUCUAAAAUUGGGAACGGUCAUUGCUCACUCCGUUUAGAAAAUAGUUAUUUCUUUAAACGGUGACAGCCUUGUGAUUAAGAUACUCUUACCCUCUUGGGCUCGUAUCAGUUUUGAUGUGCAGAUACAGUGAUUUCUGUCAGUGACUUAGUUAUUUCUUGUCCAUUCGAGAAUUAACAAACCACUAUAUAUGAUUAGUUAAGAAUCCAGAGUAUAUACAUCUCAAUAUUGUGUUUUUCGUGUUCCAAAGCGCUCGCUCUAAGUCUCGCAUUCGAGCUGAGAGAGGCACCAUCAGAAAGAUUAAAAGAACUCAGGACAAAACAAUUGUGAAAACUAAAACUAGUUCUCUUUUCUUUAGUGACAGAGGGUCGACAAUGACAAUGAUUGGCAGAGAUUUCAAGCAUUUGUGUGCUAAAGUGGCUAUGACUUGAGUCAGUGGAGGAGAGAAUAAUGCUUAUCUUUCAGCUCAACCUCCAUAAUGGCAUAUCAAGAUGGCCUUGGAGUCCAGGAGAAAGCUACAAUUGGGGCCAUUGCUGCACUGGAUGCUGCAUGAAUGGCAUAAAGCUUGUCUACCACUUGCCUGCGAAAUGUAUAUAACGUAGUGGAAUGCGAUGCUUAAAAGAAACUGUUCUAUUGACUAGCUGUUUUAUUAUGGAUACAAUUUGAGCAAUACCGAUAUAUUACUACAGAAAUAUUUCCGCUUAAAAAAACUACAGAAAUCUUCCGCGGGACCUACUAUAUAAGGUGUCCAGCACAGUUUGGGAAGAACAAACAAUGUUUUGUCUUAGAUUUCUAAUAAAAAAUUCAUAAUCAGUAUACCUAAAAUUAGUUAUUUUACAGUUACCUUAAAAUUAUCAGAAUUGAUAUACCCAUAUGAUGUCCAAGAGUCCAAGAAACCGCUAUCUAACCGAUGAGCAUGCGACCCAAUCGUAUUCCGGCCACCCAUUCUCGGCAGCUAUUCCUUUUUGUAACGGCCAUCCAAGUAAACUUUGAGAAAAGUACCUUUAUCCCCAUGAACAUACCUGAUCAUCGUUCUCACAAACUUGUGGCAGGCCUCUGUGCUCCCCUAUGACCCGGCACCAUUUUUUUCUUUGACAUCCCACGCCUUCUUGGGGUUCUGCCCUAUAAACAAAUAUUCGGAGACCACGUGGCAAUCGUGGACUCGUGGUAAGUUUUCUUCAAAAUCUGAAUGUCAGCAAAUAUUUUGGAUCACUUUCAAAAUAUGGCAAAGAUCUCAUCCUUCUAUAUGCAAACGCCCCAUCUCUGCUCUCCGGCCGACGCCAUGGCCCAUGACCCAGGUGCCGCGGAUGCGUGACAAGCGUUACGAUAAAGCUUUGUUUCUGGGCUGGUGAAGCCUGUUUGUGAUUGUGGCCGUAAAGGCGUUUGCUCCAACGCAUGCAAGCUAAAGAGUGGUUCGUUUUAGGUCUUUGAAAACCCACCACUCGAAAGAAAAAGCCUGCUCAGCGUUUCGUAUGAAGCUGGACCAUGGGUUGUCAAGUUGCCAACUAGCAACUUUGUGGCUCUCCUAAAAAGAGUAAAAAAAUAACGGUAAUUGUAACUAACGCAAGCUUAGCCGUGUGAUAUGAACCUCCGAUGCGAACUGUGAUGAUGCAUGCCUCCCAUGCGAACUGUGAAUAAACUAGCAACUUUGUUCAUGGAAUUCCUACAUCAUAUGUAUUGUAACCCAUUCUAUGAUCCACGGUCAAGUCAAAAAAUUGAUAAUAUCCAUCAUAUGUCGUCGUUAAUACAAUGGAUCCUGGCGUUACUUCAAAAAAUUGCAUCAGCUCCAAAUCUUAACAGAAACUGACAAGAACGACAAUACUUUUGCACAACAGAUUUACUAUUGAGGCACCAUGUGGCACGGUCAAUUCAUAAGACUCUACUGUCCCUUCUUCCUUGUUUUUUCCUCCACCAAAGCUUUAUCUUCUUCCUCCUUUGCGUCACAUCUCUCUCCCCUUCUCGCUCCGCACGCCACCACUGUCGCGGGCUGCCGCUACCGUUGACUUCGCGCGCGCCACUGAUUUGGAUCUCGCCGUGUGGCACCCAUCAUGGUUCAUCUGCCGUCAUGCGCCACAUUCAGGAGCUCGUUUGCCGCCACCGGGAGGCGCCGUCCAGGGGUCUCCUCCAGGAUCUCGUUGCCAGUAAGCCCCACUCCUUUCAUCUUCUUCUUUUUUUUUCAAUUUUUUCAAAGUUGAGAAGCAAAAGUGGAAAAAACCAAAAGCCGCAAAAACCAAAAGUUUUAGAAAUGGAAAAUCUAAGAGGAUGAAAGAAAGACAAAAAUUUAAAACUUGCACCAACAAUCCCAAAAUAGGUUGUCAGAAUCAAGCACUAAAUAGCUUCAUAACUAGUGGAUAUAGAUAUGGAUUGUGGUCCAUAUAUAGUUUCUCCCUCCUUCGAGCUGCCCACACGCUCAAGUUUUUUCUGUCGCUGAAAACCAAAGCAUCUGCUCGAUAUUGUAGUCUCGUACGACCUCGAUUGAUGCUUGCUCCUGACGCCUCCUUCUAAAUCUCCAAACAGAUUUGUCCUCAAAUUAAAAACCUAGCGACUACUCAUCUGCCCCCUCAUCAGGUUGGAGGCGACCAACUGAGCGAGCUAUGCUCUCCUCCGCGCUUCGGCGCUUCCGCCGUUCCGUGACUGGGCACGUGUUAUGUUACACACAAGAACACAACGUCUCGGUCAAUCACUCGAUUAGAAAUGCAUGUAAAGUUGCAAUUUAGCCAACAAAUUGGAUAACAAUUUUAAAACAACCAGUGUCAAAAUUCUGGGCCCGACACUGUCCAGCCGUCGCUCUAACAACGGAAUGAACAAUCUGGAAAAAGGAACUAUCGAAAGUACAGUACAUUUUUUGCUUCUUCUUUUUCCAAUCCAGAGUGACACUCACACGGGAUGCAGCAGAGACAUUUUUUGCUUCUUUCUUUUUCCAAUCCGGAGUGACACUCACACGGGAUGCAGCCGCCUCGCACACCUGCUCUUUGCUUGUGGAUUCGGGCAUGUGGUUUCGGACACGCAGUCAAGCCCCCCAGGGCUGCUAGCGCACGGCACGGCACCGUCCGAUUUCCGGUGUGCAGAAACGUUCCGAACCUUCGCUCUCAGGCUCUCAGCCCCCAGACAAGGUCAUGUGCGUGCGCUGCCGACGGCCCACCGCCAGCGGCGCCGAGCAUCAACAAAGAGCCGAGCAUCAUCGGUUAAAAGGGAAGCCCCGUUGCGCACAACACUGACACCACCGCAAAGCAGAGCAGUAGUUCAUACUGUAACAGCAGAACAGAGCAAAAAACAGAGGAAGCAGAGUGAGCCAUGGCGGCGAAACAGCUGCCCCUCCUUGCCGCACUGGCCGUCCUGGCCGUGCUUGCUGCUGCGGCAGCGGCGGAGUACAACUUCGACGACCAGUUCGACGUGAUCGGCGAGCGCGACCACAUCCGGUACAAGGCGGAGGGGGAGAACCAGCAGUUCGCGCUGGAGCUGGACAAGGUGUCCGGGUCCGGCUUCAAGUCCAAGGCCAAGUACCUCUUCGGCGAGUUCAGCGUCCAGAUGCGCCUCGUCGACGGCAACUCCGCCGGCACCGUCACCUCCUUCUACGUACAUCCAUUUCCCCUCUCUCUGAACAAAAGGCAUCUUUCUGGAGGAGUUGAAUCUCGUGCUUACAACUUUUUGGUUGGAUUUUGUUUUAGCUGACGUCCGGUGAAGGCAGCACCCACGACGAGAUCGACAUCGAGUUCAUGGGGAACAAGAGCGGCGACCCCUACGUGAUGAACACCAACGUUUGGGCCAGCGGCGACGGCAAGAAGGAGCACCAGUUCUACCUCUGGUUCGACCCCUCCGCCGACUUCCACACCUACAAGAUCACCUGGAACCCCAAGAACAUCAUGUAAACCACCCAUCCUUCAACCAAAGUGAAAUUCGAUUUGUGAGGGACUAAUUCCAAAUUCGAAAUGUGAAAUUGAAACUAAAAUUGGCAGAUUCGAGGUGGACAACGUGCCGGUGCGGACGUUCAAGAAGUACGCGGACCUGCCGUACCCGACGAGCCGGCCGAUGACGGUGCACGCGACGCUGUGGGACGGCAGCUACUGGGCGACCCGGCACGGCGACGUCAAGAUCCACUGGAGGGGCGACGACCCUUUCGUCGUCUCCUACCGCGAGUACCACGCCACCGGCUGCGUCGCGCACCCCAAGGCGCCGCCGCCGCCCAGCAGCUCGAACUCCACCAAGGUUGAGGCGCCGCCCACCAAGUGCCCCGCCGGCUCCGACGCCUGGAUGGACCGGGAGCUCGACGAAGAGGACCUCAAGACCGUUGCCUGGGCCGAGCGCAACUGCCUCUCCUACAACUACUGCGCCGACGGGUGGCGCUUCCCCAAGGGGUUCCCCGGCGAGUGCGGCCGCGACUGAUGAGAUGAUAGCGCGUUUAGCUUCAGAUCGAAUCCUUUGGUUUGGUAGUGCGCCCGCCCGCAGAGAUUAAAUUGGAUUGAAUUAAUUUGGUUCUUAAUUACAGGUUGUUCUUCUUCUUGUUCAAUGUUCAUUCGAUUGAUUGAGCCCGUGGACAUAUAAACAUAUUACUCCGUGUGUGAAAUUUCCCGUGUACAUUUUUGCCACCGUCGUUGUUCCUGAAACCACCUUGCUGUUUGUUUCAAGCCUGAGCAUGAGAGCGUAGCUGCUGUGUCAAGGAUGUAAUUAAACCUGUCACGGAUGAAAAUAUAGUUAAUUAAUCUUUUCUUA